rnacentral:lncRNA from 1 species
GCCGUCUCCUCACUGUUGUAUGGUAUGAAACCUUCAGCUACCCAUAACUGAUAUAAUUGCCUCGUGGAUAUCUCAAUACUUGGAGGGAAGACACACAAAUAGAUGCAGCAGACUUUCAAGUGAAAAGGUAACUCCAUCACAGAGAAAGUUUGUCUCCAUACUGUCGGAAUCGCUUCGCCUUGAAGAUAAUUUCCUAAUGGCAUACUUCCAUAGUGUAGGACGAAAAAUUGCCAGGCUUCAAGCUUUAAUCUGAUCAAUGGUCCUCCAAUGAGCACCGAAUCAAGCCGAAUCUUCUCUCCGUUUUCCAUUUUCAGCGACGUAAGGAGUUCUGGUUCAGUGACCAAUAUCAAUACUCUGCUUCCAUUCUCAUUAUCAGGGAGAACUUCUUCGAGAUCACUCCAUAUCUCACUGUAAUCGAAGACGUCAUCAAGCACAAUAAAGUACUUCUUGUUGGUUAGGUAAUCUCGAAGAACAGAUUUCUUCAAUUGAUAAUGUUCACCGAUAAUUACACUAACCCGAGAUGGAGGCAUCACAGACUUGAUUAUGUCAUCCAAUAUCCAUACUUUAUCGUAGGCUAUAGAAACCCUUACCCAAGCAUGACAGUCAAAAUAGAACUUGACACGGUUAUUAUUGUAAGUAUCUGCAGCAAAAGCAGUCUUAUCGAAGCCACUGCUGUCGAGAAUUGCAACCACUGAAAGCCCAGAUGGUCCCUCAAUCAAUAGAUCAAAAAACUUCUCUCUGCCCCUUUCAAAUUCACUGAUAUCGAGCCGAGGUUGUCCCUCACUCAAUAGGCGUAUGAUUUCGUUCCUUUUUUCACUGAUAUCAAAACCAUUGUCGCCGGGUGGAAGUUGUUGCAUCCGAUUUCUAAUAUCAAUGAUUUUAGUGUGGAGUCCAACAAGAAGAGCCAUAUCAGUACUGCUUUCACUUUCGUUUUCACUGUUUUGCUGCUGCAUGAUUUUGAUGAAGAAUGUGUCAAUGGCUUCCUCAGAUUCAUGGACAAAGUCAUUGAUGUCCUCCAGAAUUUCAAAAAUAUCUGCUGUUUCAACGUCUUCUUCAUCGCUUUCUUCUAAGUCCAACAGUUGCAAAAAAGGCAAUGAUAUUUUGGAGUCAUCUAAUUCUUCUCUAAGGAGUUGAAACAAAUGCCGAGCCAUGUCAGCUUCAUAGUUUCCCAGCAGAGUAGUAGCAAUAAUUUCGGACUCCGUAAGAAGGUUUUGAAAACGUGGAGUUAAAUUUGUUGAAUCUGGCAAAGUUAACGUGCCUUCUUCACCUGCUAACACCCUUUUCAACCUCUCACAAAACAGUCGGAGGUGGAAUUCCAGCAUAUCUCCUUCUCUCCGUAGCACUCAGAGGUAUAGCUGAAAGAUUAAACACCAUGGAAGAAUUUGAAAGGAAAAUGCCAAGAAAUUGUGUAAGUGGCUAAAUUCCACAAAUAUGACAUUAUUGCUCAUUUUUUAACUCAAAAAAAGGGUACGCGUUCAUUUAGAGAAAAGUCCAAGACGCGUGCUUUUUGAAAAGAACAGGUAUCCCAAUCGGUAUCCAACCUUUAUCUUAUUUAAUUACUACCAUGACAUAAUUGAUGGUGCUUAAAUCAAUUGUUUCUUUUUUAAUUUAAAGAAUUUUUCAUUAAAAAAAUAUUUUAAUAUCAAAUUGCCUUCAGUGGCGUAACAACUGCCUGAAGCCCAGUAACAGGACUAAUUAAAAAUUUUACAAUUUUUGGGCAUGGAAAUAGUAGUAUUAAACAUUAGAAAGGUGAGGUUGUUCUGUUAAAGAAUUGAUAUUGACAUAAUUUUAUUUUGGUUUUCGUGGAAAACAAAAAUAUUUGUUGACAAGCAAGAAAAUAUUUUUAUUUUUUAAAAUUUAUUAUGCAUAUUUUAUCAUAUUGAAGUAAUUUUAAUAAUAAAUAGAAACAUAAUAUUACAAUAAAUAAAUUAAAAUUUAACUUAUUUUGAAUAUUAUAAAAAAUAAUUUUAAUAUUAUUAAUAGGAAGACAUUGUAUUAAUUUUAAAAUUUUUUAACCCAAAGGUUUAUUUAAAAUCUUUAUUAUAAAUACAAAUAUAAAAUUAAAUAUCAUAAUUUAAAAUUUUUAAUAUUAUUUUAAGUAUUAAAAAUAUUUUAAUGUUAUUAGUCUACUACAUAGAUCAUAUUACUUAUAUAAUAUUUGUAUUAUUAAAAAUUUUUAAAAUCAAAUUUUUAGUUAGUAUAUUCAUGAGGUAUUAUGGUUACAAAAAAAAGACCUUAUUAUUACUUUUUAAAAAAUUGAGGGUCUGCGAUGAUAAUUUUUUCAAAAAGAAAAUACAUGGUAUGUAGGAGGGGUAGAGAAACAGGACUUCCAAAAUCUCUCACCCUUCUUUAAUUAAAAAAAAAAUUAAAAUAUUAAUAAAAAAUAAUAAAGAAAAUAGAAUUUUAUCUGCUCCUUACUCCAUUUUUGCAACUCUCUCAACAUCUCUGUCGAGCAGCCUUCUCUCUCAUUGUCUCUCACUAUUUCACGAUCUCUCUCUCACUCACACAGGCAAUGACCAUCUCAUCAUCGGCGGUCGUGUCGUCAGUGUCACUGGUCUUGCUCGACCGAGACAGUGAGAGAGAGGUUUCUUAGAUGGAGUGAUGAUAAAGGAUUCUAUUUUUUUUAUUAAUAUUUUAAUUUUUAAAAUUAAAAUGUGCUGCCGUUUCUCUUGUCUUUUUAGCUGUUUAGCAGCACUCUUUUCAAAAUUUAAGAAUGUAGGUGUCCUAUAAGAGAUCGAUAAAAGAACGUCAAUUAAAUUUAUAAAAAUAUGAUAAAAGAACGUCAAUUACUUGUCUUUUAGGGAAUCCAAUGAGAAAUAUGAUAAAAGAACGUCAAUUACUUGUCAUUUUCAAUUUUUUUCUGUAAGCUAUUUAUUUUGAGCAUUAGUGAUCUUGUCUGGACUACUCCAAUUAUUGACGUAACUCCAGUGGCUGCAAUUAAUGAUAUAAAGCUGAGACUUUUGACCAAGUUAUCUAGUUGGGAAAGCAAAUUUUUUUCCAGUGGGGGUAAAGAAGUGUUGAUUAAAGCUGUUGCUCAGGCUGUGCCAGCCUAUGCAAUGAGUGUUUUUAAGAUCCCUCAUAGCUUUUGUGAUGACAUUGAGAAGGCUAUUACUCGUUUCUGGUGGGGUUCCUCUGAAACAAAAAGAAGCAUUCACUGGACAAGGUGGGAACAGUUGUGCCACGCCAAGAUAAGGGGGGGAUUGGGUUUUAGAGAUUUCUCUAGUUUUAACCAAGCCUUAAUUGCUAAGCAGGGGUGGAGAAUUCUGCAGCACCCUGACUCUUUAAUGGCAAAGAUUCUGAAAGCAAAAUAUUUUAAGCAUACUGGUUUUAUGGAUGCGAAAUUGGGUUCACACCCCUCUUUUGUUUGGAGAAGUAUAUUAUGGGGUAGGCAAGUGCUCCAUAACGGCCUAAGAUGGAGAAUCGGCAGUGGGAGUCAAGUUUUAAUUUCCAGUAGCAAUUGGAUAAAAAACCAUAAGCUUCCCAGUUUGGUUCCAUAUUCAGAUCUACCUCCUGAAACUGUAGUUGCUGACCUUAUUGAUGAAAGUCACCAAUGGAAAGAAGAUAUGGUUUUCCAAUAUUUUCCAAUGGAUGUUGCAAAGAGGAUCACCAGAACCCCUCUCCCAAAAACUCCCCAGCAGGAUCUUCUCAUUUGGAAAUAUGAUAAGCACGGAAUUUACUCGGUGAAGAGUGGGUAUCAAUUGGCUGUUAAGCAAAAAUUCCAAAAUUAUCCAAGUUGUUCAGAUGUUACCAAGUCAAGGUGGGAGGUGAUAUGGGCUACGGAUCUUCUAGGAAAAGUCAAGAUUUUUAUUUGGAGGGCUGCUCAAAAUCUUCUCCCUGACUUUUCUUGCAGCCCUCUAGUAUUCAGGGCAGCCUUAACUUCAUCCAAUGAUAAAGUCUGUCUCCCAUACAUGAGUGCAUCCACAAAGUUUGAAUAUGAGGAUGGAAGUGAACUAACCAGAAGCAAUGCUUUACCUUCAUCAUCUAAACCUUCAUCAAUUAUUUCCAAUGUAUCACAGACCUGAUUGAAUUCAUCAAUGUGGUCUUCGAGAGAUGACCCUUCAGCCAUCUUUAGUGUGAACAUUCUUUUCUUGAUGUAAAGUCUGUUGGCUAAUGAUUUAGUCAUAUACACCCUUUCAAGCUUUGCCCACAGAUCAGCCACUGUUCUUUCUCUUGCAACUUCCCUGAUCACCGAGUCUCCAAGACUCAAGAUUAUGGUACUCCUUGCCUUUUUGUCAAUCUCAGCAGCUUGUUGUGGUGUUAGUGAUGAUGAAGAUGUGGAGGCUUCUAAUCCUUCUUUCUUGAUGAUAGGUUCUAAGGCAUCACCUAGCCCUUGAGUGAUCAGUAAUGCCUCCAUUUUAACCUUCCACAUGUUGAAGUCAUUCUUCCCUGUAAACUUCUCUAGAUCGAUCUUUGAACCAACCAUACUUGUGUCUGAUUUGUAAUCCAAGCUCUGAUACCAAUUGUAGUGUUUAAGAGUGACUAACUAUCCCAAUCAACUCAAAACACUUCCCAAGAUCACACCCAAACAAACAAGAUGUACCAAGAAUCAAUCCAGUAGAAUACACACAGAUUAUUAGAACUGAAAGAAUUAAAGAAAAGGACAAGAAUUAACGUGGUUCAGCUAGCUUCAGUCUAGCUUACAUCCACGGGAGAAACAGAACCCAAUUGUAUUGAUUGUUUAAAGGAGUUACAGAGAGUUCAUCAAGCUUGUUACAGAGUCUCUCAAGAAGCCUUUUGUUAUUAAUCUUCUCAACUCACAAUAGCUCUCUCUUCUUUUUUCUCUGUUGCCAGAAUCAGCUGUAUAUAACAGCUUGUUAACGAAUCAGCAACCAACCCAGGAACCCACGUGACAGUCAUGUGAGUUAACUGAUUCUAACGAACCAAGAACGCAACUUAUCCAUGCACGUGAAACUCUCGUGCAUCACUUAACCAAAACGACCUUCAUACAUGUCGUUCCAGGAGAUACGAGUUUGACUUUCCAAAACGCAGCAUCAGCUGACGUUUUCACAAACAGAUUUGCUUCACAUCACAACAUUGGGGGUAGUCAUUAGAAACUCUGUGGGUAAGGUUGUUGCUGCAGCAGUCCAAGGAGCUCCAUAUAGGGGAGAUGUGGCGUGUAUGGAGGUUGAAGCUGUUCUGUUUGGUAUUCAGAGUGCCCAACAAGCAGCUGUUUUCCCAAUAAUUAUUGAGUCGGAUUCAAAGGAAGUGGUGGAUCUAUCCUUAAAGAAAAAGAUCAGCAAGACUGAAAUUGAGUGGAAAAUUGCAGAAAUCCAAGCAAAUCUGGAAAAUCAGAAUGUGUCCUCGCUGUCAUAUGUCCCUAGAAGCUGUAACUCUAUUGCUCAUUCUAUUGCAAAGAUAGCUCUAGGUUUUGAAAGUCAAGUCUUUUGGCUGGAAAACUUUCCAGAACAUAUCAGGUGUACUCUUGCUAAGUUCAUCAAUUGAAAAGCUUUACUUUGCUCAUCAAAAAAAAAAAAAAAAAAAAAACUCCAGUGGCUGCAUCCACUGGAAAAAGUGGAUGAGAACCAUUUUUUUUUCAUAAAGGUAACUACUCACAUAAUUGAUGGUGCUUAAAUCAAUUUUUUCUUUCUUUUUUUUUUAAUUUAAAGAAUUUUGCUUUAAAAAAUAAUUAAUAUCAAAAUGCCUUCAAUGUUGUUACCCUCACAAGCCCAGUUAGAGGACUCAUUAAAAAUUUUAGAAUUUUUAGGCCUGGAAAGCGUAGUAUUAAACAUCAGAAAGCAAAGGUUUUUAUGUCGAAGAAUUGAUGUCGACAAAAUUUUAUUUUAGUUUUCGGGAAAAAAAAUAAUUUGUUGACAAGCAAGAAAAUAUUUUUUAUACUUUACAAUCUGCUAUACAUAUUUUAUCAUAUUAAAGUAAUUUUAAUAAUAUAUGGAAACAUAAUAUUAUAAUAAAUAAAUUAAAAUUACUUUGAAUUAUUAAAUAUUACAAAAAGAUAAUUUUAAUAUUAUUAAUAGGAAAACAUUUUUUAAUUGUAAAAUCUUUUUAAUACAAAAAAUCAUUUAAAAUCUUUAUAAUAAAUACAAAUAUAAAAUUAAAAAAUAUCAUAAUUAAAAUUUUUAAUAAUAUUUAAAUAUUAAAAAUACUUUAAUAUUAUUAAUCUACUACAUAAAAUAUAUUAUUUGUAUUAUACUCGUAUUGAUUAAAACGUUUUAAAGUCAAAUUUUUAAUUAGUGUAUUCAAAGGUAUAAAAGAUUUUAGUAUUAUUUUUUAAAAAUUUCAGGAUAUGAAUGAUAAUUUUUUCAAAUUUUAAAGAUGUAAGAAUCUUUUUUUCUGAUAAUUUAUUUCACUUUUAAGAGAAUCCGAAAACGUUAAUUUAACAUUCUUUACCUUUGUAUAAAAAGUGAAAAUCAAGAACUAUUCAAUUUUGUUUUUAUUUGUAAUUCAAAAACGUUAUUCAUUUUCGAUGCUUUUCAAAAGAGAUUCCUUUAAAUCCUUUUGGUGGCUGCAGCUCCUGCAAUUUUCAUAAAUCUCCAUCCCACAUCAACACUAUCAAACAAGUUGAUGGAAAUUCUUAUCAAAAUUCCACAAAUAUGACGUUAUUGCUCAUUUUUCUCUCAAGACGCGUGCCUCCUGAAAAGAGAUACAUUGAAUAAGUCAAUUGAUUACAUUGUGGGUAAUUAAUUUAGAAGUGAAGCAGAGAAUAAAGUCCUAGAUGCCUUUAGAAAUUAGAAAUACAUUUUAUAUGCUUUAAUUAAUGAAUUCACUGAGGCAUUAUUGAUCCAAUCCCAGUGAAGUAAUUGUGGGUGAAAAAAAAAAAUAAAGUGCUGAAUUGGCUAUUAAAAAAGAGUGUCACUUGAUCACAAUCACAUUGAUCCACAACUCACUCGAGGCAAAUUUCAUCUAUGUGUACUGCAAAUUUAGCCAAACCAUGCAUGCAUGAACAAAAUUAGGCCGUAGUCCUCAUCACAACAUUAAUUGAAGCCACAAAAGCCAGCAAAUCCAAACGAAAACUUAAAAGGAAGUCUUUUAACUAUUGGAAACAUUAAUCAUUUUACAAUCUAUUACAUAAUAAAGAUAAAUUUUAUAAUAAGUUAAGUUAGAACUAGGGAAGGCAAAUUUUCCCGAUGGGAUGGGAUCCUGCGGGAUCCCAUCCCAUUUGGGACGGGAUUGAGACAUAUUUUUGUCCCAUAAAAAAAUUUAGGACGGAAUUGGGAUUUUUUUUAUCCCAAUUACAUAUGCGGGACAUGAGUGGGAUUGACAAAUUCCGUCCCAUCCCAUCUCAUUACCGAUUAAUAAUGGAAAUUUUUCCAAUUGGGAUGGGAUCCCGCGGGAUCCCAUCUCUUUUAGGACGGGAUUGGGACAUAUUUUUGUCCCAAAAAAAUAUAAGGACGGGAUUAUGACAUUUUUUCAUCCCAUUUGCAUAUACGGGAUGGGACUGGGAUUGGUAAAUCCCAUCCCAUCCCAUCCCAUUGCCAACCCUAGUUAAAACAUAUCAAAUAUUUUCAACAUAUAUAAUUAUUUAAGAAGUCUUUUAACAAUAUUUUUUUUUCUUUUUCAGUUAAUCAUGUCAUAUACCGUUAUCUAAAACGCUGGCGAUAUUAUUAUUCCUCACUUUUCUCAAAAAAAAAAAAGAAAAAAAAAAGAAACAUGAUUAACGUUUAGAGAAAAGUCAUGCCUUUUAAAAAGAAUAUGUAUACAAUAGCAAUCCAUACUUUAUAAAAUUGAUGGCGAUUACAAAGAAAAAUUGUUUAAAAUAGAUUUGAUGCACAAAUAUGAUGACUUUUGGCAAAAAUUAGUUUCGGAAAUGUUGAGAUGAAAACCAUAUUAAUUGAGAAUUAAAAUUAUUUAACUACCAUCUAAUAGAUGAAAACCAUAUCAAUUGGGACUUAAAUUAAAAUUUAAAUAUUGAAAUAUCUAGCAUUACUCACAAUAACCAAUUCAAAUUAUGACUAUCAUGUAGAAGCAAAUGUUUAUGCGUGGGUUUUUUACUUCUUGAAUUUGAUUGGAAAAAUUUCUAAGAUAGAGAAGUGUUUUGGAUAAGCUUUUCGGGAUUGAAACCACAAAUUGGUAGAGGAAAUUAAUUUUGGACAAAUUUUUCUUAUAUUGUAGGACCUUCUAGUUGGAGUAGUGAUGGCUUUGUCUUCAUUUUUGGUUCCUUUUGUGUCGGCAGCCCCUUACUAUUCUCUUGACCCUGAGUUUGAGAUAGAAAUUUAUCAACCUCCAACCCCACAUCCACAAACAAGUUGAUUGAAACAAUUGCUCUUUUAAUUAAGAGGACCCAAAUGAUUUAGGUUUCAGUUCUUAUCAUUUGUCUAUUAUUUCUUUGAAACAUUUAUUUUGAGCGUUACUGAUCUUAAUUAUCUGUAUUUCUCCAAUUAUUGAAGAAUUUCAAGUGGCCACUUUUUCUCCUUUUUAUAUAUGUUUAUUUUUUGGAGUGAUCAAACGGGUGCAAAAUCAAGUAUUCGCUGGUCCGUAGUUUAGCCAACUAUGGCUGAUCCACACAGUUGAUUAUAUGAUACUAUUAGCUCUCAAAAUCUUUCUUAUUUGAGAACAUAAAUUGCCCAUUAAAGUUAAACUAUGUUACCCAGCUCCAUGCACAUACAUUAAAUGUUUAGGUAGUUUUACAAAAUGAUAACAGCAUGCCAAAACUUGAUGUUGUCAUAUUCGACAUUUCAAAUUGAAAAAUACGCAAGCAAUCUUCAGUGAACAUUACGUGUUUAUUGAAUAAUUUAAAUGGCCAGUAAAUCAACAGUCCGUGAGUUUUAAAUCUAUUAUGACUUAAUGUAUCUUUCUGUAUUUGUACACAUAUUAUAUUAUCAUAGUUUAAAAUUUUAAUAUUAUUUUAAAUGUUAAAAAUACUUUAAUGCUAUUAGUCUACUACACAGGUUAUAUUAUUUAUAUUAUAUUUGUAUUAAUUAAAACUUUUAAUGUCAAUUUUCUAAUUACUAUAUUAAUAAAGUAUUAUGGUUAAGAAAAAGUUUUGGCAUUUCUUCUUGAAAAUUUGAGGGUCUGCAUGACAAUUUUUCCAUAUUCUAAGGGUAUAAGUUUGAAAAUUUAACAUUCUCUAAAUUGAUGAAACAAAAAGGGGAAACCAAGAACUAUUCAAUUUUGUAUUUUUUGUUUGUAAUUCAAAAAAUGCAUCCACCAAACAAGUUUUACGCAUUAAUGCUGUCAUAAAACGAAAAACAAUUUGCCAAAAAAGGGUACCAAACAUAUCCUUAAUGUCUCACAUGAUUUCUUAGUAAGCCCGUAUUAGAUAUAUUUAUACAUUUUAGGUAUUUUAGUUAUAAAAGAAGUUGGCCCUCCCUUGUUUAUAAAAAAUAACUUUAUUCAUGCACAUAUGCCAAAAGAAUAAAUAGACAGAAAGUAAAUUUACAGUCCUCACUUCCUCACAAUUGUUAACGUGAAGAUGCAUUACAACUGUGAACUGUCACUACUUUAGCCUUUUUUUUUAAAAAAAAAAAUUAUAGUGUGAUGGAGACAUUAAGGAUGAGCAUAACAGUUAAAGAUGACUCAUUUUCUUUUUAAAGUGCUCUGCUGAAAGCCGAACUUCCUUUGGCUAAUUAAUUUAGAAGUAAAGCAGAGAAUAAAGUCCUAGACGCCUUCUGAAAUAAGAAAUACAUUUUAUAUGCUUUAAUUAUGAUUAUUUGGUAGACUAAAGACCUAAAAGAUAUGUCAAAAGUAUAAAACAGAGCGAUUAAAGAAAAAAGAAAAAAAACAGAGUAUUUGUGACGUAGAAUAACAAUUGGUAAAUAAAUCCUAAAUAUUUGAGUUGUUAAAAGCAAAUAUAACAGAGACGGUAAGAGAGAUGCAGAAACAGAAAACUAUUAGCUUAUCUUGAUUUUUCCACUAUAUUCAUUUUCAAUGCUUUUCAAACGAGAUUCUUUUAAUUCUUCUGGUGUCUGCAGCCCCGGCUAUUCUUAUAAAUCUCCAUCCCACAUCUGCACUACGAACAAGUUGACUGAAAUUAAAUAAUGUUGGAGAUGAAGGGUGAGCCGUCAACUUGUUAAAAAAAAACUCAUGUAUAAUAUUAUCAAUAAUAUAAAAUAUAUAAUAAUUAUUACAAAGAAUCAUAAAUUAGAAAAAUUAAUUAUUUUACAAUCUAUUUCUUAAGUAAGGUGGCGUUUGUUUUUUCAUCUGAAAUCUGAAUAGACCUGAAUUAAUCUGAAUUCUGAAUAGAUCUGAAUGUCUGAAUCUGAAUAAUAUGUUUGUUUUUUUGUUUGAAUCUUGGAAAAUAAGUAUUAAGUUGUUUGUUUUUUUCAACUUAAAAAGCUGAAAAUAUGUACUUUUACAUUUAUAUCCUUAUUAAAUUUGAAUGUCAAAUAAAUAAUAAAUUAAAUACCACAAUAUUUUAACAUUUAUAAGUAAAACUAUAUUCAAGUGAAUACAUAAUUAUUUUGGAAUUUUAAUAGAUAAAAUACUAAAAAUUUUAAAUUUUAUCGUAUAUAAUAUAAGAAAGAAAAAAUAGGAAAAUUUUCAUGUGGGGUAAAUGUUUAUGGGUGAGUUUUGGGAUAGACAUGAAAAAUAAAUUAUAAAGCAGGGAUAUUUUUGAUAUUAGCAAGUAAUUGACUUAAUUCAGAUUUCUCCAUUAAGUAAAAAGCCAAAAGAAUUGGCUUAUUUUAUUAAGUCAAAAUUAUCUAAAAAGUCUCAUUAAGUUAUAAAAACAAACACCUCUAAUUAACUUAAUUAAUUAAGUUAAGUCACUUUAAGUCAUUAAGUUAAAAAACAAACGCCACCUAAGAUAAAUCUUGUAAUAAGUUAAGUUAUAACGUAAAAAAUAUUUUCAAUUUAUAAUCAUUUAAGAAGUCAUUUAAUAAUAAAAUCUUUUUUUUUUAUCAGUAGGCCAUGCUACAGAGUAUCAUCUAUAUUCGUGGUGAUAUUAUUAUUACUCAGUAUCCUCAAAAAACACGAUUUAACAUUUAGAGAAAAUUCCUGCCUUUUAAAAAGAACAUGUAUGCAAUAGCUAGCCAUACUUUAUUUUACCACGACAAAAUUGAUGGUGAUUAAAUCAAUUUUCUCAAUUAAAGCAAAAUUUUUUAAAAUUGAUUUAAUGCACAAAUAUGAUGAUUUUUUGUAAAAAUUAGUUUUGGAAAAUAUAGUGAGAGAAAAUGGUGACGAUUAUUUUUCAAAUGUGCAAAUAGCCUAAACAUAAUCUCUAAUACCAAUAUCCAUGUGCAUCUUAACACCUUUCAUGAUAUUCUUUCAUUCAUGGCCAUUUGUUCAAGAUUUGAAUUUGAUUAUUAAAUUAUGUUCAAUAAUGUUAGAGAUCCCAACAAUUGAGUACCAACUUAAAUCCCAAUGCUAUGUGUCAUUAACAAAUGUUGUGUCAUUUAUAAUUAUUGAAUGAAUAAUUCGUUAAUUUAUUGAUAAAUGAAAAUUUAUUAAUUUAAAGAGAGAUAUUUUUUUUUGGUUUUAAGAAGAGUUUUGUUGGUACAUGUACAUACUUAUAAAGAAAUAAACUUGUAAUUAUACUAUAUCUUUCUUUCUUUGUUCAGUUUGGUGGGAUAUUGUGAUAAAUCAUUGGAUUAAAAUGCAUUUCUAAAUUGAAACUUGUUAAAAUCUAAUUUAUUUGGGAAACACAUGUUAUUUGUCAGUCGUACUUCUCAACUUAGCAAGUUAUUUCUAACUUGUCAGUCUCUAUUGGUUCUCUUAAAGUUAAUAGUCUCGAAUCUCCCGCAUUUGAUAUCUUGCCAUUACUCUUGGCAUUAACAUGUUACCUGAGAUUGGGAUUCAUUAAAAUCCUCAAUGUAAUCGGUGGAACGAAUGGAUUUCUUCUGUUCACCAAUCCACCAAAAUUUCUGUAAUUAAAUUCAAAAGUCAAGAUCUAUGCUUAUAAUCUAUUCAACAGUUAAUAUUCUAUUUUAUAUUUACUUAAAUAUGAAGAGCUAUGCUUGUCAUUAACUUCAAAUGUGAUCGAAGCAGCCUUACAUCUGUAUAUUACUUAUUCCCAACCUUUUUUUUGACUUCAUAUACUUUCUUUUCAUGUUAUUUACUCUUUUUUCCCCCCUCUCUAAUGGGGUCAAACUUGAAAGUAUCUUAAAAUCAGACAAUAAUUUUUUUUUUAUGAUAGAUGCUAAUAUGCUCUAUUAGGCAAUGAUAAGUAAUAACCUAGUUGUUUGCAUUAGAAAUGAUAUUUUUUGUGGUGCUGAUAAAGUGGUUGAGUAUGAUUCAACAAUUUAAAAUAUGAAAACAUGUGGAAGACGGCUGCAAAUAAAUUGAUUGUAUGAAAAUAUUUCAAUGAAAUUUUAAAAAUUUAAUACUUGUUAUCUUAUCGAGAGUUCCCAAAUAAUUGGGCUAGUUUAAUUACCGGCCUAAUUAUUGUAGCCACUAUUGUAUGUUCCCAAAUGAUCCCCGGGUUAGCUCAUUUAAUUGACUGCACCACUACUGGACUAAUAAGUAAGAUAACUAGCUAUUUGGGUCAAAAGCCUAAAUAUAUCAUUUAGUGGGAGGCUCCAUUUAAUUAGCUUUUGUAUAAGGGGCCUUAUGUUAUUUUACAAGGUGGGUCCCCUAUUGAAAAAGAAAAUAACGUGAGUUUUAUUUAGGGCAUUAUUUGGAGCCUAGGGUUUUCACUAAAGGGAGAUAUAUAAGGCUUAUUUUCUCUAAAGAAAAAAGAAAAGCCACUUUAUACAGAUCAGAGAAUAAGAUUUUUCUCUCCAUUGUUGAGAGAAAAAUUUUCUCGUGCUAGUUGCUUUGGUAGUGAUAAAGGCGCCCACACGUCAAGUGCAGAUCGAACCUGAGUCAUAACCUGGAAGAUCAUUGGUGACAGUUCAUGAUCUAACAAGCGUGGUGGUGACGGUUCGUGAUCUAACAAGCGUGGUGGUGACGGAUCGUGAUAUAACAAGAGUGGUGGUGGCGGAUCGUGAUCUAGGAGCCUAAAUCACUUCAGCGGAAAAAGCCAACUCGGAUUUUCAAGGUACGAUUUCUAGAAUACGAAUUCUUAUAUAUUAUAUGAGAGCGAUCUUCAAAAGGUUUUAUAAAAAUUUAAAAGCAGCAUGUGCUGCUGGCAGCUCGCUGCUGCGUAUGUAGCAACUGCAGCGCGCGAGCAGCAGCUGCAGUGCCCAAGCAGCAGCGUGAACGUGGGCUGGAGGCGCAGAGCGUUCUGGUUGGCGUCUUUCCGGCGUCGAUGACGGCUGUCCGGUGUGGAAACAGUAAACAACGGCUGGGUUUUUGUGCUGGUGGCGGCUGGGGAAGAAGAGGAAAAGAAAAAUGUGAUUUUAGGGUUCCAUGGUUUUUAUCGUGGAGGUCCCUAUAGCUUCAUAUUUUUCAGUUGGGCAGAAACGUUUUUUAAUUUUUUGCAUUUAAGUCCAAAAACCGUUUUGGGCUUAAAGAAUCCUAGUUUUAGGCCCAAUUUCAAUUGGGCUUAAUGGAUUAAAAAAAUGCAUAGACAAAAUUAAAUACAUUAAAUUUAUUUUUGGUCCAAAAGUUUUAUUUUAAUAAAAAAAAUUAAUUAUUUAUUUAUUUCCUUUCAAAAUUAAAAUUGGACCAAUUAUAAAUUUAAAAGCCCAAUUUCCCCUAGUCCAUUAACAAAAACAAGCUUAUGGAAGAUGGACAUUGACAAGAAGCCCAAUGAAGAUUAGGCAUAGGGUUAAUGUAUUUUUCAUUAUUAGGAAAGGCAUGAAUUAAGAUUAUUUAAUUGUUUUUCUAUAUGUUAUGUUUUGGAUGAUAACAUGCCAUGAUAACAUGUAAUAUAGAAUAGGUAGUGCCACUCUAUGCAUAAUGAUACAUGUCAUUCAUUAAUUAUGAAUUUCAUUAUAUUGUUUGAAAUUUGCGCAUGCUUAAUAAUAUUUGAUAUCAUCUAGAUAAUAUUAUAGGAAGCAUGCAAUUAACAAUAUGUAUGUUUUAAAAAGGAAAAACCAAUUUUAAAAUAUUGAGUGGGAGAGGGAAAAUUCAAGAUAAUUUUCCCACGGGCUCCAUUGUUAGUUCAAUAAUAAAAUUAUAUAUAUACCUCGACUUCAUGAUACAGUGAUGCUCAUUACGGAGGGUAUAUAUAUUAGAUAGUUUAUUUGAUGAACUUCUUCAAAGAUAAAAUUGAAAUAUUUUUCAAUCGAUUGUUCACCCCAACGGUGACUAUUGAUAUGAAAAAUACGUAGAUUGAAACAAUGGUUAUACACUCAACUAAAGUUUGUUAUUAAUCUUCCCAACGAAGCUCUGUUAACAAAUUUAGGCCCAAAAAGAUAACGAUAAUUAUUUAUCAUGUCUCUACAUGAAAGUAAAUAAUCCAAUGGGUAAUUGGGUCUAGUAAGUAUAGACAUGACUUCCCCACCGGAUAGCUUGUCAAAGCAGUACUAGAUUAUCGUUACAAUAAAUUAAAAUGCAUUUAUGGUUUUUUGCAUUUUUUUCAUUUAUUGUGAAUAUUGAUUCAAAUUAUUUAUGCAUGGAUGUUUUUAUUUUUCAGAAAAUGUCUUCCCUGAGCCCACUUACUAUUAUUCUGAGUCAAAACAAACUCACUGGAGAGAACUAUAUAGAUUGGAAAAGAAAUCUAUUCAUUGUCCUGACUGCUGAAAAUUAUAAAUAUGUCUUAACCCAGCCAUGCCCCCCAGUUCCAGCGGAUGAUGCUCAUAGAAAUCAGAGGAGGCUUUAUGAGAAAUGGCAAAAGGCCAAUGAAAUGGCAAAGUGCUACAUUUUAGCCUCGAUUUCUAAUAUUCUGCAGACCAAACAUCAGAACUUGGAGACUGCCACUGAAAUAAUGAAUAGUCUCCAACAGAUGUUCGGGCAGAGUACUCGCUCUGCGAGACAAGCAGCGCUGAAAGGAAUUAUGAACAGUAAAAUGGGGAAGGGCACAAGAGUUCGUGAUCAUGUCCUCAAAAUGAUGGACUAUUUGAAUGAGGCUGAGAUUCAGGGAGCACAAAUCGAUGAUAACUCAAAGAUUGACAUGGUGCUAGAAUCUCUGCCAGAAACAUUCAAGGAGUUUAAGGUCAAUUAUAACAUGAACAAAAGAAAUAUGACCUUAACUGAAUUGAUGAAUGAACUCCAUUCUGCUGAAGAGAUCUAUCGUGCUGAGAAAUCUCUGGGAAGCAUAAAUUUUACUGAAAAAAGUUCAUCUUCUGGGCCUAAACCGAAAGGCAAAGGUAAGAAGAAAGCUGGGAAAAAAAGACCGUCUACCAAGCAAGAUGGCAAGCCGAAAGGCAAAUGCUUCAAGUGUGGACAGAAAGGUCACUGGAAAAAGGAUUGCCCUAAGAUUGUGAAAUCAGGUAUGGGAAAUCUUUUUUGUAAUUGAGGCCUGUUUAGUUCAGAAUCCUAUUGACACUUGGGUGUUGGAUUCAGGAGCAACUAAUCAUAUUUGUAAUUCACUUUAUUGGUUUCAGGAAACCAGGAAAAUAAGUGAAAGAAGCGUCAAGCUGCAGUUAGGGACAGGACAGUUCGUGUCAGCAGUAAAGACUGGAUCUGUUUUAUUAUCUUUUAAUAAUGAGACUUUAGUUUUGAAUAAUUGUCUUUAUGUUCUAGACAUUAAGAGGAAUUUAAUUUCAGUAGCUUGUUUGUCAAAGCAAGGGUACACUGUAAAUUUUGGAUCCUCUGUUUCUAUUUUUCAUAAUAAGAGACUUAUUUGUUCUGGUACAUUGGAAGAUAAUUUAUAUCAUUUAAGUCCAAUGAUCCAUUCUAUGCAUGACACAGUGAUAAAUAAUAAUGAGCAUACACAUUUAUCUAAGAAAAGAAAUAUUUCUUCCAACCAAUGUUACCUCUGGCAUUUAUGCUUGGGUCAUAUAAACCAAAAUAGGAUACAAAGAAUGAUCAAAGAUGGGCUCUUGGGUCCAUUAGAAAAUGAAUCAUUGCCACUCUGUGAAUCCUGUUUAGAAGGGAAAAUGACCAAAAGGCCAUUCUCGGCCAAAGGAGUACGUGCAACAGUACCACUUGAAUUGGUACAUACAGAUGUAUGUGGACCAAUCAAUGUACAAGCUCGAGGAGGUUAUGAGUAUUUCAUCACUUUUACUAAUGAUUACUCAAGAUACGGUUAUGUUUAUCUGAUGCGUCAUAAGUCUGAAGCUCUUGAGAAAUUCAAAGAGUAUAGGGCUGAGACAGAAAAGCAAUUAGAUAAGAACAUAAAGAAACUUCGAUCUGAUCGAGGUGGUGAAUUUCUCUCAGGAGAUUUCAAAGAGUAUCUGGUUGAAAAUGGGAUUAUAUCUCAAUUGACUGCCUCGGGAACACCACAACAAAAUGGGGUAGCUGAAAGAAGAAAUAGAACUCUUUUGGAUAUGGUGAGAUCUAUGCUUAGUUAUUCUUCAUUACCAAUCUCUUUUUGGGGACUAGCACUGGAAACUGCAGUUUACCUUUUGAACUUAGUUCCAUCUAAGUCAGUGCCUAAAACCCCAAUAGAAUUAUGGUCAGGUCGCAAACCAAGUUUACGACAUGUCCGUAUUUGGGGAUCACCAGCACAUGUGCUGAAACCAAAGGCAGACAAAAUGGAUUCACGUUCUGAGGUUUGUAUGUUUGUGGGGUAUCCCAAAGGAACAAGGGGAGGUUUAUUUUAUAGUCCUCAAGAUAGGAAAGUGAUCGUGAGCACACAUUUCACUUCCCUUGAGGAAGACUAUAUGAAUAACUUCAAACCUAAGAGUAAGGUAAUACUUGAAGAGCUGUCAGGUGAUCAGGUUGAUGCUCAGCUUUCAACGCCUGUUACAGAACAGGAAGAACAGCAACAACCAGAUGAUCAACACAGGAUUAACCCUGAACAACCAUCACUUUUAUAACCUCGUCGUAGUGGGAGGGUAACUAGGUUACCUGCGAGAUACAUGUUUUUGGGAGAAAUCUAUACGGCUAUCUCAGAUGAACAUGUACAAGAUCCCACUAGUUACAACGAAGCUCUAAUAGAUAGAGAUGUUGAAUUUUGGAAAAAGGCCAUGAAUCAAGAAAUGGAUUCUAUGUAUUCCAAUAAAGUCUGGGAACUUGUAGAGGCACCAAAUGGGAUAAAACCUAUAGGGUGCAAGUGGAUCUACAAGAGAAAAAGAGGAGUAGACGGAAGGGUGGAAACAUUUAAAGCAAGAUUAGUAGCCAAAGGGUUUACUCAGAAAGAGGGAAUUGAUUAUGAGGAAACUUUUUCUCCGGUUGCUAUGCUUAAAUCCAUCAGGAUUCUGCUCUCCAUUGCUGUAAUGCUAGAUUAUGAAAUUUGGCAAAUGGAUGUCAAGACUGCCUUUCUUAACGGGCAUCUUGAAGAAAACAUCUACAUGCAGCAACCAGAUGGAUUUAUACAAAAAGGCCAAGAACACAUGGUAUGUAAGUUGCAGAAAUCCAUUUAUGGAUUGAAACAAGCAUCCCGGUCAUGGAACAUCAGAUUUGAUCAAGCGAUUAAAUCGUUUGGAUUCAUUCAGAACAUUGAUGAACCAUGUGUGUACAAGAAAAUUCAAGAAAAAUCUGUAGCCUUCCUAAUUUUUUAUGUAGACGAUAUUCUCCUAAUUGGAAACGAUAUAGGAGUAUUGACUACAAUAAAGAGUUGGUUAGCAAAACAAUUUGAUAUGAAAGACCUGGGAGAGGCAAGUUAUAUUCUUGGUAUCAAAUUACUACGAGACCAGAAGAAUAAAACUUUAGCCUUGUCUCAAGCGGUCUAUAUCGAUAAGAUAUUGGCUAGAUUUAGCAUGGAAAAUUCCAAGACUGGUUUAUUACCAUUCAGACAUGGAAUUACAUUCUCUAAGGAUCAAUCACCUAAAACAUCUGAAGAGAUAGAGAGAAUGAGACGAGUUCCCUAUGCAGAAGCUGUGGGAAGUCUUAUGUAUGCCAUGCUUUGCACUAGGCCAGACAUCUGUUUUGCGGUAGGGAUGGUUAGUAGAUAUCAAUCUAAUCCUGGACCUGAACACUGGACUGCGGUCAAGCAUAUAAUGAAGUAUCUGAAAAGAACUAAAAAUUAUAUGCUUGUGUAUUCUGGUGAUGAACUCAUUCCAGUGGGUUAUACUGAUUCUGACUUUAUGUCAGAUAAGGAUUCCAGAAAAUCAACUUCCGGCUAUGUGUUUACAUUGGGAAGUGGAACUAUUAGUUGGAGGAGUGUGAAACAAUCUUGUAUCGCAGACUCCACAACUGAAGCUGAAUAUGUGGCUGCAUCCGAAACUGCAAAAGAAGCUGUAUGGCUCCGCAAGUUCCUACAAGAUCUUGAGGUGGUACCUGCUGUAACUGCACCCCUUAAACUAUUUUGCGAUAAUAGUGGUGCGGUAGCUAAAUCUAAGGAACCACAAGAAACAAAAACAUAUUGAGAGGAAGUAUCAUCUUAUAAGGGAUAUAGUGCAGAGAGGUGAUGUGGAGGUUACUCAGAUUGCGUCACAGCAAAACUUGGCAGAUCCUUUUACUAAGGCCAUACCUGGGAAACCUUUUAACUUGCACUUGGAAUCCAUGGGCAUGCGUGAGAUGCCAAAUAUGCUUUGAGAGCUAGUGGGAGAUUGUUGGGAAAAUAUGCCCUUUAAAAGCAUAUGUGUUUAUUUAAUUGUAAUAAACAAUUUUUCUGAUUAAUAAAAUAAAUGAGGUAUUUUAUUCAAAUAUCUUAAUUGCAUUAAUAUUUGUAUUAAAGUCCAUUUAAUCAUAUUAUAUGUAUUUAUGUGAUCACCAUGUGGAUUCACAGAAGACAUAAAUACAAGUUAUCUUAUGAUUAAAUAAAUUUAGUUCGCAGUUGAUAAAUAAAGUUGGGCACUUUAUUUAGGUAUAGACUGUAAUAAAUUCAUUGAAUGAUUUGUCUUAAUCAUGUAUGAAUUUAUUGAUGUAGUACGACUACAUUAAACAGGAUCACAUGUGAGAUUUAAUUAACUUUGUAAUAACUGUCAGACUUAUUAAAUCUUAUAGGCAUUGAUUUUACUGUAAUCUUAAUCUUGAGUUAAUUAUGAUUUCAUGAUUGUAAUUGUUAUUCCAUUUGAGUUACCAAUGGGCACGACACAUCCUUGUGGUCAAGAUUACCCGGUAUCUUGGUGGGAGCAAUUAUGAGUAUUGGAGUUAUGGAUUAACAAUAUAGAAUUUGUACAACACAUCUCUCGAUAGGUUUUCGGCACUUGAUCAUAGAAUUCUUUGGCCAGAGUGUGUCAACAUAUUUAGUAUGUUGAAAAUGAUCAUUAGAGAAAACCAGUAAGGAUCAAGGAAUAAGAUGUUAUUAAAUUGAUUGGACAGUUGAGAUAUCAAUUUAAUUAACGAUGUGGUACAAAGGAUUGUGCAGUAAAGAAAUCAAUGUGGCUUGGGACGAAUUAUUAUUCGAGCAUACAAUUAUGGAAGUCAGUUCCAAUCUUUUAGUGGAGUAGAUUUGGAAUUAAAUAAUUGGGCUAGUUUAAUUACAGGCCUAAUUAUUGUAGCCACUAUUGUAUGUUCCCAAAUGAUCCCCGGGUUAGCUCAUUUAAUUGACUGCACCACUACUGGACUAAUAAGUAAGAUAACUAGCUAUUUGGGUCAAAAGCCUAAAUAUAUCAUUUAGUGGGAGGCUCCAUUUAAUUAGCUUUUGUAUAAGGGGCCUUAUGUUAUUUUACAAGGUGGGUCCCCUAUUGAAAAAGAAAAUAAUGUGAGUUUUAUUUAGGGCAUUAUUUGGAGCCUAGGGUUUUCACUAAAGAGAGAUAUAUAAGGCUUAUUUUCUCUAAAGAAAAAAGAAAAGCCACUUUAUACAGAUCAGAGAAUAAGAUUUUUCUCUCCAUUGUUGAGAGAAAAAUUUUCUCGUGCUAGUUGCUUUGGUAGUGAUAAAGGCACCCACACGUCAAGUGCAGAUCAAACCUGAGUCAUAACCUGGAAGAUCAUUGGUGACAGUUCAUGAUCUAACAAGCGUGGUGGUGACGGUUCGUGAUCUAACAAGCGUGGUGGUGACGGAUCGUGAUCUAACAAGAGUGGUGGUGGCGGAUCGUGAUCUAGGAGCCUAAAUCACUUCAGCGAAAAAAGCCAACUCGGAUUUUCAAGGUACGAUUUCUAGAAUACGAAUUCUUAUAUAUUAUAUGAGAGCGAUCUUCAAAACGUUUUAUAAAAAUUUAAAAACCGAAUUUUUUCACCAACACUAUGUAGCUAGAUGGCAUUUCUAGUGUUUCAAGGUUUAAAAGGGUGCAUAGCAGUGAAGGAAGGCAUUUGACCGAAGGGAUAUUCAAUUUCAAAUACUUCAAAAGAUAUAAAUUUUCUAAUCCGGGCGGAUAUUGGUCCAGGACUGCAAAACCCAAAUUCAAUACCUGAAGGUGUUUGAACUUUUUACAAAAAUUCUCGCAAUCUAUCAGAGCGAGACGAUCGCUUUCUGAACUGUGAUUCAGAAAAGAUUGGAGACGCAUGUCAGAAUAUUCUAAAGGAAAGAAGUCAAUCAGGCGUUCCACAAUGAAGCACCGUUUAACAUUUGCCACUGAUUCUUCUUCCAUUUCAGGCGUCAAGACAAAUCCCGUCUUCUUUGCCACAAAAUACAAUGAAGUAAAUUCAAGACUUGGAACAUAACACGCUUUAAUUGUGCCGCCGGCGCUUCUCUUACUCACUUGAAUGAAGCCGCGAUGGAUUAGUUCUUUCAAGUAAUGUUCGGCAGUUUCUUCAUCGUUGUAUGGUAUGAAACCUUCAGCUACCCACAACUGAUAUAAUUGCCUCGUGGACAUCUCAAUACUUGGAGGGAAGACACACAAAUAGAUGCAGCAGACUUUCAAGUGAAAAGGUAACUCCAUCACAGAAAAAAUUUAUCUCCAAACUGUCGGAAUCGCUUCGCCUUGAACAUAAUUUUCUAAUGGCAUACUUCCAUAGUGUAGGAUGAAAAAUUGCCAGGCUUCAUGCUUUAAUCUGAUCAAUGGUCCUCCAAAGAGCACUGAAUCACGCCGAAUCUUCUCUCCAUUUUCCAUUUCCAACGACGCAAGGAGGUGUGGAUCACUGACCAACAUCAAUACUCUGCUUCCAUUCUGAUUAUCAGGAAGAACUUUUUCAAGAUCACUCCAUAUCUUACUGUCAUCGAAGACAUCAUCAAGCACAAUAAAGUACUUCUUGUUUGUUAGGUAAUCUCGAAGAAUAGAUUUCUUCAAUUGAUAAUCUUCCCCGAUAAUUACACUAACCCGAGCUGGAGGCAUCACAGACUUGAUUAUGCCAUCCAAUAUCUUGCCAAAAUCGUAGGUUAUCGAAACCCUGACCCAAGCAAGACAGUCAAAAUAGAACUUGACGUGAUCAUUAUUGUAAGUAUCUGCAGCAAAAGCAGUCUUAUCGAAGCCACUGCUGUCGAGAAUUGCAACCACUGCAAGCCCAGAUGGUCCCUCAAUCAAUAGAUCAAACAACUCCUCCCUGCCCCUUUGAAAUUCAUUGAUAUCGAGCCGAGGUUGUCCCUCAUUCAAUAGGCGAAUGAUUUCGUUACUUUUCUCACUGAUAUCAAAACCAUUGUCGCCGGGUGGAAGUUGUUGCAUCCGAUUUCUAAUAUCAAUGAUUUUAGUGUGGAGUCCAACAAGAAGAGCCAUAUCAGUACUGCUUUCACUUUCGUUUUCACUGUUUUGCUGCUGCAUGAUGUUGAUGAAGAAUCUGUCAAUGGCUUCCUCAGAUUCAUGGACAAAGUCAUUGAUGUCCUCCAGAAUUUCCAAAAUAUCUGCUCUUUCAACAUCUUCUUCAUCGCUUUCUUCUAAGUCCAACAGUUCAUCGAAAUCUUCUCUAAGGAGUUGAAACAAAUGCCGAGCCAUGUCAACUUCAUAUUUUCCCAGCAGAGUAGUAGCAAUAAUUUCGGACUCCGUAAGAAGGUUUUGAAAAAGUGGAGUUAAAUUUGUUGAAUCUGGCAGCGGCAACGUGCCUUCUUCACCUGCUAACACCCUUUUCAACCUCUCACGAAAUAGUCGGAGGUGGACGUCCAGCAUAUCUCCUUCUCUCUGUAUCACCCAGAGGUAUAGUUGAAAGAUUAAACACCAUGGAAGAAUUUGAAAGGAAAAUGCCAAGAAACUGUGUAAGUGGCUAAACCAUGAAAAAUUGAUCAUUUUUUUGCAUUGUAAGUUGCGCGUUCAUUUAGAGAAAAGUCCAAGACGCGUGCCUUUUGCAAAGAACAGGUAUCCCAAUCGGUAUCCAACCUUUAUCUUAUUUAAUUACUACCAUGACAUAAUUGAUGGUGCUUAAAUCAAUUGUUUCUUUUUUAAUUUAAAGAAUUUUUCAUUAAAAAAAUAUUUUAAUAUCAAAUUGCCUUCAGUGGCGUAACAACUGCCUCAAGCCCAGUAACAGGACUAAUUAAAAAUUUUACAAUUUUGGGGCAUGGAAAUAGUAGUAUUAAACAUUAGAAAGGUAAGGUUGUUCUGUUAAAGAAUUGAUAUUGACAUAAUUUUAUUUUGGUUUUCGUGGAAAAAAAAAAUUUGUUGACAAGCAAGAAAAUAUUUUAUCAUAUAAAAGUAAUUUUAAAAAUAAAUAGAAACAUAAUAUUACAAUAAAUAAAUUAAAGUUUAAAUUAUUUGGAAUAUUAUAAAAAAUAAUGUUAAUAUUAUUAAUAGGAAGACAUUUUGUUAAUUUUAAAAUCUUUUUAAUCCAAAGGUUUAUUUAAAAUCUCUAUAAUAAAUACAAAUAUAAGAUUAAAAUAAAAAUCAUAAUUUGAAAUUUUUAAUAUUAUUUUAAAUGUUAAAUAUACUUUAAUGUUAUUAGCCUACUACGUAGAUUUUAUUAUUUAUAUUAUAUUCGUAUUGAUUAAAAUUUUUUAAAGUCAAUUUUUUAGUUAGUACAUUCAAGAGGUAUUAUAGUUAAAGAAAAGAUUUUGGUGCAACUGUUUUAAAAUUUCAGCGUCUAAAUGAUAAUUUUUUUAAAAUUUAAGGAAGUAGGUAUUAUUUUUCCAACAAUUAUUUUACUUUUGAGGGAAAUCCGAUAAGAAAUAUCAUCAAAGAACAUUAAUUUAACAUUCUUUACCUUUAUGAAAAAAGUGAAAACCAAGAACUAUUCAAUUUUGUAUUUUUUGUUUGUAAUUCAAAAAAUGCAUCCACCAAACAUGCUUAUCUUGAUUUUCCCACUUUAUUCAUUUUCGAUGCUUUUCAAAAGAGGUUCCUUUACUGGUCAUUGUCUACACUAUCAAACAAGUUGAUGGAAAUUGAACCCAUUAAGUUAUGUUCAUUACUGGUCAUUGUCUUUCUAUGAGCCACUUAUUUGGAGCAUUAGCGAUCUUAUAAGGAAUCAUGCCUUUUCAGGAUCGUUUUCUUUCAUUUCCCUAUUGUAGUAGUUAAUUAAAUAAAGAACGAACAGCUGAACUUGGUCUAUUUCGAGGAAGACCAAGGCUUCCAAUACUAGAGGAACUUUGAAGAAAAUUAAUUGGAAACCUUUAUUCAUCUUUGAAGAAAAUUACGUGCCAAUGUAACGAAGGCUUUUAUUCAUCUUCGGACUAUGAAUUUGUACAAAAACAUUAACAGAAAAUAAUAAAGACACAGCUAAAUGAUAGCAGCAAGUGCUGAUUUAGUGAACCACUUCUACAAGUAAAUAAAAACUAAAUAUUUAUUUUGACUAUAACAACAACUACCCUCUUGAAUAGGACUCUACAGCAGCCACAUGACAACUAAUUUCUCCAUAAUAUUAUUAUUAGUAGAAGUAGAUUUUCAAAAUUGUCUUGAUAUAUUUCAAAGUUGUAUUAUCAGCGUAUAUGUAUCUAGAUUGUAACUAUAUUUUAAAAAAUAUAAAAAUUUUAAUUAUUGCACAGUAAUGUAGAACAAUAUCUACAAAAUAAUAUUGUUAGGACUAAGAAAAAAUAUUAUUUUAGAUAAGUUAUUUAUUUAUUAUUGAAUGAAAAAUUUAUCAUGAUAAAUGAAUAUUUAUUAAUUUAAAGAGAGAUUUUUUUUGGUUUUAAGAAGAGUUUGUUUGGUACAUGCACACACUAAUAAAGAAACACAAAAAGUGCUUCCUCAAGUCAAUAGUAUUUGCUUUAAUUGCUAAGGUGCAUAAUAACGUAGCUUAGUUAGGAAAUUUGUAAUUAUAUUAUGGCUCCGUUUGGUAUAAUUUUUUAACUAGAACUUAUUUAAGGAGGGCUUUUAUUAGUAGAGUUUUUAUAAAUAGAGAUUUAACAAAAAAAAUUAUAGUUAUUUAGUUGUCAAUGUACAAAUUGAUGAAUUAUUGUUCUUUUUGUUAACAUGUGUUUGUUUUACUUAAUAAUAAAAGUUUAGUUUACAACAUUGAAGUUCAGCAGAGCAUUUUUGCAGCCAGUCACAUUAUACAUUAUACUAAUAGCAUCGGCAAGAGUUUUCGAUUGUUGCAACUUGCAAUGCACACGAUGCGAGAAAAUGAGAAUCUUGUUUAAUUGCAAUAUUGACAAACCUAAUCCUUUCGUAGGGAGUAAUUUAAUAAUCGUUCGUUAGUUGAAGCGUUAAUUUAAUAAGCGUUGAUUUCCCUUCGAUAACUCGAAGUCCACGACGAUUCUUCUUCUUCUCUGCUGCUCAUUACGCUUCUACCCAAACCCUAGGAUUCAAACCUUUGCUUAGGAGAGAAUCAAAGCGAUUGGUGUUGGAGGUGAUUGAGGCUCUUAGAAGCUUAGAGGUGUGUUAAUUCAAAUUCUUUUGUCGAGAUAAGUAAUUUCAUUCCUAAUAUACUGGAUAUGUAUAAGUAUUUUGAUGUUAUUAUAAGAGUUUUUAUACUUCUUAGAAGAUUAAUAGAUUUUCAUACCAAAAUUAGUUUAUGAAAAUGUUUUCAAAUCUGAAUUCUUUUGAUAAAAUAUUUUACAAAUGCGUUUUAAUAUGUAAAUUAUUUUAUGACAUGACUGCCUUUUAUGAUUUUGUCUAUGAAAUAUUUUUGCAAGCCUAAAUUGUUGCUAUAGACUUUCAUGAAUCUAAUAUGAAUGUUUUGUGCCUAUGUAUGAUUUUAAUUAUUUAUGACUGUACGGGGGCCACCUCUUGAGAUUAUAUGGGGGCCACCUCUUGAGGGCCAAAGCGCCGCAAAGUGCCACAUAGAGUGCAAAGUGCCAUGUAUAAGUCAUUAUGUUUUGGCUCAUUGUCCGUAGUUAUUCUGAUUCUAAUUCUGAUCGUAUUAUACGAUAUAUUUGUUCUGGACUAGUACUAGGUUUAUGUUCUAAGUGUGCACACGAUAUUCUGAUUCUGUUUCUGGUCAGGUCACCGAGACUAUAGGUGAUACUAUGUGACAUGAGCUAACUAUCUGCUUUCUGUGUACACUUUAUACGAUUUGCUUUCAUAAUUGAUUAUUCUUUUGAUACUCUGAAUUACCAUGAAUUUAUGUUAUAUAAUUGAAAUAUGUUGUUUUAUGAAGUUUAUGACUUAUAAUAUAUGUUUUUGAAUAAAAGAAGGCUUGCAAUAUUUUUGAUAUCGAUAGGCCUAGUGUAUUAGGAAUGAUUUUACCUACCGAGUUGACAGCCCACCCCUCGUUAUUACUUUUUGCAGAUUAAGUUCCUUUUAAGAGGUAUGCGUAGCUUUGGAGUUAGAGAUUUCGUUUCCGUUUGCUAUUUGAAUAAGAAGAGGAAUAGACUCAUGUUUCUUUUUAGUUUAUUUCUGUUAUGAGCUUGUAAUUUGGAGUUUGAGACUUUUGUUAUUGUUAUGUUUUGGAAGAGAUUAUUUAGUGUUAGACGUAUUAAUUUGCGGAUUUAUUUGAAUAAGAAUUUGAGGUAUUUGAGCUUGGAAUUUAUAAGUAAGGAUUACGAUUUGUAAGUAACCUCAUUCUUCAUGUGCUCCGCACGUGUUAGAUUUGGGGUGUUAUAUGUUUCGUAUAACUUUUCAAGUAGAGCUUAUUUAAAUAGAAUAUUCGUCAAUAAAGCUUCUAUAAAUAUAGAUUUUACUAAAAAAAAUUUAGUUGUUUGGUUGUCAAUGUCCAAAUUGACGAACUUUUGUUCCUUUGCUAACAUGUAUUUGUUUUACUUAAUAAUAGAAGUUUAGCUUACAAUUACACCGGCGUCAAAUCAACAGAGCAUUUUGGCAGCCAGUCACAUUAUACAUUAUACUAAUAGCAUCGGCAAGAGUUUUCGGUUGUUGCAACUUGCAAUGCACGCGAUGAGAGAAAAUGAGAAUCUUUUCUAAUUGCAAUAAUGACAAACCUAAUCCUUUCGUUGGGAGUAAUUUAAUAAUCGUUUGUUAUAAUUGAAUAUGUAUAAAGAAAGGAAAAUUCUAUUCAUAGAUUUCGACUUAUUUUUUGUUUAAAGUAAUUAAUCAUUCAACCAUCUUCAUUUGCCUCUGGCCAGUGCCCUUGUAGAUUAGUUGAAGCGUUAAUUAAUUCAGAUAAUUACAACGUCCUUUUCGCUAAUUAAUUAUGAUUAUAUAUGUUUCAUAUAGCAAGUGGCUUUGUAGAUCUAAACCAAGUUGCUAUUUCAAAACGUUAAUUAAGUGAUUCUCCUCAUUGUCAUCAGCGUUAUACGCUCUAGGAAAAUAGCUCAAUUGUUUCCCUGCAUUGACUUUCAUUGGUAAGUGAUUUCUUAUGAAAUUCUUUUGAGCUUUCCUUAUUAAAAAAGCUUGAGCUUUUAUCACCUAAUGCGGAUAUCAAUUAACUUGUGAAUGAUUUUGCAAUGAAACUAGGAGUUAAAUAAGAUUUUUACAUGAUGAAUUUUUAUUUUUUUAAUUUUUUGAUGUAGUCAAUUUGCUAAUUUUAUGUAUUUCAUAUUCAACGGAAUUUGGGCACGGAAAGUUUGGAUUCUAAUAUUUAUAUGUUUAGCUUUAAUCAGUUUGACUUUCGUAAUCUUUUUCCCCUCAUCAUUAAGGGAUUCAGAAUUAGAGAAACGUUAGGAAGAGGAAGAAAAUAAUUUCGGAAAUAAGUAAGAGGGAAAAAAUUAUUAAAUUAGGAAUGAUUUUUUGUAGAGUAUGUUCCGUUUACUAAACUGAAAUCGAAAUGAGCUGGAAUCAGAAUGGAUAGAAAUGCGAAUGCGCUGGAAUGAGAAUAAGUAAUGAGAAUCAGAAUAAGUUGUUUACUUGAAUUGUAAGAAUCGAAAUCGAAAUGAGCUGGAUUGCAAUUACUUUGUCCUACAAUUAGAAUCGGAAUGAGUUAGAUUGUAACAAAUUACUAAAAGGUACUUAAUGAAUUAUUGUCAUAAUAUUAUUUUAUAUUUUAAUUAUAGUGAUUAUUUAUUCUAAAAUUAUUAUUAUUAAUUAUUUUCAAUAAUAUGUUAAUAUGUUAAUUAAUUUUAAAAAUUAUUAAUUAAUUUAUUAUAAUAAUAUACUAAUUAAUUAUAAUAAUUAUUAUAAAAAUAUAUUAAUUAUUAAUAAUGAAAUUACUUAUUUAAUUAUAAUAAUAUAUUAAUUAUUGUGAUUAUUUAUUCAAAAAUUAUAAUUAUUAAUAAUUAUUGUUAAUAAUGUAUCAAUAUAUUUUAUAUUAUGAAAUUGUGAUGUAUUGUAGACAAAUAAGGAAUUUGGUACAAUAAAUUCUUAAUAUCUUAGUACAAAGUAUGGUAAAAUGGUAUUUUAACUUAUUGUAGACAGAUUAAAUUUCGACACACUUAAUCCAUGAUAAAAUUAAUGGAAAAUAAUGAUAAUUUAUACAAUUAAUCUUUUGAGCAAUAAAAAAAUAAAAGAAAAAGAAGUUACUAAAUUAUGUUUACUGCUAAGAGUGAAUCCACAAUCCUAAAUAAUUAUUUCCAUCGUUUCACUUAAAUUAAAUAGUGUGAAUUUAAAUUCUAAUUUUUUGAUAAAUUAAAAAGAAAUAAAAAAUUAAAAUUUUUCUCUAUGGAUCGACCUCGGAUUGAUCAAUUUAUUUCAUAACAACACACUUUUAUACUUGAGAGUUAUAAAUCACUUUGAAGUUGUGUUAAGUUUUUGACGCUCUUACGGGGAAAAAAUAUUUAUUUUAUUUUAUGUAUGGGUCAAACUUGAAAGUAUAUUUUAAGAUAACUGCUAAUAUGCUCUAUUAGACAAUGAUAACCUAGUUGUUUGUGGUGUUCAUAAUGAGUUUAAUUAUGAUUAAACAAUUUAAAAUAUGAAAAAAUAUGGAAGAUGGCCGUAAUUAAAUUGAUUGCAUGAAAAUAUUUCAAUGAAAUUUUAAAAAUUUGGUACUUAUUAUCUUAUCAAAAGAUUUUUAAAUUAUAUUACUACUUCAACUUAACUCCUCCUGGAUUGAUUGUAUUGAAUUUCCAGCACUGCCAUUGCUUCUACUUGAAAGCCAUUUAAGUUUGUGUAAGCUACCUAUAGUUUGAAUAACAAUUUACUCAUGAAUUGCCGUUCAUGAUAACAAUUUGAUUGAAAGUGCGGCUCCACUAAUUGUCUAGAUGAUUUUUUCCCACAUGUUUGUUCUCGUACGACCCCAGAAUGCUGUUAUAUCAGUUGUAUUGGAAAUUAAUCAACUGGUUACAACUCUACACCCCAUCAAUAUUUAAGCAGUCUACAGAACAUUAAUUGUGUUUUGAAAUUUUAAUGAGUCUCACGUGUUUUUCACGUGAUAUGCAGUAAAAACAAAAUUAAAAAAAUGUGAACAUUCAGCCCCAAAAUCCCCAACUCCUUCCAAAUUGGUUCCGCAGCCCCCAAAUCCCUUAAACCCAAAUCACUCUAAAAAGACUCUCCUCAGCCAAAAAGAAAAAGGUCACCUCACCUCUCCUCUUCUUCUUCCAUGGCGAUCAACGGCGGCACAAGCACGGGCUGAUCUCCUUCGUCGGUAACGAUCAACGGCGGUACAAGCAUGGGCAGAUCUUUUUUUGGCAAUGAUCAACAGCGGCACAAGCACAGUCGUCCUCAGGUACGGAUUUGAUGUUGGUUGUGUUGUCAAGUAGCGAUUCAUGUUUGGAAGAGAAUCCGCUCGCAAGGACCUGGAGCACUUAAUCGAAGAUCUUAAGCGAGGAAUUCGCUUCCUCCUCAUUCCUAAUCGGUGCCUGGUUCAUCAGUAUGAUUAAGGAUGAAAAUUGAGAAAGAAGGACGCAUUAGGUUUGAGACAUUGGUUGAAAAGCGCUACCCCGGUGGCCACGCUGGAAACAUAUGUUCCGUGGCUUCUUGCGUUGUCUGUGAGGAAUAUGUACUGCUGUAGAAGAUAAUUAUGAAUCAAUGGUAAUUGGCGUGUUGGUUUUGGUGCCGAUUUCCUCUUAUUUUCCAGAAAAGGCUUGUAAUUUGUUCACCUCAAGAUUCAAUUUGUUAUUGAAAAUGGAUGGCUGUAAAGACCUACUGGCCUUUCAUUAUAUUAAUGUUUUUGACAGUAAGUUUGUAAUAGUUAGUGCAGGGAACUUAUUGAUUCUUGAUUAUAUAUAACGGUGGCCCUUAUUACUUUAAAAAAAAAAAAAAAAUUGAUGAUGGGUUUCGUUUUGUAUAAGUGUUUGGAGUGUUGGAAAAUGAACAUUGUAUAUUUUAGAUAGUUGAGUUCCAUAGUAGUGAAAAGCUACGGAUUUGUUUUCUUUGUAUUGAAAUGUGUUUUGACCAUUAUAUGUUGUUUGAUUGGUGAUAGUUUUAUGUUUGUCAGUUCCAGUAGUCUCUUAAUCGCCAUCUGGCAUGGAAACUCACUGUGAAUAUGUGAAGAAUGCAGUGAUCAUAAGGAGUAAAUGAACGAUCAAACAUGCUAAAAUUAAAUACCAAAAAAUAAAAUAAAAUAAAAUAAAAUUGGAACUGGAAGAGUAAAUAGCAAAAGAUUGGGCGAAAAUUGAAUACCAUAACAAAAAAAAAAUUAAAAUAAAUUCAAACGACAAGAGCUAAUUAAGAGCAAAAAGAUGCUUGACUUACCAAGAGCAAGGACCAAGCAAAUGGUUUUACAUUCGGGCUUGAUGGUGAACUGGUUGGAGAUGGGUACGAAUGUGAUCUCGUUGAGAUUUGGAGAAGAGAACGGGGGAAUGGCCACAAUAUCUUUGUUACUUUUUUUUUUAAACUUUAUUUUACUGUUGAUCACAUGAAAAUCACGUGCAAGUCAUUAAAAUUUCUAAACACAGUUACUGCUGUCGUUUCGAUGUUCUCGGGCUAUCACAUGCUCGGUACGUCUAUCACUACUCGUCAAAAAAAAUGACACGCGUUCAUUUCCAAGACGCGUGCCUUACUACCAUGACAUGAUUGAUGGCGCUUAAAUCAAUUGGUUUUUUUUUUUAAUUUAAAGAAUUUUUCAUUAAAAAAAUAUUUUAAUAUCAAAUUGCCUUCAAUGGCAUAACUGCCACAAGCCCAGUAACAGGACUAAGGGUACGUUUGAGAUUGAGGUUGGGCAGCUGUACCUUUUAAGCUACAACACUAAAGUGCUUGGUAAACACUAGCUGCUCUAGGUUGGAAGCUAUAUUAAUAUGAUUUUUCACUUGUAUAAUAGAAAAUAUAUUAUAUCUUUAAUAAUUUUGUCAAAUUUAUAUUUACUACAUAUUAUUAAUUUUUGUUUUAUAGUCACAGCUUUUUUUCCACAGCACCUGUAGCUUAAAAGAUACAGCACCUCAAUCCCAAACGCAUCCUAAUUAAAAAUUUUAGAAUUUUUGGGCAUGGAAUUGAAAAGAGUAGUAUUAAACAUCAGAAAGCUAAGGUUGUUCUGUUAAAGAAUUGAUAUUGACAUAAUUUUAUUUUGGUUUUUGGGGAAAAAAAAUUUGUUGACAAGCAAGAAAAUAUUUUUAUAUUUUACAAUUUAUUAUACAUAUUUUAUCGUAUUAAAGUAAUUUUAAUAAUAAAUAGAAGCAUAAUAUUAAAUAAAGUUUAAAUUAUUUUGAAUAUUAUAAAAAAUAAUUUUAAUAUUAUUAAUAGGAAGAUAUUUUGUUAAUUUUAAAAUCUUUUUAACCCAAAGGUUUAUUUAAAAUGUUUAUUAUAAAUAAAAAUAUAAAAUUAAAUAUCAUAAUUUAAAAUUUUUAAUAUUAUUUUAAGUAUUAAAAAUAUUUUAAUGUUAUUAGUCUGCUACAUAGAUCAUAUUACUUAUAUUAUAUUUGUAAUGACUAAAAAUUUUUAAAAUCAAAUUUUUUAGUUACUAUAUUUACGAGAUAUUAUGGUUAAAGAAAAGACCUUGGUGUUACUUUUUACAAAUUUGAGUGUCUGCAUGAUAAUUUUAUCAAAAUUUAAGAAUGUAUGUGUCCUUUUCUCCAAUAAUUUAUUUCACUUUUGAGGGGAAUCCAAUGAGAAAUAUGAUAAGAGAAUGUCAAUUAUUUGUCAUUUUCUAUUUUUUCUGUAAGCUAUUCAUUUUGAGCAUUAGUGAUCUUGUCUGGACUACUCCAAUUAUUGAUGUAACUCCAGUGGCUGCAUCCACAGUUGAAUAUAUGAUAGUGUUAGCUCUUAUUUGAGAAUUCAGAGGGAUCUUCUAUGUUUAUCAAUUGCAAUGUGCUAGUAUAAAUUUCUUUACCUCACAGUUUAUAUAGUCUUGCUGUUAAAGAACUCACUGAGGCAUUAUUGACUCAAUUUCAGUGGAGCAAUCGCGCGUAGUGGAUAAAUAAAGGAUAACAGAACAGAGCUGAAGUGCUAAAUUGGCUAUUAAAGAAGGGUGUCACAUGAUCACAAUCACAUUGGUGCACAACUAGAGUUAGGCAAAUUUUGUCUAUAUGUACUCUAAAUUCAGACAAACCAUACAUGCAUGAACAAAAAUUAAACCGUCGUUCUAAUCACAACAGUAAUUGAAGCUACAAAAGCCAGCAAAUCUGAACAAAGACUUAAAAGAAAGAUCUUAUUCAAGUUGUCCCCAAAAGACAGCUGAAAUGAAUAAUAUUGACUAUUGAUUGGGUCAAUGCUGAAUUACAUUUCAAUAGGAAAGCUUGGCAGCAGUUACAAUGUUUCCCCCUCUGAUUUUCGUCCAAAACAAAUUCAGUUGUAAACAACAAUCGAAGUAGAAAUAAUUUAUUCAUCAAAGAAAAUACCCAAGUUUUCAACAAACAAAUCUUCUUGUCUAAACUAAAAAAACUCAUCUCUAAAAUCUAUCUGCAAAAUAUUGGAAAUGAGGAGUGAUCCGUCAACUCCAUAAAUAAACUCAUGCAUAAUGUUAACAAUAAUGAUAAAUUACAUAAUAAUUAUUAUAAAGAAUCAUAAAUUGGAAACACUAAUCAUUCUACAAUCUAUUAUAUAAGUAAGAUAAAUCUCAUAAUAAGUUAAGUUAUAAUGUAAUAAAUAUUUUCAAUAUAUAAUUAUUUAAGAAGUCAUUUAACAAUAAAAUAUUUUUUUUAUUCAAUUGAUCAUAUAGCGUUAUCUAAACUCAUGACGAAAUUAUUAUUACUCACUUUUCUAAAAAAAACAUGAUUAACUUUUAGAGAAAAGUCAUGCCUUUUAGAAAGAAUAUUACCGUGACAAAAUUGAUGGUGAUUAAUUCUAUUUUUAAAAUAGAUUUAAUGCACAAAUAUGGUGACUUUUGGCAAAAAUUAGUUUCGGAAGAUAUAGUGGUAGAAAAUAGUGAUGAUUAUUGUUUAAAUGUGUAAAUAGCCGAAGCAUAGCCCGUGAUACCAAUAUCCAUUUGCACCUUCAUUUGGAUUAUCACAUUUCAUGAUAUUCUUUCGUUCAUGACCAUUGUUCAAGAUUUGAAUUUGAAUACAAAUUAAGCUGCAAGGGAGCUUACUUCGGUUUCUAAGCUUUUCAAUUGUGAUUCCUGCAUGCCUUGCUCUGAUACUAUUUUGUUACUUGCCAAUGUAACCAACCUUGUAAUUGGUCUGUAUAAGAAAUCAAGCCCUUUCAGGAUUGUUUUCUUUUGUUUCUCUAUUGUAGUAGUCAACUAAAUAAAGAAUGAACAACUGAACUUGAUCUAUUUUGAUGAAGACCAAGACCUCCAAUACUAAAUGAACUUUGAAGAAGAUUAAUCUACUGCUUUUAUUCAUCUUUGGACUAUGAAUUUAUACAAAGACUUUAACAGAAAAUAACAAAGACAUAGCUAAAUGAUAGCAACAAGUGCUGACUUAGUGGACCACUUCUACAAGUAAAAAAAGACUAAAUAUUUAUUUUGACUAUAACAACAACUACCCUGAUGAACAGGACUCCACAUCAGCCACGUGACAACUAAUUUCUCCUUAAUAUUAUUAUUAGUAGAAGUAGAUUUUCAAACUAGUCUUGAUAUAUUUCAAAGUUGUAUUAACAAUGUAUAUGUAUCUAGAUUGUAACUAUAUUUUUAAAAAAUAAAAUAUUUUAAUUAUUGCACAGUAAAUGUAGAAGAAUAUCUGUAAAAUAAUAUUAUUAGGACUAAAAAAAUAUUAUUUUAGAUAAGUUAUUUAUUUAUUAUUGAAUUGAUAAUUUAUUAAUUUAUUUCUAAAUGAUAUUUAUUAAUUUAAAGAGAGACUUUUUUGGUUUUAUGAAGAGUUUGUUUGGUACAUGUUUACACUUAUAAAGAAACACAAAAAGUGCUUCCUCAAGUCAAUGGUAUUUGCUUUAAUGGCUACGGUUCAUAAUAAUAUAGCUUAGUAAGGAAAUUUGUAAUUAUAAUAUGACUCUUUUAGUACAACUUUUCAAGUAGAAUUUAUUUAAGUAGAGAUUUUGUUAGGAGAAGUAUUGUUAAUAGAGAUUUCACAAAAAAAAUUUUAAUUAUUUGAUUAUAAUAUCCAAAUUGAUGAACUUUUGUUCUUUUGUUAACAUCUGUUUGUUUUACUUAAUAAUAAAACUUUAGUGGGUUUGGCUACAAAUAAAAGUUUAGUGGGUUUGGCUACAAUGCCGUUGGCAUUGUUCCCGGCACCAUGCCGGGCUCUAAAAAAGAGAGCCCGGCUGUCUUUGGCUGCCAUUUGGCAGCCAAAGACUUGGUGCAGCCGGUUAACAAACCGGUUGCACCAUAUUUUUUAAAAAAUAUAUAUUAAAAAUAGAAUAUAAAAAUGAAAAAAAUUAAAUAAAAUGUCAAAAAUAAUUUUUAUAAUAUAAUUAAUAGCAAAAGAUAAAGAAAUUAAAUUAUAUAAUACAAACCCUAUAGUACAAUAUGAUAUAAUUAAAUAAAAUGGCAAAAAAUAAAGAAAUUGAAAAUGAAAAAAAUUGUAUUUCAGUUUUAACGUUAGUUAUUGCAUGUCCGACGUCCCGAUUUCAUGUUUGACAUAAGAAGUUGCAUGUUUUGGAUAAAACCAAAAUAAAGAAUAUUCUGGAAUAUUCUCGUCUGUUUCAUGUUUGACGUCAAAGUUGCGAACUUUACGUGGUAAGUUGCAUAUUUCGCGUGAAGUAUUGCGAGUUUCAUAUUUAACAUCAGUUGUUGCAUUUUUUACGGUUGGAUUUCAUGUUUGACGUACGAUGUUGCAUGUUUUGAAUAAAGCCAAAAUAAAGAAUAUUCCGGAAUAUUCUCGUCCGUUUCAUGUUUGACGUUGAAGUUGAGAACUUUACGUGGUAAGUUGCAUAUUUCGCGUGAAGUAUUGCAAGUUUCAUAUUUAACGUCAGUUGUUGCAUGUCGAACGUCACGGUUGCAUGUUUGACGUAAGCUGAUGCAUGUCUUGAAUAAAGCCAAAAUAAAGAAUAUUCUCGAAUAUUCUCGUCUGUUUCAUGUUUGACGUUGAAGUUGCGAACUUUACGUGGUAAGUUGCAUAUUUCGCGUGAAGUUUUGCAAGUUUCAUGUUUAACGUCGGUCGUUGCAUGUCGGACGUCACGGUUGCAUGUUUGACGUAAGCUGAUGCAUGUCUUGAAUAAAGCCAAAAUAAAAAAUAUUCUCGAAUAUUCUCGUCUGUUUCAUGUUUGACGUCGAAGUUGCGAACUUUACGUGGUAAGUUGCAUAUUUCGCGUGAAGUUUUGCAAGUUUCAUAUUUAAUGUCAGUUCUUGCAUGUCCGACGUCCCGAUUUCAUGUUUGACAUAUGAAGUUGCAUGUUUUGGAUAAAACCAAAAUAAAGAAUAUUCCAGAAUAUUCUCGUCCGUUUCAUGUUUGACGUCGAAGUUGCGAACUUUACGUGGUAAGUUGCAUAUUUCGCGUGAAGUUUUGCAAGUUUCAUAUUUAACGUCAGUUGUUGCAUUUUUUACGGUUGGAUUUCAUGUUUGAUGUACGAUGUUGCAUGUUUUGAAUAAAGCCAAAAUAAAGAAUAUUCUCGAAUAUUGACGUUGAAGCUGCGAACUUUACGUGGUAAGUUGCAUAUUUCGCGUGAAGUAUUGCAAGUUUCAUAUUUAACGUCAGUUGUUGCAUUUUUUACGGUUGGAUUUCAUGUUUGACGUACGAUGUUGCAUGUUUUGAAUAAAGCCAAAAUAAAGAAUAUUCCGGAAUAUUCUCGUCCGUUUCAUGUUUGACGUUGAAGUUGCGAACUUUACGUGGUAAGUUGCAUAUUUCGCGUGAAGUAUUGCAAGUUUCAUGUUUAACAUCCGUCGUUGCAUGUCGGACGUCACGGUUGCAUGUUUGACGUAAGCUGAUGCAUGUCUUGAAUAAAGCCAAAAUAAAGAAUAUUCUCGAAUAUUCUCGUCCGUUUCAUGUUUGACGUCGAAGUUGCGAACUUUACGUGGUAAGUUGCAUAUUUCGCGUGAAGUUUUGUAAGUUUCAUGUUUAACGUCCGUCGUUGCAUGUCGGACAUCACGGUUGAAUGUUUGACGUAAGCUGAUGCAUGUCUUGAAUAAAGCCAAAAUAAAGAAUAUUCUCGAAUAUUCUCGUCCGUUUCAUAUUUGACGUUGAAGUUGCAAACUUUACGUGAUAAGUUGCAUAUUUCACAUGUAGUGUUGUAGGUUGCAUGUUUAACGUUCGUUGUUGCAUGUCCGACGUCCCGAUUGCAUGUUUAACGUAAGAUGUUGCAUGUUUUGAAUAAAGCCAAAAUUAAGAAUAUUUCAGAAUAUUCUCGUCUGUUUCAUGUUUGACGUCGAAAUUGCGAACUUUACGUCAUGAGUUUUAUAUUUCGCGUAAAGCGUUGCAGGUUGUAUGUUUAACGUUAGUUAUUGCAUGUCCGACGUCCCGAUUUCAUGUUUGACGUCGAAGUUGCGAACUUUACGUGAUAAGUUGUAUAUUCUACGUGAAGUGUUAAAUGAAUUUUGUUUUAAAAAUACAGUUUAACCUCAAAACUGUAUGAAACUAUGUUAUGAUCCAAAACGUUAUAAAAAUUUUCAAAUUGGUCCAAUUUUAGAAUUUCUAAUUAUUACUUUAUUAAACUCAAAACUUUCUGAAAUUAAGAUAUGAUCCAAAAUAUAAGAAAUUAUAGAAUGACCCAAAACAUUUAAAUAUUUUGAAAUAGGUCCAAAUCCGAAAUUUAAAACAAUAAUUUAUUAAAAUCAAAGAUUAUGAAAAACAACUUAACUCCAUAAAGACAUAUUCUUAUUGUUAAAGCACAAUACAUAAAUCUUUAUUUAAUCAACACAUGUGGUUUGUUAUCGAAAUCUCAAUACAACACAUUAGUCCAAAAUUAUCCAAAGCAUACGGAAAUAACAUAUUAUCCAUGAAAUAUCAAACAAUCAAAACAAAUCCAUGUCAUUCAAAACAAAUACAUAAUCCAAAAUCAUAAUGAAAUGUAGGUGUGUCCAAAUACAAGCAUAAGAGACUACUAAGGUGGUGAGGAUGGUGGUGAUGGAGGUGGAUACGGAUAUGGAAUGCCGAAGUGCUCAAAGAGGAGGCGCUGUCCAUGAAUAAACUGCUGCUGCUGGUGGUGAAACUCAGUCUGCCACACAGAGAGUGUCCUCACCUCAUCCAUAAGCUGCUGAAGAGUAACUUCUUCAAAAGUAGGAUGCUCGGGAUGUGGUAAAGAAGGUGCAGAGGCUGUAGGAGCCGAGGGAGAUACUGAAGGAGCUCGACGUCUACGCUGACCCCGAAAUGAAAGUGCAAAAACAGGUAGCUGAUGGGCUGGAACCACAGCAUUAAGUGGUCGAUCAUCACUUGGAGCAAGAAAGGUGAACUUUUUAUCAGUGACUUUUACCCAAGUGCCAUUACGACACUCAAAACCUAAAGAACUAACAGCCUCAUCCCCAAUGCUCUUAGACGGCCUACAUGAUGGUUCUUGGAUAGUGACGCUAAAGUAUUUGAGGAUUCGGGUGAUGAAAUGACCAUUCAGAAGGGAACGAGUAAUCAACUUAGGUAUACUAAGCAUGUUUCGGACAAUGGUGUAUCCUAAGUCGACUGGACGAUGUCUAAGAAUACAAUCAAUCAAGGCAACAUCCAUAUGAGAAACCUCAUCCAAAUGGCCUGAUCUAUGAAGCACAAUACUCUGAAUAAAACGAAGUAAUAUCCGAGUUUGAAGACAAAGACAUUGGGUGCGAAAAUGGAUAGUACAAUCAUCAUCCGAAAGAUCAAUACGACGACAUAUAUUCUUAACAGCAUCAAUAUGAACAUAAUCAUCAAUAUCAGGAGGUUUCCUAGGUGAAAAAAUUUCUAGGCCAUCAUCGGAAGUUCCUAGAAUAGAGUUCAACUCCGAAUCAUCAAACUCAAUCGAAACUCCUUCAACUGUGGUGAUUACUCGAUUCUCUUUCUCCGCGGAACAAUCCAUAUUCGAGUAAAACACUUUCACCAAGUCGGGAUAUACAUUUUCCUCAAAAACAAUUGAAUUAAGCCAACCAACAUCUUCCAACAAUUGCAAUAAAGUUCUAUUACUAAUACUAAGAUUAUUCAACCAAUCCGGUAAAACAAAAAAGGUUUGGAGUACCUCACGAGUCAUGAACUGUUGGUGAAAUCGUUUGGCUAGAUGUUUGUGGUUCUGAAAGUGUCUGGCCUCAAAGUUGGAUUUAUUGGAUGUGCCCCCUGCUUGUCGUGACCGGUUGGUAUGUUGAACCGGUUCUUUGCCUUUUCUUCGAAUCGGCCGUGAGCUUGACAUGGUGAAUUUUUUUGAUUUGAAGUGAAAUAAAUCAAUGAGAAGGGAGAUAAUAAGGAUGGAAAGAGAUUUUGAGAAGCAAUUUCGAUCAAAAACGGCUUCAGAGGGGGAAAUCUAGAGAGAGAAGUUUCGGCUUAAACCAUAGAAUUGAUUUCGGAUCUAUUGAUUUUGAGGUUCAAAAAAGGUUUGAAGGAUGAUUUUGGAUACAAGAACGGAUGGGAAACAAGUUUCAUGGAUCCAUUUGCAUAAAAAACCUGUGAAAAUGAUGGAUUUUGGAGAGAAAACGAGAGAGGAAUAUUCGGUUUUAGAGAGAGAUAGCUAACCGGUUUACCGAAAGAUAAAGGAGGAGAUGAACAGUUUAUAUACUCGCGAAUCCGGCUAUCCGGAAAUUAUUAACCGGCUAACCCAUUGUAGGCAGUGACCUACCCACGCGAAUUCAGAUUUCCGGUUUGAAUAACCGGCUAUCCGGUUUCGUCUCCAAGAAAAAACAGCAAACUGCCUCACUCGGCUGAGAUAAAAAAAAACCAACUGUGAUAGGGAAUGCAUAAUUUGUUUGAAAGAUGAAGUUUCACUUGAUUUCUUGCCAUGUGCGUACCAAGUUUUGUGUGCCAGUUGCAGUGUCAAAAUUAUCAUAGUUUGUCUUAAGAAGUCUGAAAGAUUAGAAAAAGAGAUUGCUAAGUUCAAGAAAUGAAAGUGAGAUAAAAUUACUUGUGUCGCUUCUUGUGUCUUCCCAUUGUUUAAUUCUGAUAUUGUUGCUUACUAAAUUAACAAAGAAAGACCAGCACAAUGACUGCUGAUGAAUACUUUGAGAAGCAUCCAGAGCUAAGGAAAGAAGUUUGAUGAUGAAAUCCGGAAUGAUUAUUGGGGAUAUUAAUUCAGUCAUGUGCAUUCAGUUAUCGGGAACAUCUUCUUUCAUGCAGACUCUCGAGUUCAUCCCAACCACCAUGCUGUUUUGGUGCAUCAUAACAAGAAUAAGCCAAUUGUUUUACUCCAUUUUGGUUGAUUUGACUAUCACAAAAAAUUCCAUGAUAUUUGGACAUUACUCAGAAUCUAGCUAUAAUAAUUUCUCUUUUCUUAUUUGCCAAAUUUGCAUUAAGAUUUUUUUAGAAGAACUUUUAUGUUUUCACAUUCAGAAAGAGUUAAAGCAAAGCAAUUGCAGUAGCAGUGUGUAUGGAAUUUGUUGAAUGGAUCCAUUUGAAAGUCCAUUUUUUAUUCUUUAAUGUAAUAUCUAAUAUUAAAAAAAUCUUAAAACAAAAAUAUGAAUGAAUUGAAAAAUCAAAGUAGUAUUCCACAUUCCCAUGUAAAAAUAGAUUAACGACACCACUUUAAGAAAAGCUAAAAAUAAAAAUAGAUAUAUAUUAUUAAACAAAAUGAAAGUUGGAACUUACAAAGAGCUAAUAUUAUUACUUUAAUCUUCUAGUAUUUAGAGUUCAUCUUGUGGCUGAUAUUAUUGCUUGGCUACGUGAAACCAUUUUAGUCUUGUCAACACUAUCUUGUGGCUGAUAUUUUUUAUUGAAAUGCUCUUCAUCCACCAACUUGGUUCUUGUCAGUUUGCUUGGUAACUUCUUCUUGUUUGGUUUUGGUGCAUUAUUUAUCUAUUCACUCGUUAGUCAGACACUUUUUUUUUGUAUUUUUUGUUUCUACGCACAAGACUGAUAAAAUUAAAUGGGCUUAAUCUUUUGUCUUCCUAAUAGCAAUAUUCAAUAUUUAUUUAGUAAUAUUUCUAGAACUCUAAGAAAUAACUGGAUUUAAAUUUUAUGAAUUAUAUAUUGUGCUAAAAGCACAAAGACAAUCAUAUGAGUGUAUAUUAUUAUUAAAAUUAAACAAUUGGAUUUAACCUCCUCUUCAUACAAUUCAUAUACAUUGGCUCGCUCUCGCUCUCUUUUCUACAUGCAUGUGUCAUUUACAUUUAGGUAUUUGUAUGCGCGUAUAUUAUUAUAAUGUAAUCCCUCUAAAAAAUGAGACCAAUCACAGUCCAAACAAAAAAAAGAAAGAUAAAGAAAAGUUAAUACUUUAAUGGCAUUGUUAAUACGUCACAGUAAUCAUGUCCCUCGAAUCCGGAUAACUGGAUUUAACAACCGGUUAUCCGGAUGUUGACUGCAAGCAACAUGCUUGCUGUCACGCGAAUCCGGAUGACCGGAAGUCAACAACCGGUUAUCCGGAUGUUGACAGCAAGCAUGUCAAUCGAAACCGGAUAACCGGAUUUCCUAACCGGUUUUCCGGUUAUUGCAUGUCCUGUAUAAAGUUUAAAAAAAAUAAAGGUAAAAUUACCACGUUUGGUUGGUUAGGUUUGCAAUAAAUAUGAUGAAAAAAAAACUCACCUUCCCUCCAUUAAUGAGGGAUUAUCCUAAGGCUCAUGUCCAAGACUUCUUCACAAAAAACACAGUCACUCCAAAACAUAGUCCCAAAUACUAUUACUGCGGUCUCGUUCAACAUCUAUGGUGCCUAGUUUUCAACUUUUCAAAAGUUAAGUUUCUCUCCAACAAAGGUAUGUGUUGUAAUUUAAGUAGUUGAUUUGUGCUCCCAUAGAUGGUUUCAGAAAUAUUAUUAUAUUAAAUUAUUAAGAUAAAGGGUGUGAAUUAUGUUAUUAACAAAGUUUUGGUUGAACAGGGGUUAAAUAUGAGUAGCCCACAUAGUUCCAGCAACCUAGGAAUAUCCAUUGCUCCAAAUGUUGGUUUACAGGUAUCGGACGUACUUGGCAGUCAUUUCGACUCAGUAGAAGAUGCAGAACUGUGGUAUAACAAUUAUGCCCGAAUGCUUGGUUUUGGUGUUAGGAAAGAUGAUAUGCGGCGCGGAAAAAAGUCUAGACGAAUCACAAUUCGACGUUGGGUUUGUCAUUUCGAAGGGGUAAGAGAUGAAAGACAAUCUCAAAACUGCAGUAGGGUGCAGAACCACGACCUAUAACACGAACCGAGUGUCGGGCAUCAUUUCGAGUGAAUUACGAUGAUUCAGUUGGUAAAUACAUCGCCAAAGAAUUCAGGCCUGAGCACAACCAUCAUUUGGCUUCUACUAAUGGAGUUCAUCUCAUUCGUUCACAUCGAAAGGUUACUGAUGCAGAACUUGCGCAAGCAAAGGCAUUAAGGCAUGUUGGUGUGAAGACUUGCCAAUUCAUGGAUUACAUGGCUGAUCAGGUAGAGGGGCCUCAAAACCUAAGGUUCACACGCAAAGACAUGCAAAACACGCUAGAUGCUUCCACUCGUGCCGAGGUUGGAGAUUCUGACUCAGACACAACUAUAGCAUACUUUGCGGCAAAAUCUGAACAUGACCCUGGGCUUUGCUUUGAGUACACACUAGAUGAUGAAAAUAGACUACGAAAUUUGUUUUGGGCUGAUUGUGUAGCUCGUUAUGACUAUCAGUGUUUUGGUGAUGUGUUGGCAUUCGAUGCAACGUAUAAGACUAAUGUAUAUCAUAAACCCCUCGUUACACUUGUCGGAACAAACCAUCACUUCAGAACAACGGUCUUCGGUUUUGCUUUGCUCGCAGAUGAGACAAUUGACUCAUACACGUGGCUGCUACAAACUUUUCUAUCCACUAUGGGCAACCGAAUGCCCGUGUCUGUAAUUACUGAUGGUGACAAGGCAAUGUCGAAGGCAAUAAAGACAGUGUUUACCGGGUGCAUCCAUCGUCUUUGUUGUUGGCAUCUUGAGCGCAAUGCGCAGGCUAAUUUGAAGAACGAAGACUUUACGAGAAAAUUUCGUGAUUUGAUGUUGACACCUAUGACGGUAACUGAAUUUGAAACCCAAUGGUCAGCUGUAGUGGCUGAAUUCGCACUUGAACAUCAUGCAUGGGUACAGAAAAUGUAUUCAAAGCGGUGCAAGUGGGCGGAAGCUUAUCUUAGAGGAACAUUCUUUGCUGGUAUGCGAAGCACUCAACGAUGUGAAAGUAUGAAUGCAUAUCUUAGCCGAUUUGUCCAACAUAAACUAAAAUUGUAUGAGUUUGUGCGACAAAUCGAUCGUGCUCUCCGCAAUAUUCGUACCACAGAAACAUCCGAUGAGUUCAAAACCAAAUACAGUACUCCUGUCUUAAGAACUCACUUACAGAGCCUCGAGAAACAUGCUGCACAAUUGUUCCCGUUAAGAGUUUUUUCGAAGGUUAGAGAUGAGAUGCUGCGAGAAAGAGCGGUCAUCGAAGUAAAAACUGUCAAAGCUGUCGAUGUUGCAUUGUACACAGUGACUGAAUUUAGGACACCUACAACAUGUUGGAAUGUCAUCCACAAUCUACAAGAAAACCACAUACAGUGUUCGUGUCAAAUGAUGGAGUUUGUUGGGCUUCCUUGUAGGCAUAUGUUUCAUGUCUUGAAAGUGGAACAAAUUGAAAAGAUUCAUGACAAUAUGGUUUUUCGUAGAUGGACAAAAAAAGCCAAGGAGCACAAUACUUGCAGGACCACAAAACCAGAAGUUGACACUGAUGUUUCAGAGAUGGCUAGAUUUAGUGCAUUGUCUGCAGCCUGCAAUAAAAUGUGCUACAAUGCAGCAAAAAACGUUGAAGCCUAUGAAAAUGCAUUGGUAGAAAUCAAUCGGCUAACAUUAACUUAUGAACAACAAUCUGAACGAGACGGUCUCCCAAAUAAAAAAUUGCGGAUGGGAACAAAACUUCGUAAUCCUGCAGUUGUAAAAACCAAGGGCGCUAUGUCUAAAACAAAAUGUGUAGCAGAAAGCUCUAGAAAGUGUGGAAAAUGUCGUCAGGUUGGGCAUACAACACGAACUUGUUCUAUUCAAGGGAAUGAUAGCACCCAGCUAAGGUAUGUCCCAAGUUCUUUAUCAUGUGUUUAAUUAUUGCAUUGUUGGAUAUUUCAUUGCAAAUAACUUUCAUGGUAUUGAUUUAGUGUCGAUGGAAACUGUUUUGCCGCAUUCGAUUCAUCAAGCACCCAGAAUCUUGGAGCCUCUACUGGUGUCAAUCCAACAUUGUUAGGUCAUGCAAGCAACCAAUUUUCAAAUGUUUUUUAUUGGUGGCCUCAUUAAACAAUGCCAUUAAAAUGACUCAAUAUGUAUUACCAUUUGAAUUCCACUAUCAUGUACUAACAUGACAACCAGUUUAAUAUCAAAUGAUGAGAUGUGAACACUGUUAACAUGCAUAUGUUCAUUAUAGUUAAAUUAUGUCUCGGCCAAGAAUACAUAACCAUGUCAUAAAUUUAAAGAUAAUUCUCCAUUACAAUUGAUUUUACAACCAUCGUAAGCAAGAAGACAAAAAAAUUCACGGUAUUACCUCCCAACAUGUUUCAAACAUCUUACAACAAAAAAUAGUAUGCAAUCACUUGCAUAAUCAUUCCCUACUAUAGUUCGAUAUCUAAGCGCGUGUUCUCGUGUUAACUUUCUUCUUCUUACGAAUGUUGCCGCUUUGUUGGUGAAAUGACUUUUGCACUUGAGAGGAUACAGGGUUCACCAUUACAGCAUGAAUCGCAAACUGUGCAUUGCUUAGUUCCAGCAAUUUAUCUCGAUUUUGAUUCAAUGCAGAAUUAAUUAGUUGAAUGGCUAGCCUACCUCGUGUAUCCUCAGAUGUGAACUAGUCAAUUUGAAAGGAAACCAAUAUUACUUUCAUAUAAUAAGUAGCUUUUAUAUAAUUAUGAAGUUAACAAAAUUCUGAGUUCAACAAUUAAACAAGUUUGGCAUAGUCGUACCAAAGUGGACGAUUUCUUCGGAAUAAAUUCUGGGCUGUCCAUAUAGUUUAUCACAUAAACCCCACAGUCAUAUCCAUUCCUUUGCUUUGGAACUCCAAUGCCCCGGUUGAUUGGAAAGUCUUGAAACUUCAUGUGUUGCAUAUUGCUUGGCAAUUGGGGCUGCAUAAUCCAAUCCAAGGAAUGUAGCUGUCGGCAAUGUUGAAAACCAGACAAUAUUAUAGAUAUGAAUAUAACACAAUAUACAUAACUGAUAAUGUUAAAUAGAUAACAAAAAUAAAGAACAUGAUUAAGAUACAAUGCGCAUGGCUUGAUCGUGCCGUCUUCUAUUACUGCGGGGAUCUGGAAGAGGAUCCCAUAUUUCUGCACUUGUAUUUCUGACAUUCACGAUCAGUAGGUACCAAUGAGAUGAUUCAUCAUUUAUUGGCACAUAAAUCUAACAUUUCAAUUGUCAAUGUCAUACACCAAGCACACUAGUAGAAACUGAAAUAAGUUAAAGGUUAACAAACUAACCUUUUGACACUUAUGCACCUGUUGCAUAAAAUUCUUUCCACAUCUAGCUGCCCUUGCAAAACAAUCCACCUCAUCUCCGACCAUUAAAACUGCUUGCUACACAUAAUAAAGACAACGUUGAAUAAGGAAGUUGUCAAUAAAGAAACCAAAGCACAAUGCAACAAGUACCGGCGAGACUCACAGAAUAUCUUGUUGGUAAAUACCAGUUCAUUGGCACAUCUUUCUCCACCACCUACUGAAUGAGGGUGAGGUGAUGCGCUUUCAUAGAAAUCACCUAAAAGUGAUCAUAUUUAUUGAGAUAUAUAAUAACAUGUAAUAAACGAUAAACAUAUAUUGUGACAUCACCAAAUGUUGAAACCUAAUACCUCGCCACAUAGAUAAGCCCCCGGCAAAAGAGUCAAUAAAGAAUGCCGAUUAAGAAUUUCGCCGCAACUAGAAACAAUGAUUUCACUAAAGAUAAAACACGGUAAUUUUUUAGUCGUAUAGCAUAACAACUAUAUACAGAAAACUAAUUUCAGUCUUCUGAAUUUAACCUUCCCUCUGCGUCCUUGUUAAAAGCAUAUUGAAUAAGCUUCAAUUCUUCCAGCGUAACUGGAUCAUUGACUUGAAACGGACCAGCUUUAUACUUGGGAUUUGCUCCCCUGGACACUUGAUCGUACGGUGAAAGUUGAUAUCGGCCUGGCCUACGAUUCCUACUUGGUCGCGUUGGCAGGACACUGAGACUAGUAGAUGUUUGAGGUUCUUGCUUAAGUUGAACUGGUUCAUCUAUAUCCUUUAUAAAAAAUAAAUUUAUAUGUAAGUUACUUCAUAAGUGAGUUAUCAUUGAAAUCAUUUUAAGAAAACGACGUUAUAAAACUGUACCUCAUCUCGGAGAUUAGGUGGUGGAAUAGGGACAAAGUGGGUAGGAUCUUUGCGAAAUUCACCGAUUCCUUCUCUUGUCCCCAUCCAGCCCAUUAAUUUAUCGAGGCUCAGGUUCAAUCUGCGAUCCACAGAGUCCUCGUCGCUAUCCAUUACCAUUUUGUUUUUUUCCAUCAGUAGUUGGCUCGGUUUUUCUGACUGGACAUGUUGGUUCUACUAUUUUCAAGCUCGGAGAUUGCGGGCAUGGAUCAGAUGGUUGUUUUGAUAGUGCACCAACCGGAGACUUGGAUCUCAAUUCCUCCAAAGACUUCUCAACCAUUUCCAUUCUCACAUUGAAUGAAUCCAUUUUGUGUUCAAUUCUGUGGACACACUGUGUUAGUACCCUAAAAGCUUCCUCCAUAUUAACAGUGCUCGGCCCAACAUCUUCGGUUUGUUCAAAAUGAGCGAAAUUUCUUUCGAGCUGCAGAAAAUUUGAUUCACGCAUUGGAACCUAAAAUAAAUAUGCACAACAAUCAUACAUAAUGACAAUCAAAAUAUAUUCAAUUAACCGUAAACAAAAUUAAAUACAUGUGUGAACAAGACAAAAAAUAAAACAAACCUCAGUACUGGUCAUGUCCCCAAACUUUUUCCGCCAAUUCAAUAAGCGCCGAAUCUCUUCCUUGGUCCAUACACUAACAGGGCAAACUGUUCUGUCCAUGGAACACCGAUCAUAUAAAACAGCACUAAAGUAGAACAACUGUACAUUCAAAAAACAAUUACUACGUCAUUUUAUUUUUCGUAUUUGGAAAAUUAAUUAUGGCAUCUAAGAUUUCUUAAAUAUACCUCUAAAAACACAACACAACCACUAACUGACUUCACUUGAUUAUCUUUAUACUUCGCUAUGCCCUCCCACAGAAAGUUGAAACACCAUGUAGCCCAAUUCUUUUUCCUAAUUAAUUGCACAUCUUUUAGGGAAUGCAGAUACAUCGGAUUGAUGUAGCUGGCACUUGUGGGACACAAUACAGUUCCUAGAAGAAACAAACAAAACAUGAUCUUAAAGUCAUCAUCACUACUCUCACUAGCUAUUAUUCUUUCACUAACUGCGGCUAUUUCAAUUCCUCUUCCACUUGUUCUAUACUUGGCACGCAGUUCAAUUAUAUCACCCGCUUCUUCUCGGAUGUAUACUGGUUCCCCUCCAUCUUUGAUCCCCAUUACGAUGCUGAAGGUUGUAGGGUUUAAACAAAACUCUCUCUCGUGCAAAACUAUACAGUGCCUCUUUGUAUCACAUUGUUGGACAAGUGUUUCACAGAAGUCUUGUCUCAGGCGACCACAUCGUAAUUCUAGCAUGCUUCCGAAGCUAAUUUCUCUAAUUGCAGCUUGUUGGUCGGCCGAUAGUGUGGAAAUGACCUUAGUGAGUGCACUGACACGACAACGAGAUAAAUUACAUUGGCUAUGCUUAUCCCCAAUUUUUUGUUCUUCAUCUUGUUUUUCAAUACUCCUUUCACCAACAUUUGAACUUGGGUCCUCAUGCAUCGUACCAAAUCGGCACUUCUCCUCAUUCGUUAAUUUCUUCCAUUUUUCAACAAUUGUCGCCCUACAAACUUUUUUGAUCCCUUCUUGCCUGACCUUUUCUGCUUCAUGCUUACUGUACACAACAUUUUAGUUCAACUAAUUACGUCAACAAAAUUGUUAUAAUAAGAACCUUAUUCAAAGCAAUAAUUUUAUACUUACAAAAAGUGUAUCCACGCUCUCUGACCAGGUCCUCCCCUUCUGCCUUAUGUGGACUCCAUUUUAUAACUGUAUGCUAUAUUUUAAAUCCUGAAAUAGACCACACAUAAAUGUAGUAUCAAGGCCGGACCCAUAACAAUGGCUAAGUUCUUGGCAAAUUAUUGAGCGCUCAUCUUUAGUAUUCCUACCAAAGACUGUAGAGCUCAAAACAAGCAAACAACACCUAAAACCAAACAAGAAAAAUUUAGGGUUCCCAUAGAAAAAUAACACUUAAAAACCAAAUCUCAAAAAAUCAACCACAAAAUAGAAAUAAAUUAAAAAAUGCCAUUGAAUUUUUACCAACUAAUGCCAUUGAAACCACGCAAAACCAUGGGAACAUUGCAUCCCCUUCUAAAUAUCUUUCUUCAAUUUAAUGCUUGAAUUACAGUACAUCAAUCAUAUCAGGAUUGAGGAUUUUCUUGCCAAUUUCAUGCUUCCAAGCCAUUAAUCAUCUCUUCAACAUCAAUUUUUCAUCAUCUAAAUAUCUUUUUUCACUCUAAAUUACCAAACUUCUAAUUGUUUCAAAUCUCUAAUUAUUUCACACAAAAUUUAUAGUACAUCACAAAAACCACAAAGGUCAAAAUUACCUCAUCACCUUCUCGUUAACUCACAAAAUGAAAAGGAAAGAGAGGAACUUGUGUUCAUCUUCAACACCUCAGGAUGACAGCGACCGCUUCAUGGAUUCCACUUCUUAUUUGCUUUGAACGAGAUGGUGCCUUUGAUCUUCUAUGAUUACUAAACAAAUAGAAGAGAGAAAUUUGAGAGAAAUUUGUGAUUUCAAAGUGAGAUGUGAGAGAUUGGGAAUGGCCUGGGUGAAACCCUCAAAAAGCAAAAUUUUGUUUUGCAAGCUUUGGGAACCGGUUUAAUAAGUUAACAAUUUUUUCCUCUUUUUUAUUUCUUUUCAAUCUCAGCCGUUGGAUUCAUUUUACUUGAAUCCAACGGCUGCGUUUACAAGCCGGCACAAUGCCGGGCCUCAAUGCCCGGCAUUGUAGCUUUAGCCAAGUUUAGUUUACAAUUACACCGGUGUCAAAUCAGCAGAGCAUCGGCAAGAGUUUUCGAUUGUUGCAAUUUGCAAUGCAUGUGGUACAUGCACGCACUAAUAAAGAAACACAAAAAGUGCAUUCUCAAGCCAAUAGUAUUUGUUUUUAAUCGCUACUUUGCAUAAUAAUGUAGCUUAGUUAGGAAAUUUGUAAUUAUAUUAUGCGUCCGUUUGGUAUAACUUUUUAAUUAGAACUUAUUUAAGGAGAACUAUUGUUUGUAGAGUUUUUAUAAAUAGAAAUUUUAAUUAAAAAAAAUUAUAAUUAUUUAGUUGUCAAUGUCCAAAUUGAUGAACUAUUGUUCUUUUUGUUAACAUGUGUUUGUUUUACUUAAUAAUAAAACUUUAGUUUACAAUUACACCGGUGUCAAUUAUACUAAUAGCAUCGGCAAGAGUUUUCGAUUGUUGCAAUUUGCAAUGCACGCGGUGAGAGAAAAUGAGAAUCUUGUUUAAUCCUUUCAUUAGGAGUAAUUUAAUAAUCGUUUGUUAUAAUAGAAUAUGUAUAAAGAAAGGAAAAUUAUAUUCAUAGAUUUGGCUUAUUUUUUGUUUAAAGUAAUUCAGAUCAUUACAACGUCCUUUUCGCUAAUUAAUUACAACGUCCUUUUCGCUAAUUAAUUAUGAUUAUAUACAUUUUCAUAUGGCAAGUGGCAUUGUAGAUCUAAACGACGUUGCUAUUUCAAUACGUUAAUUAAGUGAUUCUCCUGAUUGUCAUCAGCGCUAUACCCUCUAGGAAAAUAGCUCAAUUGUUUUCCUGCAUUGAUUUUCAUUGGUAUGUGAUUUCUUAUGAAAUUCUUUUGAGCUUUCCUUAGUUAAAAAGCUUGAGCUUUUAUCACCUAAUACUGAUAUCAAUUAACUUGUGAACGAUUUUAUACCCUCUCUUUUUUUUCUUUUUUUUUAAGUACUCUGUUGAAAGCCAAAGUUCCUUUGGCCAGUUAAUUUAGAAGUGAAGGAAAGAAUAAAGUUAGGCCUCGACGUCUUUUGAGAUUAGAAAUACAUUUUGAAUGCUUUAAUAGAUGCAGAGCAAACUGGCUCGAUAUCUAACUAUUUUAAGAGCUAAAAUCAUUUAUUAGAAGUUGUAGCAUUAAAAAAAAUGGGCUUGAUAUCCAAUUUUGUUAUUGAAUAUGUCUCACGUGUUACUGGCAGAUGGCUAUGCUAGGUUUUAUUGCUCCUUGAAUUUGAUUGAAAAAUUAUUGAGGCGGACAAGUUUGGACCAUUGUUGGACACUGAAACUACACAUCAGUCUUAGAAAAUUGUAAUUUUGUUGGCUUAUCAUGAUUUUGAUCGCCUCACAUUGAUUUUCCUAUGACGUCUCUGUAGAGUGGCUAUGCUUACAUUUUUAGGUAUUUAAUUCUAAAAAUUAACUUAUUAGAUGGAAGGACCAAUUCUACCUGUAAAUACAAGUGGCUUCCCUUUACCAACUCAUACAAGACACAACAAUAAUCUUCUUCAGAAAAAACCACCGUCGGAGGGCUAUUUUCGUUCAACAUAAAUGAGUUGUUCCGCCACCAUAUUUUAAGGGUUUGCUUCUAAUACAACUUGGGGGAGCUAGGGCUAAGAUUUCUAAGAAUCAACAUAAAAACCUUGCCUAUUGGAUGGAAGGACCAAUCCCACUUAUGAGUCUAAAUGACUAAUUUUUGAGGACACAACUCAACAGACCAAUAUAAACUUUUGACGUCCCAUUUUAUUACUUUCCUGUGUUUUUACUUUUGAUGCUGUCUAUAGCCCUACUAUUCUAUUAAGCAGAAAAUAUUUCAAGGCACUCUCGGUCCAGUAGAUAACUUUGGUAUUUAUUAUCUAUUUUCUUUCCAUUUUAUGUAAACCCCGAUCUUUACCUCUGAUUGGUUGUAGAUUCUUUUGUUGCUUUGGGGUUAGGGGAUGGUUUUCAUAACUAUUAAGUUGAUCAAUGCAGAAAAUCACCAUCAAGAAAUGAUAAAGGAUUGUUAGUUCUAUCUGACAAACAACAUUAAUAUGAAGGAUGAUGAUUGUUCUGUUCAAGAGUUUAUAAUGACAUAAUUCUACUUUGGUCUUUUAAAAAAAGUAAUUUAGAAACGAGUAUGUGAGUGAUGACUUUUACAAAAUAAAUUACAUGCGCAGUGAUGAUUUUGACACAUGAAAAUGAAAAAAGAAAUAUAACUUGUGAAUAAUAAUUGAAGUACCUGCUAUUGUUAUAUUGGGUAUUGAUAAAUGGAUGGUUUUGGAAGAAUUGAAAAUGAUGGCAUAAGUAAACCGAAGUUAAGAGAAAAGAGAAAGAGCAUUUGAACUUUACUAGUAAGUAAAGGCAAAUUUCUUGGUUCAAGAAAAGAUAAGAGAUAUCAAACUAGCAAUAGGAAAAAGGAGGAAGGUUAAGACAGCAUCUUAACAAAAGCUAAAGAAAAGAAAAACUUAGUUCAAGCAAAGAACAAUGUGCUAAUGUCGUGUAAUCUUGUUUAAUUUCUUUUUCUUCUCACAUUUUCCAGGGCUUAAAUAAUACAAUAUACAUUUUCAAGCAAAGAACAAUAUGCAAUUGCAGUACUUCUGAGCACACAACAACAAAUAAAUAGUACAAUAUACAUACCCACUAAAUUAAAAAAAAAAUAUUAUUCAAGUUUGUGGACAAUACUGUAGCCAUGCCGUCGUCGAAAUCUACUGACAGCUGAAACAAAGAAAGAAUGGAUGAAUGCUGGAUCACAGUUGAAAUUGAAGGUCUGGUAGGUGAUGUUUCCCUCUCUGAUUUUACCUAAACAAAUACAAAAAAAUAAGAAUCACAAAUGAAAAUCUGCUAUUACACUGUUCUUACUUAUUAAAAUACAGAGGUUUCUUUGUUUCUCUGCAGCAAUGUCCAUGGCUAUUAGAAACAAGAACAAUUAGACCAGCAUUUGCAAGAAUCCUUUAAGGUAUUACUGCAGAUAUAAAUCCACUGAGGAAAUGGAAAAAGUGAAUACCAAAUUAGGCAAGUUAAAUGAAGAUUGAGUUAUCAUAGAAGAAUAAAACUCAUCCAAUUCAAUCCAUCAAAUUCCAUAAGGAUACAACUGGAUGUCAUACUGCUGCUCCAUAUCCUCAAGAGCCCGUAGAUUUUGCCUCAACUCUGGCUGAGGCCAAUGUAAGUCCAAUUUGCAAAAGCUCUUUAUGCACCAUAGCUCUUCAGGAAGCUUUCUCAAGUAAGCACAAGGGUUGACAAUUAUGCUCCCAAGUUUUGGCAUUGCUCCAGCCCCUAUCGUCCACUCCUCUAGCCAACAAAUUGAUUUCAGGUGCAAUACUUUGAGCUCCGGGAAACCACAAGAGCAAACACAAGCCAGUUUUCUUCCUGAAUAUGAGUUCUGCUUCAAUUUCAGCACUUGAAGGUGUGGAAGCUUGUCUAGUGUUAGCAUGGUAUCCGCCAAUAACUCAGUAUUUGAUAAGCUUAGUUGGAUCAGACUUGGAGAAGCUGGUAUUUAGACAGGGCCAUCCGAGAGAGCUACCACCUCUUGGUUUCGUUCACCAGCUUCAAGCAUUCAAGUUUGUGUAGUUCGCAUAGGCUUUUGGAAACCCCAGAACGAUAAUAACUCAAACCUCCAGAUACUAAGAGUUUGAAAAUGAGGUAGUCUGCCUGUUAAAGUAGCUCACUAUGCUGAACGAAAGAAGGAGAAAGCUAAGCUGAAGAAAAUACAGGGCAAGAGUAUUAGCUGUGCCAGCUCAACUGACAGCUCAGCAAAAUCAGUUAAAUUUUGUUACAAGCCCCCUGUGCAUUGUGCUGAAGAUUAGUUAGUUUAAUAAUGAUUAGUUUUAGAUUAGUUAAAAUGUAAUCAUGAUUAAGAUAUAUAUAUAUAUAUAUAUAUAUAUAUAUAGAUAUAGAUAUAUAUAUAGCUGCUGUACUGAUAGGGCAUCUCAAAAGUUCUGAAAUAAUACCUCAAUUCUAUGGCAAAAAUAAAUAAUCUCAAACAAGAACCAAUAAUCAUAUUUUGUUACUGUCAAACACAAUGCAUAUGAGCAAAACAUUGGAAGCCAACACCAGAAUACAUAUGAAUAAACAAUUAAAGAUAGAGAAAAAAGGCUUAAACCUUGGGGGAAAAAAGUGAAAAAACAUGAAAGACAAAUUACACAUGUGCAGUAACCAUCGAACUUAUCAGUGACAGCUGCAUCCAUUACAUUGCUCCAACAACACAAUGGCAAACCACCAGUUUCAAAUUGAGGAUAGCUAUCGAGAAUGAGAAAGUGUCCAAAACAUCAUAAAUAGACAUGUUCCUAUUGUGCAUAAUUUACAUUAUAGGCAAAUAUUCUUAUACCAUCAAAGGCAAAACAUGACACUAACAAUUGAUCCCCCCCCCCCCCCCCCCCCCCCCCCCCCCAACAAAAAAAAAGGAAAAAACAAUACAGAAAAGAUUGAAACAGAUAAGGCUACACUGAGCACAGGAUGCCAUGAAACAUAAUCCAGGAACCAAAUUAAUAAAGAAGGAAGGCAAACCAUUAUUUAACAAUCUGUUUUGUAUUUGGGAAAGUCCGAUAAAAUCUACUUAGGGAUAAUUAGAGAACCUCAACUAUUAAUCACACCUCAUAAAUGAACUAACAUUAACCAUGUACCAUCCCCACAUCAGACAAACAUUCUCUAUACUUCUGAACCUAAUACUUCCAUCUUCAAUUGGGGUUUUUUUUUGUGGGGGGGGGGGGGGAUAAGCUAUCGUGUUUCUAAGCUUGCUUACCUUCUGUGUGGGACUGAAAUACUGAUUUCGAAUCAUUAACAGUAAAAUUGGAAGCUCAUGAAAAAACAAUUUUAUCUUUUAACAAAAGUUAAAAUUACAUCUCCAUAUAAAUUCUCUUUUCAUUUCCUUCAAUUUUCUAAUUAAGCUUAAAAAAAUGUACCUUCAACCACAAAGGGGUUUAAAAUUUAAAAUAUAUAAAAAAAUAAAUUCAGAUAACAAUAAUUAAUUUAAUUAAAAAUAUAAAUAGAGAUUACAGAGAAAGAGAAAAUAGAGAAAGACCUAAUGUUGAGUCCUUUGGUUCUCUUCAUAGGUCCGAACCAUUUCUUCGGGCGUGGGUUUCGGGUCUUUAGGAAACUCCAUCGUCAUAAGCCAGUGAUUGUAAUCGCAACCCUCCAACAGAAUCGUGUCGGGUGUGAUCUCGUCGCCGUCCUUACACAAGUGGUAAGUCUUGUUACCCGACGGCGCAGACGAGAGGGAGAUCGUCGGGGACGAUCUGAACGGCCGAGAAUGGAUGAUGAUGGAGGAGGAGGAGGAGAUUAGCGAUGACGACGCCGAUGAAAUGGAAGGGUUUACCAGAGGAGUGGAUGCCGAAAGUGCAGGGACGGCCGCCAGGAGAGAGCGGUGGAGAGCAGCGACGGCCGGCAGUGACCGGCGGAAGAUGGCGGGAGAUGGCAGCGUGGGCCAUUGCUUGCGCGUCAGUGAGUGUCUCGAGUGAGAGAGUGAAGGUAGGGAUGGCAAUGGGGAGGGAGGGAGGGUCCAAUCUCUCCGUACCCAUCCCCCAAUUUGUCCCCGUCCCUCCCCGUCCCCAUUUGCUUAGAAUCUCCAUCUCUGCUCGAAUAAUAACAGGAAAUCCUCGAGGUUCUAAAUAACUAAUAAUUUUUUUUAUUUUUUAUUUUUUUAUUUUUAGUUAAUUAUAUUAAAAUAAAAAAUAAAAAAUAAAAAUAAAAUUUAAAAUAUAUCUUAUAUUAAUAUUGAUCCAUUAUAAAAAUUACAUGUAAAAUAUAAAUUAUCAAAAUAAUUAUCUUUAUCAAUCUUCAUAAUCAUAUAAUAAAAAGAAAAAAAUUUACUUUUAUAUUGAUAAUAAAAUAAAUAUAGAUAAUUAAUUAAUAUUUUUAAUAAAACAAAAUUUUUGGGCUAAUAGAAUCUACCCUGCUUUUUUAAUAUCUUAAAUAAAAAUUUAAGACUUUAAUUAGUUAAUUAGGCCUAAAAAUUUAAUAAUAUAAAUAUUUUGAUAUUUUUUAUUUUACCAAUAUUUAUAAUUUUAUAAUAUAUUCAAUUUUUAUUAUUUAUUUACUAGUAAUUUUAAAAAAUAAAAAUAAAAUUAAAAAAUAAAAUGGGGGAAAUGGGGAGGGGAUGGGGAUUCCACCUCAUCCUUGUCCCUUCCUCGAAUAAGAAAUUGAUUAAAAAAAAUUUCCCGUCACUUUCUCGAAUAAGAAAUCGGGUAUAAAAUUAUCCUCGUACCCUCCUCGAAUGAGAAAAAUCUCCGAGGAUACCCAUACCCGUGGGGAUUUUUGCCAUCCCUAAGUGAAGGAUUUUGUUUAGGGUUUUGGGAAUUGAAAAAUGUAAAUGUUUGAUUUUGUUGCUAGAAACUUCUUCUGCCGCUGCUUUUUAUUUUCGCUAUAAAAGUAAUAAUUUGUUAAUCAAAUAUUUUCUUAAAAAAGAUAAAUUUCUAGAACAAAAUUUAUAUUAAAUCAAAUUGUAAAAAUGUGGAAUAGGGCUAAUUUCUCCUUAAUAUUAUUGUUAGUAGAAGUAGAUUUUCGAACUAGUCUUGAUAUAUUUUAGAGUUGUAUUAUAGAUGUAUAUGUAUCUAGAUUGUAAUUAUAUUUUAAAAAAUAUAAUUUUUUUAAUUAUUGCACAAUAAGUGUAGAAAAUAUCUAUAAAAUAAUAUUAUUAGAACUAUGAAAAGAAUUUAUUUUAGAGAAGUUGUUUUUUUAUUAUUGAAUUUGUUAAUUUAUUAAUUUAUUGACAAAUGAAUAUUUAUUAAUUUAAAGAGGGAUUUUUUUUUAUUUGCUUUUAAGAAGAGUUUUGUUGGUACAUGUACAUACUUAUAAAGAAAUACAAAAAGUGCUUCCUCUGUUCCUCAAAUCAAUAGUAUUUACUUUAAUUCAUAAUAAUAUAGCUUAUUUAGGAAACUUGUAAUUAUACCAUGUCUUUGUUUCUUUGUUCAUUUUGGUGGGACAAUGUGAUAAAUGAUUGGAUUAAAAUGCAUUAAUAAAUAAAAACUUAUUAAAACCUAAUUUAUUUGGGAACCACAUAUUAUUUGUCAGUAGUAUUUAUCAACUUAACAAGUUAUUUCUAAUUUGUCCCUCUCUAUUAAUGGUUCUCUUAAAGCCAAUAGGGUCGCAUUUGAUAUCUUGCCAUUACCGUUGGCAGUAGCGUGUUACCUAAGAUUUGGAUUCAUUGAAAUCCUCAAUGUAAUCGGUGGAACGAAUGGAUUUCUUCUAUUCAUAAUUUGAUGCUUUGGAUUCAUUGAAAUCCUCAACGCAUUUGAUAUCUUUUUCGUUGAAUUCGUGCAGUUAAAUAAUCUCUACCAACAUAUGUAUGUAUGUAUGAAAUUGGAGUAACCAGACCUUUUCAAGAGUUAAAUAAUCUCUACCAACAUUGUAGAUUGCCCGAUAAAGUUAACUGUGUUACCCAGCUCUAUGCAUAUACAUUAAAUGCAUGUUUGGGUAGUUUUAUAAAAUGAUAACAGCAUGUCAAAACUUGAUAUGAGUUAUAUUGUCAUAUUCGACAUUUUUAAAUUGAAAAAUAAGCAAGCAAUCUUCAGUGAACAUUACAAUUUUGUUCGCUCUACACCCCAUCAAUAUUUAAGCAAUCUACAUAUCAUUACUUGAGGAAAGAAACUCAUUGCGCCACUAGGCUUUUAACGAGGCUCAUUUCUAUGAAUCUGGAUAGCAUUAGAUAUCUCUCCGAAUACUGUUGGGAGUAGAUUGCAGUUCUCUGGGCUAUACUACAAAGUGUAUGUACGUUGAUUCUCUGAUAUGAUUCAAAACAUCAGUACAUGCAUCAUUUAAUGAGAAAGAAUAUUCUGAGAUUAUUUAUGCAUCACCAUUUGUAGUUGUACUGACUCUAAUGAAAUUAAAGGUGCAAUCAGCAACUAAAAUGAAGCCAGAAAGACACGCAUGAGGCAGUUUUCCUAGAAGAUUUGAUAUUUCUUUGACUAGCAAACCAUACGACAUUAAUCAAAACACAAUACGCACAAACAGACCCCUACAUACAUACCAGCAAAUUCAAAAUAGAAAAAGGAGUGCAACUAUUCAAGUUUGUAGACAAUAUUGCAGCCAUGGCAUAUCAAAGCAAAUCCUUGAAAUGUGCUAAACAGAACAAUGCCCUGUCUGAUGAAUCGACGCUCAAUUACAAUUGAAAUUGAAAGUCCGGCUGGUGUUGUUUCCCUCUCCAGUUUUGCCUACAUAAGUAAAGGGAAAUGAGAAUCAUAAAAGAAAAUCUGCUUUUAUGGUUCUUAUUAGAUAGAUAAAAAGGGAUCUUUCUUUGUUUCUCUGCUGCAAUGUGUGGCUAUCCCACUCUGUUUUGCCAGUCAAGCUGAGUCUAUGUUGAGACAUAAUUUUGACAUCAGAAGCGGCCUCAAUUAGUUUGGCACUUUUGCGAUAAACAUAAAUCUACUAAGAAAGUGCAAAAAAAAAAAAGAAAAUGAAUAUAAAAGUAUGAUUUAUCAGAUAAGAUUAAAACUCACCCAAUUAAAUCCGUCAGAUUCCAUAAGGAUAUAACUGGAUGUCAUACCGCCACUCCAUAUCCUCGAAAGUCCGUAGUCUUUGUCUCAGCUCUGUCUGAGGCCAAUGUAAAUCCAAUUUGCGCAAGCUCUUUAUGCACCACAGCUCUUCUGGAAGCUUUCUCAGGUAAGCACAUGGGUUGACAAUUAAGCUUUCAAGUUUUGGCAUUGUUCCUCCCCCCAUCGUCCACUCAUCUAGCCAAUACAUUGAUUUCAGGUGCAAAACCUUAAGCUCCGGAAAGCCACCAGAGCCGACACAGGCCAGCUUUCUUCCUAAAUACGAGUUCUGCUUCAGUUUCAGCACUCGAAGGCGUGGAAGAUUUUCCAGAAUUGGCAUGGGAUCCUCCAUUAGCUCAGUAUUUGAUAAGCUCAGUUGGAUCAGACUUGGGGGAAAUUGGUAUUCAGACAGGACCAUCCGUGAGGGCUUGCUCUCAUUCACCAGCUUCAAGCAUUCAAGUUUGUGGAGUUCGCAAAGGCUUUUGGAAACCCCAGAUUGAUAGUAACUCAAAUCUCCAGAUAUCCGAAGAGUCCGAACACUGGGUAGUCUGCCCAAUAUAUCAGGAGUACAACUACUAGGGUUUAAAGCUGAUAUGAAAAUGAGAUUUUUCAGAGAGCUAGUAUAAUUUUUUGGAGGUGCGGGCAGAGUGAUAGAACCAAAGUUUAGAUGCGUGAGUUUUUGCAUCAUCCAAAUAUCCUCUGGCGACUGAUCUAUGUAGCUAGAUGGCAUUUCUAGUGUUUGAAGGUUUAAAAGGGUGCAUAGCAGCAAAGGAAGGCAUUUGAGCGAAGGGAUAUUCAAUUUCAAGUACUUCAAAAAAUAUAAAUUUUCUAAUCCGGGUGGAAAUUGGUCGAGAACUGCGGAACCCAAGUUCAGUACCCGAAGGUAUUUGAACUUUUUACAAAAAUUCUCGCAAUCUAUCAGAGCGAGAUGAUCGCUUCGUGAACUGUGAUUCAGAAAAGAUUGGAUAUACAUGUCAGAAUAUUCUGGAGGAAAGAACUUAAUCAGACGAUCCAAAAUGAGAUACCGUUUAACAUUUGCCAGUGGUUCCUCUUUCAUAUCAGACAUCCGGACAAAUUCCGUCUUGUCCGCCACCAAAUAUAUUGAAAUAAAUUCAAAACUUGGAACAUAACACGCUUUGAUUGUGCCGUUGGCUCUUCUCUUACUCACUUGAAUGAAGCCGCGGUGGAUUAGUUCUUUUAAGUAAAAUUCGGCAGUUUCCUCACUGUUGUAUGGAAUUAAACCUUCAGCUAUCCACAACUGACAUAAUUGCGCGGUAGAUAUCUCAAUGCCGGGGCGGAAGACACACAAAUAGAUGCAGCAGACUUUCAAGUAAAAAGGUAACUCCCACACAGAACAAGUUCGACUGAAAACUGUCAAAUUUAUUUUUUCAUUCAUAUAAUUUUCUGAUGGCGCACUUCCAUAGUGUAAGAUAAAAAAUUGCCAGGCCUCAUGCUUUAAUCUGAUCAAUGGUCCUUCAAUGAGCACUGAAUCAAGCCGAAUCUCCUCUCCGUUUUCCAUUUCCAACGACGUAAGGAGUUCUGGAUCAGUGACCAAUAUCAAUACUCUGCUUCCAUUCUGAUUAUCAGGAAGAACUUCUUCAAGAUCAUCCCAUAUCUCAAUGUUAUCGCAGACAUCAUCAAGCACAAUAAAGUACUUCUUCUUUGCUAGGAAAUCUCGAAGAAUAGUUUUCUUCAAUUGAUAAUCUUCACCGAUAAUUACACUAACCCCAGAUGGAGGCAUCACAGACUUGAUUAUGUCAUCCAAUAUCAUGCGAAAAUCGUAGGCCACAGAAACCCUGACCCAAGCAAGACAGUCAAAAUAGAACUUGACAUGAUUAUUAUUGUAAGUAUCUGCAGCAAAAGCAGUCUUAUCGAAGCCAUUGCUGUCGAGUAUUGCAACCACUGCCAGCCCAGAUGGUCCAUCUAUUGAUUGAGGGACCAUCUGGGCUGGCAGUGGUUGCAAUACUCGACAGCAAUGGCUUCGAUAAGACUGCUUUUGCUUAUUUUGUUACUUUGUUCACUGAUAUCAAAACCAUUGUCGCCGGGUGGAAGUUGUUGAAUCCGAUUUCUAAUAUCAAUGAUUUUACUGUGGAGUCCAACAAGAAAAGCCAUCUUAGUACUACUUUCACUUUCGUUUUCACCGUUUUGCUGCUGCAUGAUUUUGAUGAAGAAUGUGUCAAUGGCUUCCUCAGAUUCAUGGACAAAGUCAUUGAUGUCGUUCAGAAUUUCCAGAACGUCUGCUCUUUUAACGUCUUCUUCAUCGCUUUCUUCUGCCUGCAACAGUUGCGAAAAAGGCAAAGAUAAUUUGUAUUCAUCGAAUCGUUCUUUAACGAGUUGAAACAAAAGCCGAGCCAUGUCAGAUUCAUAGUUUCCCAGCAGAGUGGUAGCAAUAAUUUCGGACUCCGUAAGAAGGUUUUUAAAAAGGGGAGUUAAAUUUGUUGAAUCAGGCAAAGUCAACGCGCCUUCUUCACCUGCUAACACCCUUUUUAACCUCUCACAAAAUAGUCGGAGGUGGACGUCCAGCAUAUCUCCUUCUCUCUGUAGCGGCCAGAGGUAUUGUUAUUUGCUACAAGAAAUGUUAAAAGGAUUGGUCCUAUCUCAAAGUCGUUAGUGGUGUCAAAUUAAACGCCAUGGGAGAAUUUGAAAGGAAGAUGCCAAGAAACUGGCUAAGUGGCUAAAUUCCACAAAUACGGCAUUAUUGCUCAUUUUUAACUCAAAAAAUUGAUACGCGUUCAUUUAGCGAAAAGUCCAAGACGCGUGCCUUUUGAGAAGAACCGGUAUCCAAUAGGUAUUCAACUUUAUCUUAUUUAAGGCAAAGCUUACGUUACAAAUAAUGUAACAAACAACCAAUAAAUAUAGAUCAUUUAAUUAUUAGCAUGACAUGAUUGAUGGUGCUUAAAUCAAAUGUUUUUCUUUUUUAAUUUAAAGAAUUUUUCAUGAAACAAAUUAUUUUAAUAUCAAAUUGCCUUCAAUGGCAUAACUGCCGCAAGCCAGUGACAGAAUUAAUUAAAAAUUUUAGAAUUCUUGGGCAUGGAAAUGGUAGUAAACAUCAUAAAGCUAAGGUUGUUCUGUAAAAGAACUGAUAUUGACAUAAUUUUAUUUUGGUUUUCGGGGAAAACAAUAUUUGUUGACAAGCAAGAAAAUAUUUUUAUAUUUUACAAUUUAUUAUACAUAUUUUAUCAUAUUAAAGUAAUUUUAAUAAUAAAUAGAAACAUAAUAUUACAAUAAAUAAAUUAAAGUUUAAAUUAUUUUGAAUAUUAUAAAAAGUAAUUUUAAUAUUAUUAAUAGGAAGACUUUUGUUAAUUGUAAAAUCUUUUUAAUCCAAAGAUUUAUUUAAAAUUCUUAUAAUAAAUACAAAUAUAAAAUUAAAUAUCAAAAUUUAAAAUUUUUAAUAUUAUUUAAAUUUUAAAAAUACUUUAAUGUUAUUAGUCUUCUACAUAAAUUAUAUUAUUUAUAUUAUAUUUGUAUUGAUUAAAAUCUUUUAAAGUCGAUCUUCUAGUUAUUAUAUGCAAAAGGUAUUAUAUCAUAUUACAAUUUUUUUAAAUUUUAGGGAUGUAGGUUACGAUGAUUUAUUUCACUUUUGACGAAAUCCAAUGAGAAAUAUGAUAAGAGAAAGUCAAUUUAACGUUCUCUACCUUUAUGAAAAAAAAAAUAAAAACUAAGAAUUAUUUAAUUUUAUAUUUUUUGCAUCCACCAAAUAAGUUUUGCACAUUUAUGUUAUCAUAAAACGAAAAAAAGGGUUUACCAAAAAAUGGUACCAAGCAUACCUUUAAUGUCCCACGUGAUUUCUUAUUAAGCCCAAUAUUAGAUAUAUUUAUAGAUUUUACUGCAUAAGUAUUUUAAUUAUAAAAGAAGUUGGUCCUUCCUCUAGUUACAAAAGAUAACUUUAUUUCAAGACUACCACUAAAUUCUUACGGAGAAUUAGUGCAAGGCCAAGAGAGAGUAACACAAUUUUACUUUUCCAUUACCAUUUUGAAAAUAGAAAGAUAUGGAUCCGUGUAUUUAAGAGUUAUUGUAAAAAUCAUACAAUUCAAUUUCCUGACGUGUAUUAUGUAUAUUUAGGCACAUUUGCCAAAAGCGUAAAUAGAUAGAAAGUAAAUUUACAAUCCACCCUUACUCACAAUUAUUGAAGUGAAGAUGCAUUACAACUGUCACUGCUUUAACUACAUUUAUUUAUUUAUUUGUUUUAAAUAAAAGUGUGAGAGAGACGGUGAACAUCAUGGACGAUAACAAAGGUUAAAGCCUAAAGGUGACCCAUUUUCUUUUUUAAAGUGCUCUGCUGAAAGCCAAACUUCCUUUGGAUCCGCCUAAGUUACUGCUGACGCAACUUACAGCUGCUUUGUAAAAUUUUAUAAAGCCCCUUAUACUCUAUAUUAUUACGUUAUAACUUAACUUACUAUGAGAUUUAUCUUACUUAUUUAUAAUUUGUUCAUAAAUAUUAUAAAACUUUCUGCAUUAUAUAAUUUUAUUGAGCCCCUUAUACUAUAUUUUAUUUCAUUGAAACCCUUAGAGUACUAAUUCGCCCUCUAUAAUUUUAAAUUCCUAAAAUAUCCUCCAUUUAAUUAAAAAUAUAAUAAUUAUUAAAUGGAUUAUAAUUAUAAUUAUUAUUUUAUUAUAAUUAUUAUUAAAUGGAUUAUAAUUAUCUGGAGUACAAAUUCAGUAAUAAACAAUAACUGAAGUAUUAACAAUUUAUUCAUCAAAUAAAAUACUCGAGAUUUCAGCUGACAAAUCCUCUUGUCUAAACUAAAAAACUCAUAUCCCUAAAAUCUAUUUGUGAAAUGUUAGAGAUGAGUGGUGAUUUGUCAACUGGGUAAAUAUAUUUAUGCAUAAUAUUUCCGGUAUUGAUAAAUUACAUAAUAAUUAUUACAAAGAAAUCAUAAAUUGGAAACAUUAAUCAUUUUACAAUAUGUUACAUAAGUAAGAUAAAUCUCAUAGUAAGUUAAGUUAUAACGUAAUAAAUAUUUUCAACAUAUAAUUAUUUAAGAAGUCAUUUAACAAUAAUAUUUUUUAUAUUUCAGUUGAUCAUGUCAUAUAGCGUUAUCUAAACUCUUGGCCAUAUUAUUAUUACUCAAUUUUUCUCCCAAAAAAAAAAACAAAAAUGAUUAACGAUUAGAGAAAAGUCAUGCCUUUUAGAAAGAAUACGUAUACAGCCUAUCCCAUACUUUUAUCUUUACCAUGAUGGGGGAUUAAAUUUAUUUUUUAAAUUAAAUUUAAUGCACAAUUAUGAUGACUUUUUGCAAAAAUUAGUUUCGGAAGAUAUAGUGGUAGAAAAUAGUGAUGAUUAUUGUUUAAAUGUGUAAAUAGUUUAAGCAUAGCCCGUAAUACCAAUAUUCAUUUGCACCUUCAUUUGGAUUAUCAUAUUUUAUGAUGUUCUUUCAUUCAUAACCAUUGUUCAAAAUUUGGAUUUGAUCAUAAAACAAAGCUAAAAAAUAUUAGAGAUACUAACAAUUGAGUCCCAUUUUAAGUCCCAAUACAAUGUGUCAUUUCCCAAUGCUGUAUCAUUUUAGGUGAUGAAUUUCAGAAUUAAUAAUUAGUUCAGACUUAAAUUAAGAUUUAGUUAUUAAGAUAUCUAGCAUCACUCAAUCACAAUAAACAAUAACCAAUUCAAAUUGGAACGGAAUAUUGUAUUUUCUUUUAAUUAAUUAUGAUGCAUAAGCAAGUAUUUGUGCUUGGGUUUUUUACUUCUUGAUUUUGUUUGGAAAAAUUUAUGAGACAAAGAAGUGUUUUGGAUAAUUUUUUCGGGAUUGAAAAUUUGAAACCACAACUUGGUAGAAGAAAUUAGUUGUGAACAAUUUUUUCUUAUAUUGUAGGACCUUCUAGUUGGAGUAGUGAUGGCUUUGUCUUCAUUUUUGGUUCCAUUUGUGUCGGCAGCCCCUUACUAUUCUCUUGACCCUGAGUUUGAGAUGAAAAUUUAUCAACCUCCAACCCCACAUCCAAAAACAAGUUGAUUGAAACAAUUGCUCUUUAAAUUAAGCGGACCCAAAUGAGUUAGGUUUCAGUUCUUAUCAUUUGUCUAUUAUUUCUUUGAAACAUGUAUUUUGAGCAUUACUGAUCUUAAUUAUCUGUAUUUCUCCAAUUAUUGAAGAAUUUCAUGUGGCCACUUUUUCUCCUUUUAAAAUAUGUUUAUUUUUUGGAGUGAUCAAACGGGUGUAGAAUCAAGUAAUCGCUGGUCUGUAGUUUAGCCAAUGAUGGCUCAUCCACACAGUUGAAUAUAUGAUACAAUUAGCUCUCAAAAUCUUUCUUAUUUGAGAACAUAAAUUGCCCAUUAAAGUUAAACUAUGUUACCCAGCUCCAUGCACAUACAUUAAAUGUGUAGGUAGUUUUACAAAAUGAUAACAGCAUGCCAAAACUCGUUGUUGUCAUAUUCGACAUUUCAAAUUGAAAAAUAUGCAAGCAAUCUUCAGUGAACAUUACAUGUUUAUUCAAUAAUUUAAAUGGCCAGUAAAUCAACAGUCCAUGAGUUUUAAAUCUAUUAUGACUUAAUGUAUCUUUCUGUAUUCGUACACAGGUUAUAUUAUCAUAGUUUAAAAUUUUAAUAUUAUUUUAAAUGUUAAAAAUACUUUAAUGCUAUUAGUUUACUACACAGGUUAUAUUAUUUAUAAUAUAUUUGUAUUAAUUAAAACUUUUAAUGUCAAUUUUUCCAAAUUCUAAGGGUAUAGGUUUGAAAAUUUAACGUUCUCUAAAUUAAUGAAACAAAAGGGGGGAAACCAAAAACUAUUCAAUUUUGUAUUUUUUGUUUGUAAUUCAAAAAAUACAUCCACCAAACAAGUUUUACGCAUUAAUGCUGUCAUAAAACGAAAAACAGUUUGCCAAAAAAUGGUACCAAACAUAUCCUUAAUGUCUCACAUGAUUUCUUAGUAAGUCCAUAUUAGAUAUAUUUAUACAUUUUAGGUAUUUUAGUUAUAAAAGAAGUUGGUCCUCCCCCUGUUUAUAAAAAAAUAACUUUAUUUCGAGAUUGCCACUAAACUCUUAUAUAGAAUUAGUGUAAUGUUAAGAGAGAGUAACACAGUUUUCCAUUACCAUCUUUGAAAAUAGAGAGAUAUGGAUAUGCAUGCAUUUAAGAGUUAUCGUGAAAAUCAUACAAUUCAAUUUCCUGACAUAUAUUUAUGAGCAUAUGCCAAAAGAAUAAAUAGACAGAAAGUAAAUUUACAGUCCUCACUUCCUCACAAUUGUUAACGUGAAGAUGCAUUACAACUGUGAACUGUCACUGCUUUAGCCUUUUUUUUUUAAUUAUAGUGUGAUGGAGACAUUAAGGCUGAGCAUAAAAGUUAAAGCUGACCCAUUUUCUUUUUAAAGUGCUCUGCUGAAAGCCAAACUUCCUUUGGCUAAUUAAUUUAGAAGUAAAGCAGAGAUUAAAGUCCUAGACGCCUUCUGAAAUUAGAAAUACAUUUUAUAUGCUUUAAUUAUGAUUAUUUGGUAGACCAUAGACCUAGAAGACAUGUCAAAAGUAUAAAACAGAGCGAUUAAAGAAAAAAGAAAAAAAAAAGAGUAUUUGUGACGUAGAAUAACAAAUGGUAACUAAAAUCCUAAAUAUUUGAGUUGUUAAAAGUAAAUAUAACAGAGACGGUAAGAGAGAUGCAGAAACAGAAAACUAUUAGCUUAUCUUGAUUUUCCCACUAUAUUCAUUUUCGAUGCUUUUCGAACGAGAUUCUUUUAAUCCUUCUGGUGUAUGCAGCCCCGGCUCUUCUUAUAAAUCUCCAUCCCACAUCUGCACUACGAACAAGUUGAUUGAAAUUAAAUAAUGUUGGAGAUGAGAGGUGAGUCGUCAACUCGGUAAAAACAAUCAUGUAUAAUAUUAUUAAUAAUAUAAAAUAUAUAAUAAUCAUUACAAAGAAUCAUAAAUUAGAAAAAUUAAUUAUUUUACAAUCUAUUUCUUAAGUAAGAUAAAUCUCGUAAUAAGUUAAGUUAAUAACGUAAAAAAAAAUUCAAUUUAUAAUCAUUUAAGAAGUCAUUUAACAAUAAAAUCUUUCUUUUGAUCAGUAGGCCAUGUCACAAAGUAUCAUAUAUAUUCGUGGUGAUAUUAUUACUACUCCGUAUUCUCAAAAAACAUGAUUUAACAUUUAGAGAAAAUUCCUACCUUUUAAAAAGAACAUGUGUGCAACAACUACCCAUACUUGAUCUUACCAUGACAAAACUAAUGGAGACUAAAUCAAUUUUCUCGAUUAAAGCAAAAUUUCUUAAUAUUGAUUUAAUCCAAAAAUAUGAUGACUUUUUGCAAAAAUUAGUUUUGGAAAAUAUAGUGAGAGAAAAUAGUGACGAUUAUUGUUUAGAUGUGUAAAUAGCCUAAACAUAAUCCCUAAUACCAAUAUUCAUGUGCAUCUUAACACCUUUCGUGUUAUUCUUUCAUUCAUGGUCACUGGUUCGAGAUUUGAAUUUGAUCAUUAAAUCAUGUUCAAUGAUAUUAGAGAUCCCAACAAUUGAGUACAAACUUAAAUCCUAAUGCUAUGUGUCAUUGAGCAAUGUUGUGUCAUUUUUUGUUAACUGGGUGAUGAAUUUCUAGUUGAUAAAAUUACUUAAAAAUAUCUUUAAAAUCAGACAAUAGUUUGCUUAAUUUUUUGAAGCUAACUGCUCAAGAUGCUCUAUUAGAAAUGAUAACCUAAUUAUAUUCAUCAAAAAUGAUUUUUUUUUUUUUUUGCGGUGUUGAUAGUGAGAUUAUCAUUCAACAUGUUAAAAUAUGAAAACAUAUGGAGGAAGGUUGUAAAUUGAUUGAAUGAAAAUAUUUCAGUGAAGUCUAAAAAAUUUGGUACUUGUUAUCUUAUCGAAAGUUUUCUAAAUUACAUUCGUGGCACUGCCACUGCUUUUAUGUGCAGGUCAUUAAAAUUUGUGUUAGUUACCUAUAUGUUGAAUAACAAUUUUAUUCAUGAAUUGUUGCUCAAUAUAGCAAUUUGAUUGAAAGUGCGGCUGCACUAAUUUUCUAGAUGAAUUUUCCUACAUGUUUGUCCUCAUAUGACCUAGAAUGUUGUUAUAUCAAUUGUAUUGGAAAUUAUUAAAGUGGGUUAGUGUUGUACAUCCCCACCAAAAUUUAAGCAAUAUGUUAUAACUCCUUAUAGCUAUAUAAGAUACUUCAGGAAAUGCUUUGAUGAAUUGGAUUUGAAAGAGCAGAACAAGUUAAUCCAACAAGAAAGAAAUCACAAGAAUUAGACACAGAGCACAAUUCUAAGUACACAACUUGAUGAAGGAAAAAACUGCUCUUUUAUUGAUCUCAACAAUCGAAAUAUAGGUUGAUUACAAAGAAGGAAUUACAAGGAUCACAAAGAACCAAAUUGCAAGCAAAAUGAAGAAAAUAUCGAUAUGAUAUUAGAGGCUAGUCACAAGUGCCUUUUAUUAUGAUCUUUCUAGAAAACGUCAUAACGAACUCUCAACGAAUUCUGCCACAUCAGCAUAAGUUUUUCAACAAGACCCCUCCAAUUGAAGUCGAUCUGCACAUUGCCCUAAGAAUUCUCCAAAUUUUGCAUUUAAACCUAACAUACCAGCAACUUAUUUCCUCACACUUUCCACCUUGCAGACUCAAUUCAGUUGAUCAUUUCAAUUAUGUAGCGUAAAAAAACCUUCAAAACACACAGUUUCGGAACUAAAGCUACUGCCAACACCAAUUAAGUUUACACAGAACUUAAAUUUGGUUGUUCGUAGUGCUUUUGUUAACAUAUCAACAGGAUUGAUAUUUGUAUGUAUUUUAGUUACUACAACUGCCCUUUUGCAACCUUAUCCUUGAAAAAGUGCAACUUUACUUCAAUGUGUUUGGUUCUCUCAUGAUAAACCUAGUUUUUGAUGAGCUGAAUGGCACUCUGAUUGUCACAAAAAAUCUACAUUGUCCUUUGCUUCAACCAGAGCUCAUUUAGUAACCCUCUCAACCACAUUGAUUCUUUUACUGCCUCUGUUGCAGCAACAAAUUCUGCCUCAGUAGAUGACAAAGCUACUAUGUGCUGUAGAGUAGCUUUCCAUCCAACAUGAAUAGAUAUCCAGAGAUAGAUUUUCUUCUGUCCAAGUCACCUGCAAAAUCAGAGUCAAUAUAGCCUCUAACUUCACAGACCUCCUACUUGAAUUUUCCAUACAUAAGUCCAUGAUCUAAAGUGCCUUUCAAGUACCUCAUAACCUAUUUCAUAGCAUCCCAAUGAAGCUUACCAGGAUUACUCAUAAACCUGCUCACAACACUUACUGCAUAAGCUAUGUCUGUUCUGGUGCAAACCAUUGCAUACAUCAAGCUUCCUACAACUUGUGAAUAUGGUAUUUCAGCCAUUUGUAACUUCUCAGCAUCUGAUGUUGGAGACAUGUCAUCAGAGAGUCUAAAUUGAGCUCCUAAAGGUGUCAUUACUGGUUUUGAAUCCAUCAUCCCAAACCUUUCCAGCACCUUGCUGACAUAUCUUGAUUGGCUUAGAAAUAAGGUACCAACAGCUAUAUCUUUGAAAAUAUCUAUACCAAGGAUCCUCUUGGCACUGUCGAGAUCCUUUAUUUCAAAUUCCCCCUCAAGCAGAUUCUUAAGCUUUUUAAUAUAGAUCACUAAGAUUUUUACCAGCAAUAAGUAUGUCAUCAACAUACAAUAAAAGAUACAUAGCUCCACUUGAGUUUAUAAUCUCAUGAUAGAAACAACUAUCAUAUUUGCUCAUGUGAUAGCCAUUUGAGAUCAUAAACUGGUCAAAUCUCCUAUACCAUUGCCUAAGAGACUAUCUCAAGCCAUAUAGAGAUUUAUGUAGAAGGCACACAUAAUCCUCAUAUCCCUUUGCUUUAAAACCUUCAGGCUAUGACAUUAGUAUCUUUUCUUCAAGAUUACCAUGUAGGAAGGUAGUCUUCACAUCCAUUUGUUCAAGCUCUAGAUCAAAUAAAGCCACCAUAACAAGUAAGAUUCUGAUUGAGCUGUGCUUUAUAACUGGUGAGAAGAUUUUAUUGAAAUAAAUCCCCUCCUUUUGUGUGAACCCCCUUGCCACCAGUCUUCCCUUAUAUCUUGAGUUUUCAACACCUGGGAUGCCCUCCUUUUUCUUGAAUAUCCAUUUGCAACUGACAACUUUCCUAAUCCCUGGAUUAGGAACCAAGGUCCAAGUCUGAUUUCUUACUAGAGAAUCCAUUUAUUCCCUCAUGGCUUUAAUCAGUUACUGUUGUUCUUGCUAUCUAUUGCUUCUCUAUAGUUGUUAGGCUCUUCAAUUGCAACAUCUUCUGCACUCAUUAAUGCAUAUGCCACCAUGUCUGCAUAUGCAUAUCUUGCUGGGGGUCUGAUAUGUCUUUUUUUCUCUGUCCCUAGCUAAUUGAUAUUGUUACAAAUCAGUUGCUUGUGGUGCUUCAUUUUCUGUUACUACUGUAUCUUGAGAAUCAGGUUUAAUAACUUCUGGUUGUAUUUCAUCUUUAUAGGUAUUAGACAACUCCACCUCAAUCUUUUCACUUUGAUCAAUGGCCUCAAUGGCUUGUGUCUUAUUUGCACUAAUGUUAGUAUCAGAGGUGACUUGAUCAGGAUUAUUGAUCAUAGCAACUUUAUUAAACUGAACAUCUCUGCUAAUUAGACAUUUACUAGCCUCUCCACACCAGACCCUAUAGCCUUUAACCCCAUCUGGAUAACCAACAAACACUCUUUUUAUAGCUCUUGCUUCAAGCUUCCCUUGUCUAACAUGGAAAUAAGUAGGGCGCCUAAAUACAUUUACAUGUUCAUAACUUCCAAGCUUUCCAUACCAGAGCUCUUUAGGAGUUUUGAAGCCAAUUGCAGCAGAUGGACUUUUGUUUACAAGAUAACUUGCUGUAGAAACAACUUUUGCCCAAAAACUUCUAGGGAGCUUAGAGUUUAUCAACAAACACCUUCUUUUUUAUCAACAAUUGUUCUAUUCAUCCUCUCAGUCAAACCAUUUUGUUGAGGGGUGAAUCUCACUAUUUUAUGCCUCAUGAUUCCGUAUUCUUGGCAGUAUUGCUAAAAUUUUUUGUUAUAGAAUUCAAGUCCAUUGUCUGUUCUUAAACAUUUAACCUUGAAACCAGAUUGAGUCUCCACCAAAGUCUUCCAAAUAUUGAACUUUUCCAAGGCUUGGUCUUUGGUUUUCAGUAUGUAGAUCUAUACUUUCCUGGAAUAGUCAUCUAUAACUGACAUGAAAUAUCUUCCCCCACUCAAAGAUGGCACCUGGGCAGCCCCCAUAGAUGAACAUGCCCAUAGUCCAGAGGUUGUUUAGACAUAUGCAUGCCCUUUGGAAAUUUGGACCUGUGUGCUUUGCCAAAAAUAUAGUUUUCACAGAAGUCUAACUCAUUUAUUUUAUCACCACACAACAAUCCUUGCUUACUCAACUCUUACAUUCCCCUAAUACUCAUAUGGCCAAGUCUAAGAUGCUGUAAUAUGGUUCUAUUAAAAUAAAAAACAGCAGACAUUGCAGCUGAAACAGGCACUGAUGAUCCUUCUAACACAUAAAGGACAUUUUUCUUAACUCCUUUCAUUAUCAUUUGAGUCCCUUUCAUAAUCUUUAAACCACCAUUUUCAAAUUUGAAGCAAUAUCCCAUACUAUCCAGCAUGCCUAAAGAGAUCAAGUUCCUCUUUAGCCUAAGUGCAUGCCUCACAUCAUAUAGAGUUUUAACAGUCUCCUCAAACAUCUCUAUUUUGACAGACUCCAUACCAAUAACCUUACACACAUUGUUGUUACCCAUCAAUACUCUACCACCAUCCACAGAUUCAUAUGUAUGGAAAAGGCUUCUAUCAUGACACAAAUGAAAAGAACAACCUGAAUCAAGAACCCACAGACCUUUAAUAUUGUUGUUCGAAGCCACCAAAAAUUCAGCACUAUGAUACCCAUCAUCAGAGGAGUCAUCUGAGGCCACUGCUGCAUCCCUUGUUCUUUCUUUUUCAUCCUUCUUUUUCUCAUCACAAUCCCUGAUGUAGUGGCCUUGCUUUUUGCAGUAAAAACACUUUCUUUUCUUCAUUUUUUCCUUUGCAGAUGCAUCAUCCGUUUUGGCUUGAUUCUUGUUCUUGUUCUUCUUGUUUUUCUUAUCUGUUCUGGCAAUUAAACCUUCACCAUUACUUACUUCAUGCCCAUUACUCUUCUGAAUCUCCUUAGAGCUCAAAGAGGCUUUCACGUCCUCUGGGGUUAGAGUGGUUAUUCCAUACAGCACGGUGUCCACAAAACCUUCAUAGGUUUUAGGCAAUGAACUCAGUAAAAAGAAAACUUUAUCUUCAUCAGUAAUUUUCACAUUUUCAACCCCUUCAAGAUCAAGAAUGAUCUUGUUGAAGUUGUCAAUGUGUUGUUGAAUAGAUACCCCUUCUUUCAUAGAGAAGGUAUAUAAUCUUUUCUUCAAGAAAAGUCAAUGUACUAAGGAUUUCUUCACACACAGAGCCUCCACCUUGUUCCAGAUACCAAGGACUGUCUUCUCUUCAUAAAUUUCCCUUAGGAUUGAGUUAUUGAGACUCAAGAUCAAGCAAAAUGAACAAGAAAUGAAGAAGAUAUCGGUCUAAUAUCAGAGGCUAGUCACAAGUGCCUUUUUUUCUGAUAUUUUUGGAAAACAUCAUAACGAACUCUCAACGAAUUCUGCCACAUCAGCAUAAGUUUUUCAACAAGUCCCCUCCAUCUCAAGUCGAUCUGCUCACUGCCCCAAGAAUACUCCAAAUCUUGCAUUUAAAGCCAACAUACCAGCAACUUAUUUCCUCACACAAUCUACAGAACAUUUCUUGUGGAAAGAAACUUAUUUCGCUACUAGACUUUUAAUGAGGCCCUUUUCCCAGAAUCUGGAUAAGAGUUAGAUGCCUCCCGGAAUAUUGGUAGGAGUAUAUUUCUAAGUUAUUGCUCGGUAGAUCUCUGAUAUGACUGAAAACAUCAAUACAUGCAUGAUUUUAUAAUAAAGAAUACUCUAAAAUUAUUUGUAUAUCACCAUUUGCAGUUGUGCCCUCUCGAAUGAAGGAGCAAUCAGCAACUAAAAUGAAGCCCGAAAUGUACACGCAUGAGGCAAUUUUUCCAGAAGAUUGAUAUUUCUCUAACUCGCAAACCAUACAAACCCAAAGCUAGCCAAACCAUACCGGCAAGUUCGAGGCUUAAAUGGAGUACUUUUAAGCAUAAAACAUUGAUUAAAACAGAAUACACACACACAUACCAGCAAAUUCAAAAUAGAACAGAAAUACAACUGUUCAAGUUUGUAAACAAUAUUACAAUCAUUGCUUAUUUAUAGCAAAUCCUUGAAAUCUGCUAAAUGAAACAAUGCCUUGCCUCAUGAAUCAAAGUUGAAUUAAAAUUGAAAUUGAAAGUCCGGCUGGUGUUGUUUCCCUCUCUUGUUUUGCCUACAUAAGUAAAGGGAAAUGAGAAUAAAAAAUUAAAAUCUGCUUUUACAAUUCUUAUUAGAUAGAUAUAAAGGGGUCUUUCUUUGUUUCUCUGCUGCAAUGUGUGGCUAUCCCACUCUGUUUUGCCACUCAAGCUGAGUUUACGUUGAGUUAUAAUUUUGACAUCAGAAGGACCUCAAUUAGUUUGGCAUUUUUAUGACCUCCUUGUACGUUUUACGAUAAACAUAAAUCUACUGAGAAAGUGGGAAAAAAAGAAAAGGCAUAUAAAAGUAUUAGUUUGGCAUUAAAACUCACCUAAUUCAAUCCAUCAGAUGCAGUAAGGAUAAAAUUGGAUGUCAUACGGCCAUUCCAUUUCCUCGAAAGUCCUUAGUUUUUGUCUCAACUCUGUCUGAGGCCAAUGUAAAUCCAAUUUGCGCAAGCUCUUUAUGCACCACAGCUCUUCUGGAAGCUUCCUCAAGUAAGCACAUGGGUUGCAAUUAAGCUUUCAAGUUUUGGUAUUGCUCCUGUCCCCAUUGUCCACUCGUCUAGCCAAUACAUUGAUUUUAGCCUUUUAGGUGCAAAACCUUAAGUUUCGGAAAGCCACCAGAGCCAGCACAAUCCAGCCUUCUUCCUAAAUACGGGUGCUGCUUCAAUUUCAGCACUUGAAGGUGUGGAAGUUUCUCUAGCAUUGGCAUGGGAUCCUCCUUUAGCUCAAUAUUUGAUAAGCUCAGUUGGGUCAGACUUGGAGGAAAUUGGUAUUCGGACAGGACCAUUCGUGAGAGCUUGCUUUCAUUCACCAGCUUCAAGCAUUCCAGUUUGUGGAGUUCGCAUAGGCUUUUGGAAACCCCAGAAUGAUAGCAGCUCAAAUCUCCAGACACUCUUAAGAGUUUGAAGAUUAGGCAGUCUGCCCAAUAUAUCUGGAGUGCCACUACUAGGGUGUAAGGCUGAUAUGAAAAUGAGAUUUUUCGGAGAGCUGCAAUAAUUAUUGGGAGGUGCAGGCAGAGUGAUGGAACCGAAGUUCAGAUGCAUGAGCUUUUGCAUCAGAUUCCGUUUGGAUAUAACUGGAUGUCAUAACGCCACUCCAUAUCCUCAAAAGUCCGUAGCCUUUGUCUCAACUCUAUCUGGGGCCAGUGUAAGUCCAAUUUGUGCAAGCUUUUAUGCACGAUAGCUCUUCUGGAAGCUUCCUCAAGUAAGCACAUGGGUUGACAAUUAAGGUUUCAAGUUUUGGCAUUGCUCCAGCCCCCAUCGUCCACUCAUCUAGCCAAUACAUUGAUUUCAGGUGCAAAACCUUAAGUUCCGGAAAGCUACACGAGCCAACACAAGCCAGCUUUCUUCCUAAAUACGAGUUCUGCUUCAGUUUCAACACUUGAAGGUGUGGAAGCUUUUCCAGCAUUGGCAUGGGAUCCUCCAUUAGCUCAGUAUUUGAUAAGCUCAGAUGGCUCAGACUUAAAGGAAAUUGGUAUUCAGACAGGACAAUCCGUGAGAGCUUGCUCUCAUUCACCAGCUUCAAGCGUUCAAGUUUGUGGAGUUCGCAUAGGCUUUUGGAAACCCCAGGGUGAUAGCAACUCAAAUCUCCAGAUAUUCGAAGAGUUUGAACAUUAGGCAGUCUGCCCAAUAUAUCCGGAGUACAACUACUAGGGUGUAAGGCUGAUAUGAAAUUGAGAUUUUUCAGAGAGAUGCAAUAAUUUUUUGGAGGUGCAGGCAGAGUGAUGGAACCGAAGUUUAGAUGCAUGAGUUUUUGCAUCAUCCAAAUAUCCUCUGGUGACUGAUCUAUGUAGCUUGAUGGCAUUUCUAGUGUUUGAAGGUUUAAAAGGGUGCAUAGCAGUGAAGGAAGGCAUUUGAGCGAAGGGAUAUUCAAUUUCAAAUACUUCAAAUAGAAUAAAUUUUCUAAUCCAGGUGGAAAGUGGUCGAGAAUUGCAGAACCCAAGCCCAAUACCCGAAGGUGUUUGAACUUUUUACAAAAAUUGUCGCAAUCUAUCAGAGCGAGAUGAUCGCUUUCUGAACUGUGAUUCAGAAAAGAUUGGAGAUAGAUGUCAGAAUGUUCUAAAGAAAAGAACUCAAUCAGAUCUUUCAUAAUGUAGCACCAUUUAACAUUUACCGGUGGUUCCUCGUCCACGUCAAGGUUCCAGGACAAUCCCGUGUUCACUGCCACAGAUAACAAUGAAUAAUAUACAAAACUUGGAACAUAACACACUUUAAUCGUGCCUCCGGCUCUUCUCUUACUCACUUGAAUGAGGCCGCGAUGGAUUAGUUCUUUCAAGUAAUGUUCGGCCGUCUCCUCACUGUUGUAUGGUAUGAAACCUUCAGCUACCCACAACUGAUAUAAUUGCCUCGUCGAUAUGUCAAUACUUGGACGGAAGACACACAAAUAGAUGCAGCAGACUUUCAAGUGAAAAGGUAACUCCAUCACAGCAUAAAUUUGUCUCCAAAUUGUCGGAAUCGCUUCGCCUUGAACGUAAUUUUCUAAUGGCAUACUUCCAUAGUGUAGGAUGAAAAAUUGCCAGGAUUCAUGCUUUAAUCUGAUCAUCUGUCCUCCAAUGAGCACUGAAUUAGGCCGAAUCUUCUCUCCGUUUUCCAUUUCCAAAGACUCAAGGAGGUCUAGAUCAGUGACCGUUAUCAAUACUCUGCUUCCAUUCUGAUUGUCAGGAAGAACUUGUUCAAGAUCAUCCCAUAUGUCACUGUCGUCGAAGACAUCAUCAAGCACAAUAAAGUACUUCUAGUUUGUUAGGUAAUCACGAAGAAUGGUUUUCUUCAAUUUAUAAUCUUCACCGAUAAUUACACUAACCCGAGAUGGAGGCAUCACAGACUUGAUUAUGUCAUCCAAUAUCUUGCCAGAAUCGUAGGCUAUAGAAACCCUGACCCAAGCAAGACAGUCAAAAUAGAACUUGACAUGAUUGUUAUUGUAAGUAUCUGCAGCAAAAGCAGUCUUAUCGAAGCCCCUGCUGUCGAGAAUUGCAACCACUGAAAGCCUAGAUGGUCCCUCAAUCAAUAGAUCAAACAACUCCUCUCUGCCCCUUUCAAAUUCACUGAUAUCAAGCCGAGGUUGUCCCUCACUCAAUAGGCGAAUGAUUUUCUUACCUUGUUCACUGAUAUCAGAACCAUUGUCGCCGGGUGGAAGUUUUUGCAUUCGAUUUCUAAUAUCAAUGAUUUUACUGUGGAGUCCAACAAGAAGAGCCAUAUUUUUAGAAUUAAUAGGUUGUUUGGCAAGUGAGAAAGUGAAAGAAAAUUAACAAAGAAACUUUAACUGAAUUGAUUUAUUAUUGAUUAAAACUCAAGCUUAACACUGAAAACGUGUUAGCAAGUAUUUAUAGUUAUAUUAAGCUAAAAACUAAAACAGAGCUAAUCGUUUGCUGUAUUAACAAACUAAUCCAACUUCCAAUCAUAACAAGCCAGCUGGAUAAUCUGUUACAGCUUUAGCAACUGCCCAAUCCAGCUCAGCAUCUUCAGUUUAUACACAUCACUAGCCAGCCAGCUCAGCAGCUUCAUCUGCAGCUUAUACACGUCACCAGCUAAGCUAGUACAGCAGCUUCAGCUAUACUCUUAACACAUAUUAGUACUGCUUUCACUUUCGUUUUCACGGCUUUGCUGCUGCAUGAUGUUGAUGAAGAAUGCGUCAAUGGCUACCUCAGAUUCAUGGACAAAGUGAUUGAUGUCCUCCAGAAUUCCCAAAAUAUCUCCUCUUUUAACGUCUUCAUCGCUUUCUUCCAAGUCCAACAGUUGCAAAAAUGGCAAAGCUACUUCGAAUUCAUCGAAUUUUUGUCUGAUAAGUUGAAACAAAAGCCGAGCCACGUCAGCUUCAUAGUUCCUCAGGAGAGUAGUAGCAAUAAUUUCGGACUCCGUAAGAAGGUUUUGAAAAAGUGGAGUCACAUUUGUUGAAUCAGACAACGUUAACGCGCCUUCUUCAUCUGCUAACACCCUUUUCAACCUCUCACAAAAUAGUCGGAGAUGGACGUCCAGCAUAUCUUCUCCUUCUCACUGUAGCAGCCAGAGGUAUUGUUAUUUGCUCCAAGAAAUGUUAAAAGGAUUGGUUCUAUCUCAAAGUGGUUAGUGGUGUAAAAUUAAACACCAUGGAAGAAUUUGCAAGGAAGAUGCCAAGAAACUGGCGAAGCCGCUAAAUUCCACAAAUACGCGUGCCUUCUGAAAAGAACGGGUAUCCAACCUUCAUCUUGAUUUCUGCCAUGACAUAAUUGAUGGUGCUUGAAUCAAUUUUUUUUUUUUUUAAUUUAAAAAAUUUUGCUUAAAAAAAAAAAUCAAAAUGCCUUCAAAUUUUACAAAUUUCAGAAUCUGAAUGAUAAUUUUUUCAAAUUUGAAAGAUGUAAGUAUUUUUUUUUUCUGAUAAUUUAUUUCACUUUUGAGGAAAUCCGAAAACGCUAAAUACGUUCUUUACCUUAAUGAAAAAAAGUGAAAAUCAAGAACUAUUCAAUUUUGUUUUUAUUUGUAAUUCAAAAACUUUAUUUAUUUUCGAUGCUUUUCAAAAGAGAUUCCUCUGAUCCAUCUGGCAUCUGCAACCCAGUUUCUUGACAACGUUACAAAUCUCCACCCCACAUCUACACUAUGAAACAAGUUGAUGGAAAUCGAACAAUUGCUUUUUGAAGUGGACCCAUUGGUCAUCAUUGUCUAUUCUUCCUAUGAGCCAUUUAUUUUGACCAUUUGCGAUCUUAUCUGGACCACUCCAAUUAUUGUUGUAACUCCAAAGGUUGCAUCUACAGUUGAAUGUAAGAUAGUGAAAGCUCUUCUCUCAGAAAAUAGAGGGACCUUUCUCUGUUUCUCCGUUGCAACGUGCUAGUAUAAAUUUCUUUACCUUACAGUUUGUACGGUCUUGCUGUUAAUGAAUUCGCUGAGGCAUUAUUGAUCCAAUCUGAGUGAAGUAAUUGUGGGUGAAAAAUAAAUAAAGGAUAGGAGAAGGUGAAAAAUAAAGUGCUGAAGUGGCUAUUAAAGAAGAGUGUCACUUGAUCACAAUCACAUUGAUGCACAACUCACUCGUGACAAAUUUCGACUAUACGUACUGCAAAUUCAGCCAAACUGUAAUUAAAGCUACAAAAGGCAGUAUAUCCAAAAACUUAAGGGGAAGAUUUUAUUCAAGUGCAGCUGAAAUGAAAAAUAUUGACUAUUGAAUGGACCAAUGCUGAAUUACAUUUGAAAUGGGAAGCAUGACUGCAGUCACGAUGUUUCCCCCUCUGAUUUUCCUCCAAAACAAAUUCAGUUCUAAACAAUAACGGAAAUAGCAAUAAUUUAUUCAUCAAAGAAAAUCCCUAAAUUUUUUCAACUAACAAAUCCUCGUCUAAAAUAAAAAAACUUAUUUCUCUAAAAUCUAUCUGUAAAAUGUUGAAAAUGAGGGGUGAUCUGUUAACUCAGUAAAUAAACUCGUGCAUAAUGUUAACAAAUAAUGAUAAAUUACAUAAUAAUUAUUAUAAAGAAUCAUAAAUUAGAAAAAAUAAUCAUUUCCCAAUAAAUCUCAGAAUAAGUUAAGUUAUAAUGUAAUAAAUAUUUUCAAUAUUAUAAUGUUAUAAUCAGUUAAAGAUAGGAUUGGUCCUAUUUCAAAGUAGUUAGUGGUGUAAAAUUAAUUAAUUAAACACCAUGGAAGAAUUUGCAAGGAUAAGCUAAGAAACUGGCUAAGUGGCUAAAUUCCACAAAUACGAUAUUAUUCCUUAUUUUUUUUCUUUCUUUUUUUAAUUUAAAGAAAUUUUCAUUAAAAAAAUUUUUAAUAUCAAAAUGCCUUCAAUGGCAUUUUAUUUAAAAAGUUUAGAAUUUUUGGGUAUGGAAAGAGUAGUAUUAAACAUCAGAAAGCUAAGGUUGUUCUGUUAAAGAAUUGAUAUUGACAUAAUUUUAUUUUGGUUUUCAAGGAAAAAAAACAUAUUUGUUGACAAGCAAGAAUUUUUUUUUUGUAUUUUACAAUAUGUUAUUACAUAUUUUAUGAUAUAAGAGUAAUUUUAAUAAUAAAUAGAAACAUAAUAUUGCAAUGAAUAAAUUAAAGUUUAAAUUUUUUGAAUAUUAUAACAAAAUUUAAUAUUAUUAAUAGGCAGAUAUUUUGUUAAUUGUAAAAUCGUUUUACCCCAAAGGUUUUUUUUUUCAAAUUUUUAUAAUAAGCACAAGUAUAAAAUUAAAUAUCAUAAUUUAAAAAUUUUAAUACUAUUUUAAAGAGUAAAAAUAUUUUAAUGUUAUUAGUCUACUACAUAGAUUAUAUUACUUAUAUUAUAUUUUGUAUUGAUUAAAAAUUUUUAAAAUCAAUUUUCUAAUUACUAUAAUACUCAUGUAUUAUGGUUAAAAGAAAAUAUCUUAGUGUUACUUUUGAAAAUUUGAGGGCUUGCAUGAUAAUUUUGCCAAAUUUUAAGGAUGUAAGUGUACUUUUUUUCCGAUAAUUUAUUUCACUUUUGAGGAAAUCCAAUGAGAAUAUGGUAAGUGAACGUCAAUUACUAGUCAGUUUUUAUUUUUUCUAUGAGCCAUUUAUUUUGAGCAUUCGUGAUCUCAUCUGGACCAGUCCAAUUAUUGAUGUUACUCCAAUGGCUGCAUCCACAGGUGAAUAUAUGAUAGUGUUAGCUCUUAUUUGAGAAUUUAGAGGGAUCUUUCUUUAUUUUUCAGUUGCAAUGUGCUAGUAUAAAUUUCUUUACCUUACAGUUUAUAUAGUCUUGCUGUUAAAGAAUUCACAGAGGCAUUAUUGAUUCAAUUUCAGUGAAGCAAUUGUGGGUGAAAAAUAAAUAAAGGAUAAGAGAACAGAGCUGAAGUGCUGAAUUGGCUAUUAAAGAAGGGCGUCAGUGUUGGAGUAAACCAGUUUUUAAAAUUUUAUAAAAAACUUUUAGGAUCGCUCUCAUACAAUAUAUAAGAAUUUAUAAUCUAGAAUUGUACCUUGAAAAUUCAAUUUGCCUUUUUCCGUUGAAGUGAUUUAGGCUCCCAGAUCACGAUCCGUCACCACCACUCCUGUUAGAUCACGAUCCGUCACCACAACUCUUAUUAGAUCACGAUCCGUCACCAUAACUCUUGUUAGAUCACGAUCCGUCACCAUAACUCUUGUUAGAUCACGAUCCGCCACCAAAUAAUCUUCCAGGCUAUGACUCAAGUUUGAUUUGCACUUGACGUGUUGGCGCCUUUAUCACCACUAAAGCAACUAGUACGAGAAUAUUUUUCUCUCAACAAUAGAGAGAAAAAUCUUUUUCUCUGAUAUGUAUAAAGCGGCUACUCUAUUUCUUUUGGGAGAAAAUAAACCAUUUUAUAUUUCUAUCUAGUGGAAACCCUAGGCUCCAAUUUUUAUAUUAUUUAAUUCUAUUAAAUCAAGUUUGAUUUAAAUUAAAAUAAUAAACCAAAAGUAACAAUACUUCUUUUGUGUCAUAAGAUAAUUUAUUUAUGUCUUCUGCAAACUUAAUUUAUUUAAUCAUAAGAUAACUUGUAUUUAUGUCUUCUGUGAAUCCAUAUGAUGAUUACAUAAAUACAUAUAAUAUGAUUAAAUUGACCUUAUUCAAAAUAUUUAUGCAAUUGAAAAUAUCUCCAAUAUUUUAUUAAUCAGAAAAUAAAUUAAUAUACUUUAAAAGAACAUAUAAUCCCAACAAUCUCUCACUAGCUCUUAAAGCAUAUCUGGUAUAUUGCACAUGCUCUAGGGCUCUAAGUGAGGUUAUAAAGGUUUCCGACUAAUGGCCAUUGUAAUAAUAUAUGCCAUAUAGCAUCUAAUGCCAUUUGGGGUAUUGUCAUAUAACAUUUUUAUACUAUUUCCUUAUAAGAUGUUACUUCCUCUCAAUAUGUUUUGUUUCUUGUGGUUUCUUAGUUCCUUAGAUUUAGCUACCGCACUACUGUUGAUGUUAGAAAAUGUAUAUUUACAAAAGAGAAAAUCGUCAUUUUACAUUUCAAGCCUUACUAACACUCUUACUUUUAUGUAUUUAAGUUUCUUAUGAUUUAAUUACGUGUGUUUUAUUUUAAUUAAGUAUUUUAUAUAUUUUAGGGGCAUUAUGGUCAUUUCACAAUGAACGAGAGAUCAGAUGGCAAAACAGACAUCACUUUUGAACUCAAGACGGCCGAAAACCUUAGGAGGAGCAUAAAAGGAAAAAUGGCAUUGUUCACAUGUACGGUACUAUUCACAUGUAUAGUACUGUUUAUAUUACUGUUCACGACACUGUUCACAUAGACGGAUCGAUGAUGUGGCAUUGACUGAUGAGGUGUCACGAUCCUGUUGGACUAAAAUUCUUAUACACUAUUGAUUAGUGAUGUGAUAGCAUGUUAGUGGACCAAAAAUUGCGCGUACGGUACAUGCAUAUACACAGAAUUAUUUUCAACCAAACCACAUUACUGUUCAAGCCAGGUCAAACCGUGUCACUGUUCAAACCGCAUGGUCAAACCGCGUACUGUUGACUGAUGACGUGGCGCAAUCCUGAGCGUCCAAACUGUUUUUAAUCUAAUGGCCAUGAUUUACUGAAUGUAUCUAUAAAAAUGAGGCCUCCCCCCUAAUUUGGCAUCUCUAAAUCCAUUUUUUGGCUCUAUUUUCUGUAAUUCCUUCUCCAUCUUGUCUUUUCUACGUAUUUUAAUAAAUUUCCAUUUUGCCCCUAUUUCUAUUAUAAGUAGCUAAUUUUCUUUCAAGCUUGGGUUGAAUGUGAAGUCUCAACAUGUGUCAUGGGCUUUAUUUGGUAAAUUUAUUUUCUCUUCUCCUCUAGUUUUUGUGGAUGUUUUGACUUCUCGUAGACAAAUAAUAAUAAUCUUGUCUAGAUGCUGCCCUGGUUUCACCGGCUCCCUAGUACAAGAUUAUUAUUAUUUGGCACGAUAAGCCCUUAGCAGCAUAUUGAUUAGAGUGUGGUUCAUGAGGUGUGGAUUCCCCCUCAUGAUUUAAUUGGCAUUAAUAAGGAAUAUUUAGCCCAUGGUGCAUUUUGAUAUGGAUCCAGAUACCCAAGUACGUCAUUUCAAUAGAUUUCUCUUCAAUUUAUUCUCGCCAUUUCAAUUCAAAUUUUAGGAUAAUCUAAGUCACUUUCACCACAAAUCCAACCACCCAAUUCAAAAAUUAAUUCUACACACAAUUAAAAUCCACCUCCUCGUGGGAUCGACACUCGUUACCAUUAAUCUAUUCCACAAUAGAUUUGUACACUUGCGAGUUCAAUAAAAUUUUCACAACAACUACCAUAAUCACAAAAUAGUUUAAGGGAUGCAGUUACAACAGGUACCACCUCAAGAUUUUGUAGGAACUUGCGGAGCCAUAUAGCUUAUUUUGCAGCUUUAGAUGUAGGCACAUAUUCAGCUUCAGUUGUGGAGUCUGUGAUAUAAGACUUUCACACUCCUCGAACUAAUAGCUCCACUUCCUAAUGUAAACACAUUAUUGGAGGUUGAUUUUCUGGAAUCUUUAUCUUACAUAAAGUCAAAAUCAGUAUAACCCACUGGAAUAAGUUCAUCACCAGAAUACACAAGCAUACAAUUUUUAGUUCUUUUCAGAUACUUUAUAAUAUGCUUGACUGCAAUCCAGUGUUCAGGUUCAAGAUUAGAUUGAUAUCUGCUAACCAUCCCUACCGCAAAACAGAUGUCUGGUCUAGUGCAAAGCAUGGCAUACAUGAGACUUCCCACAACUUCUGCAUAGGGAACUCGUCUCAUUUUCUCUAUCUCUUCAAAUGUUUUAGGUGAUUGAUCCUCAGACAAUACAAUUCCAUGUCGAAUGGUAAUAAACCAGACUUGGAAUUUUCCAUGCUAAAUCUAGCCAAUAUCUUGUCGAUAUAGACCGCUUGAGACAAGGCUAAAGUUUUAUUCUUCCGGUCUCGUAGUAAUUUGAUACCAAGAAUAUAACUUGCCUCUCCCAGGUCUUUCAUAUCAAAGUUUUUUGCUAACCAACUCUUUAUUGUAGUAAAUACUCAUAUAUCGUUUCCAAUUAGGAGAAUAUCGUCUACAUAAAGAAUUAGGAAGGCUACAGAUUUUUCUUGAAUUUUCUUGUACACACAUGGUUCAUCAAUGUUCUGAAUGAAUCCAAACGAUUUAAUUGCUUGAUCAAAUUUGAUGUUCCAUGACCGGGAUGCUUGCUUCAAUCCAUAAAUGGAUCUCUGCAACUUACAUACCAUGUGUUCUUGGCCUUUUUGUAUGAUUCCAUCUGGUUGUUGCAUGUAGAUGUCUUCUUCAAGACGCCCAUUAAGAAAGGCAGUCUUGACAUCUAUUUGUCAAAUUUCAUAAUUUAGCGCUGCAGUAAUGGAGAGCGGAAUCCUGAUGGAUUUAAGCAUAGUAACCGAAGAAAAGGUUUCCUCAUAAUUGAUUCUCUCUUUCUGAGUAAACCCUUUGGCUACUAAUCUUGCUUUAAAUAUUUCCAUCCUUCCGUCUACUCCUCUUUUUCUCUUGUAGAUUCACUUGAACCUUAUAGGUUUUACCCCAUUUGGUGCCUCUAUAAGAAUACAUAGAUUUCAUUUCUUGAUUCAUGACCUCUUUCCAAAAUUCAACAUCUCUGUCUAUAAGAGCUUCAUUUAGCUCGUGGGAUCUUAUACAUGUUCAUCUGAGAUCGCCGUAUAGGUUUCUCCCAAUAACAUGUAUCUCGCUAGUGACCUAGUUACCCUCCCACUACGACGAGGUUUUAAAAGUGAUUGUUGUUCAGGGAUAAUCUGUGUUGAUCAGCUGGUUGUUGCUGUUCUUUCUGUUCAAUAACAGGUGUUAAAGCUCAGCAUUAACUUGAUCUCCUUUUUAUUUCUCUAGUUUUACCUUACUCUUAGGUAAUAAGUCAUUAUAUAGUCUUCCUCAAAGAAAGUAAAGAAUAUGUCUAUAAAUACAUUCCUAUCUUGAGGACUACAAUUCAGACUUUCCCUUAUUCCUUUAAGAUACUUAAAACAUGCAAGCUUCUGAACACGAAUCCAUCUUCUUUACCUCUAAUUCUAGUACAAAUACUAGUAAACUCUAAAUAUGAAUGUGUUUCAAAUUAUGUUUAUAACUUUUUCAUAAUUUCUUAGAGUAGUAAACACUGAGGUAGAUGAAACUAAGUUCGAUAAACUUUGCAGUUUUAAAUACUAGUAUCUGGAAUCAAAGAGGUAAAUGAUAAACCACUUAGUAUAUAUCUUGUCUUAUCCAAAAGAAUCUUGUUUCUCUAUUUAAUUACACUAUUGUAUCUUAGUGUUCUUUAUAUGUGGGAGUUUAUCCCAUUUGACAACCAAAUAGAGCUUGAAUUCUCCAUAGAGAUAUUCUUUGUUUCGAUCAUAUCGAAAUUCUUUUAUGUUCCUGUCUAAUUGCUUCUACUUUAUCCACGUACUCUUUUGAAUUUCAAAAGCAAUGGAAUCAUGACGCAUUUAGACAAACAUAAAUGAAAUGAAUAUUCAUCAACAAGAUUGAUAGAAUACUCAUAACCUCUUAUAAUAUUAUGCUUUUAGCUCAAAAAGAGCAUCCUCGUCAUAUUACUUUUCUAAAUAAGAUUUAUAGAGUUACAACGAUCAAUCUUAAUAGGCCAACAAGUCUAUCAUUAAUCAUUUUUUUAAAAUCUUAUUAUAGUUUAUAUGACUUAAGCAUAAAUAUCAUGGUGAUUUUGGUUAGAACAAACAUUUCUUUUCUUAGAUAAUGCAUAUAGUCUUGAUCCUUAUAUGUUGCUUUGAAUAGAUCAAUGGACUUAUAUGAUAUAAAUUGUCUUUAUAAAUAACCAAAAUAAGUAAUAAACAGAGGAUCCAAAAAUAACAGUGUACUCUUGUUUAUUAAAACAAGCUACCGAAAUUAAAUUCCUCUAAUAUUUAGAAAAAUAAAGACAAAUAUCAAAACUAAAGUCUUGUAAAAUUAAUCCAGCAUUUCAAUUGAUAUAAACUAGCAUGUCCACAACUACUAUUUGAAGCUUUCUUCACUUAAUCUCUUGGUUUCCUGAAAGCCAAAUAAAUGAAUUACAAAUAAGAUUAGUUAUCUCAGAAUUCACUAUUGCAUGAAUCAAUAGAUAUCUGAACUAACUAGGAAGCUUAAAGAUUUCCUAUACCUGAUUUUAAUAAUUUUAGGACAAUAUUUUUUCCAGUGACCCUUUUGUCCACAUUUGUAACACUUGCCUUUUGGCUUGCCACUUCUCUUAGUGGAUAGUUUGUCGAUCCCCACUCUUUCUUGCUCAUUCUUGUCUUUCGACUUAAGCCUUGAAGAGAAUCAUUUUUCAGAAAGUUUUCUGCUAUGAUAAAAUUCUUCUAUAGCAUGCAGUUCGUGCAUUAAUUCAAUUAAGGUCAUAUCUUUAUUGUUUAAGAUAUAGCUGACCUUAAACUCUUUGAAUGUUUCAGGCAAAUAUUCAAUCACUAUGUUAAUAUUUGUUUUAUCAUUGAUUUGAACACCAUGAAUCUCUACUUCAUUCAAAUAGUCCAUCAUUUUGAGGAUAUGAUCACGAACUCUUGUACUCUCUUCCAUCUUAGUAUCCGUAAUAUGUUUUAAUGCUGCUUCUCUGGCAAAAUGGGUAUUUUUUCCAAACAUCUAAUAAGGACUAGCCAUUAUUUCAGUGGCUGUUUCCAUGCUCCAAUGUUUCUUAUGCAGUUCCACAGAAAUCGAAUCCAAUAUAUAGCGCUUAGCCAUUUUGUUAGUUCGUACCAUUUCUCAUAAGGCUCCCUCUGAUUUCUAUAAUCGUAUAACAUUGGUUCUAAAGGGCAUGGUUGGGUCAACACAUAUUUGCAGCCUUUAGCAAUGAGAAUAUUAAAUAGCUUAUGUUUCCAAUCUAAAUAAUUUUCGCUAGUGAGUUCAAUUUUAACAAGGAUAAUUAACAAUGGGUUCAUGGAAGCCAUAUUUUGAAAAACAAAAAAACAAAAUAGACAUGCAUAAAUACUUUGAAACAAUAUUUGCAAUAAAUGAUAAAAGUACAAAAAACCAUAAAUACAUUUUAAUUUAUUGUAACGAUAAUCUAGUACCGCUUUGACAAGCUAUCCGUUGGGGAAGUCAUGUCUACACUUACUAGACCCAAAUAUCCAUUGGAUUAUUUACUUUCAUAUAUAGACAUGAUGAAUAAUUAUUGUUAUCCCUUUGGGCUUAAAUUUGUUAACAAAGCUUCGUCGGGAAGGUUAAUAACAAAUUUUAGUUGAGUGUAUAAUCAUUAUUUCAAUCUAUGUAUUUUUCAUAUCAAUAGUCACCGUUGGGAUGAACAAUUGAUUGAAAAGUAUUUCAAUUUUAUAUUUGAAGAAUUUCAACAAAUAAAAUAUCUAAUAAUUAUACCCUCCGUAACGAGCAUCACUGUAUCAUGAAGUCAAGGUAUAUAUAUAAUUUUAUUAUUAAACUAACAAUGGAGCCCAUGGGAAAAAAGUUAUCUUGAAUUUUCCCUCACCCACUCAAUAUUUUAAAAUUUAUUUUUCCUUUUUAAAAUAUACAUAUUGUUAAUUGCAUGCUUCCUAUAAUAUUAUCUAGAUGAUAUCCAAUAUUAUUUAGCAUACGCAAAUUACAAGCAAUAUAACGAGAUUCAUAAUAUUUGAAUGACAUGUAUCAUUAUGCAUAGAGCGAUACUACCUAUUCUAUACGACAUGUUAUCAUCCAAAACAUAACAUAUAGAAAAAUAAUUAAAUAAUCGUAAUUCAUGGCUUUCCUAAAAUAAAAAAAAUACAUUAACCCUAAGCCUAAUCUUCAUUGGGCUUCUUGUCAAUGUCCAUCUUUUCAUGGGCUUGUCUUUGUUAAUGGACUUGGGGAAAUUGAGCUUUUAAAUUUAUUAUUGGUCCAAUUUUAAUUUUGAAAGGAAAUAAAUAAUUUUUUAAUAAUAAUUUUUUUAAUAAAAUUUUUUGACAAAAAUAAGUUUAAUGUGUUCAAUUUUAUCUAUGCAUUUUAAUCUAUUAAGCCCAAAUUUCAAUUGGGCCUAAAAUAUAGGAUUCAUUUAGUCCAAUUAUUUUUUAACUUAAAUGCAAAAAAUUGAACCUUUUCUGCCCAAAGAAAAAAUUAUGGAACCAUAGGGACCUCAAUUAUAAAAACCAUUGAAACGCUAAAUCCAUCUUUUUCUCUUCCUUUUUUUUUUCUAGCCACCAUCAACAAAAAGCUAACCGCUGGUCACAAUUUCCAGCCAUCUCCGACGCCGAGUUUGCUGCCGCCGUCACGUCGGAAACGCACCAAACGAUGCCUCCCUCGCGCUGCAGCAAACGGCGCUGGCUAGCGCUACACUAGAAUGAGUAGCGCGAGCGCUGCAGCUUCUGGUCAUGCAUGCUGCUGCUGGUGGCCGCGUUGCUUGCAGCGCACGCAGCUGGGCACGCGGGCUACGCCCACUGCUUGCUUCGUCUGUAGCAUGCGAUGGUUGCAUUGCAGAAAAUUCCAGUAAGUUUCUAGAAAGUUUUCGCAAGUUUCCGGCAGUUGUACGUGUGUUUCCAGCAGUCUUUUCGCAAGUUUCCAGUAAUUUACAAAUUUCCUACGGCUUACAAAACUAAAUCAAGAGAGAAAUAUGGUGAAAAUAAACCACUCCUCUUGUUACAGAUCCAAAGGACAAAUACAGCAGAGAAUCUAACCAUUAAUUAAGACUAACCAUAUUAUGCUUUAUUCAUAUAUUAAACAAAUAAUAUAUAUCUGAAUAAAUUGUGCCACUCUAAUACAUAAAUUUCAGGAUUGAUUUUAUACAAUAUUCUUAUAUAUUAAUAUGCGAUGGAUCUGGUACCAAUUGUUAGACAAAAAUCAGUUUUUAAAAUUUUAUAAAAAACUUUUAAGAUCGCUCUCAUACAAUAUAUAAGAAUUUGUAAUCUAGAAAUGGUACCUUGAAAAUCCGAUUUAGCUUUUUCCGCUGAAGUGAUUUAGGCUCCCAGAUCACGAUCCGUCACUACCACUCCUGUUAGAUCACAAUCUGCCACCAAAUAAUCUUUCAGACUAUGACUCAAGUUUGAUCUGCACUUAACAUGUGGGCGCCUUUAUCACUACUAAAGGAACUAGCGCGAGAAAAAUUUUCUCUCAACAAUAGAGAGAAAAAUCUUUUUCUCUAAUCUGUAUAAAGCGGCUGCUCUAUUUCUUUUGGGAGAAAAUAAACCCUUUUAUAUUUCUAUCUAGUGGAAACCCUAGGCUCCAUUUUUUAUAUUUUUUAAUUCUAUUAAAUCAAGUUUGAUUUAAAUUAAAAAUAUUAAACCAAAAGUAACGUUACUUCUUUCUUGUCAUAGGGACCCACCUUGUAAAAUAACACAAGGCCCCUUAGACACAAGUACAUUACAUGGAGCCUCCCACUAAAUGAUAUAUUUAGGCUUUUAACCCAAAUAGCUAGUUAUCUUGCUUAUUAAUUCAGUAGUGGUGCAGUCAAUUAAAUGAGCUAACCCGGGGUUCAUUUGAGAACGUAAAAUAAGAGCUACAAUAAUUAGGCAUGUAAUUAAACUAGCCCAAUUAUUUAAUUUCAAAUCUACUCCACUAAAAGAUUGGAACUGACCUCCAUAAUUGUAUGUUCGAAUAAUAAUUUGUCCUAAGCCACAUCGAUUUCUUUACUGCAUAAUCCUUUGUACCACAUCGUUAAUUAAAUCGAUAUCUCAAUUGUCCAAUCGAUUUAAUUACAUCUUAUUCCUUGAAACUUACUGGUUUUCUCUAAUGAUCAUUUUCAACAUACUAAAUAUGUUGACACACUCUGGCCAGAGAAUUCUAUGAUCAAGUGCCGAAAACCCAUCAAGAGAUGUGUUGUACAAAUUCUAUAUUGUUAAUCUAUAACUCCAAUACUCAUAAUUGCUCCCACCAAGAUACCGGGUAAUCUUGACCACAAUUGUGUGUCGUGCCCAUUGGUAACCCAAAUGGAAUAAUAAUUACAAUCAUGAAAUUAUAACUAACUCAAGAGUAAGAUUACAGUAAAAUCAAUGCCUAUGAGAUUUAAUAGGUCUGACAGUCAUUUCGAGGUUAAUUAAAUCUCAUAUGUGAUCCAGCUCAAUGUAGUCAAACUACAUCAGUAAAUUCAUACAUGAUUAAGACAAAUUAUUCAAUGAAUUUACUACAGUCUAAACAUAAAUAGAGCGCACAACUCUAUUUAUCAACUGCGAACUUAAUUUAUUUAAUCAUAAGAUAACUUGUAUUUAUGUUUUCUGUGAAUCCAUAUGAUGAUCACAUAAAUACAUAUAAUAUGAUUAAACGGACCUUAUUCAACAUAUUUAUGCAAUUGAAAAUAUCUCCAAUAUUUUAUUAAUCAAAAAGUAAAUUAAUAUUCUUUAAAAGAGCAGAUAAUCCCAACAGUCAGAUAAUCACAAUCACAUUGAUGCACAACUUUCUGGAGGCAAAUUUUGUCUAUAUGUACUCUAAAUUCAUCUAAACCAUACAUGCAUGAACGAAAUUAAACCGUAGUUCUCAUCACAACGGUAAUUGAAGCUACAAAAGCCAGCAAAUCCGAACAAAAACUUGAAAGGAAGAUCUUAUUUAAGUUUGUCCCCAAAAGACGUGUGAAAUGAAAAAUAUUGACUAUUGAAUGGGUCAAUGCUGAAUUACAUUUGAAAUGGAAAGCUUGGCUGCAGUUACGAUGUUUCCCCCCCUGACUUUCCUCCAAAACAAAUUCAGUAGUAAACAAUGACUGAAGUAUCAAUAAUUUAUUCAUCAAAGAAAAUACCCAAGAUUUCAACUGACAAAUCCUCUUGUCUAAUCUAAAAAAACUCAUAUCUUUCAAAUUUAUCUGCAAAAUGUUAGAAAUGUGGAGUGAUCUGUCAACUCGGUAAAUAAAUUCAUGCAUAAUGUUAACAAUAAUGAUAAAUUACAUAAUAAUUAUUAUGAUGUAUCAUAAAUUGAAAAUGCUAAUCAUUCUACAAUCUAUUAUAUAAGUAAGAUAAAUCUCAUAAUAAGUUAAGCUAUAAUGUAAUAAAUAUUUUCAAUAUAUAAUUAUUUAAUAAGUCAUUUAACAAUAAAAUAUUUUUUUAAAAUUUUUUAUUUUAUUUUUUCAGUUGAUCAUGUUAUAUAGCGCUAUCUAAACCCUUGACGACAUUAUUAUUACUCACUUUUCUCAAGAAAACAUGAUUAGCGUUUAAAGAAAAGUCAUGCCUUUUAUAAAGAAUAUGCAUACACGCUAUCCAUACUUUAUCUGGCCAUGACAAAAUUGAUGGUGAUUAAAUCAAUUUUUAAAAUAGAUUUAAUUUAUAAAUAUGAUGACUUUUGGCAGAAAUUAGUUUCGGAAGAUAUAGUGGUAGAAAAUAGUGAUGAUUAUUGUUUAAAUGUGUAAAUAGUUUAAGCAUAGCCCGUAAUACCAAUAUUCAUUUGCACCUUCAUUUGGAUUAUCAUAUUUUAUGAUGUUCUUUCAUUCAUAACCAUUGUUCAAAAUUUGGAUUUGAUCAUAAAACAAAGCUAAAAAAUAUUAGAGAUACUAACAAUUGAGUCCCAUUUUAAGUCCCAAUACAAUGUGUCAUUUCCCAAUGCUGUAUCAUUUUAGGUGAUGAAUUUCAGAAUUAAUAAUUAGUUCAGACUUAAAUUAAGAUUUAGUUAUUAAGAUAUCUAGCAUCACUCAAUCACAAUAAACAAUAACCAAUUCAAAUUGGAACGGAAUAUUGUAUUUUCUUUUAAUUAAUUAUGAUGCAUAAGCAAGUAUUUGUGCUUGGGUUUUUUACUUCUUGAUUUUGUUUGGAAAAAUUUAUGAGACAAAGAAGUGUUUUGGAUAAUUUUUUCGGGAUUGAAAAUUUGAAACCACAACUUGGUAGAAGAAAUUAGUUGUGAACAAUUUUUUCUUAUAUUGUAGGACCUUCUAGUUGGAGUAGUGAUGGCUUUGUCUUCAUUUUUGGUUCCAUUUGUGUCGGCAGCCCCUUACUAUUCUCUUGACCCUGAGUUUGAGAUGAAAAUUUAUCAACCUCCAACCCCACAUCCAAAAACAAGUUGAUUGAAACAAUUGCUCUUUAAAUUAAGCGGACCCAAAUGAGUUAGGUUUCAGUUCUUAUCAUUUGUCUAUUAUUUCUUUGAAACAUGUAUUUUGAGCAUUACUGAUCUUAAUUAUCUGUAUUUCUCCAAUUAUUGAAGAAUUUCAUGUGGCCACUUUUUCUCCUUUUAAAAUAUGUUUAUUUUUUGGAGUGAUCAAACGGGUGUAGAAUCAAGUAAUCGCUGGUCUGUAGUUUAGCCAAUGAUGGCUCAUCCACACAGUUGAAUAUAUGAUACAAUUAGCUCUUAUUUGAGAAUAUAAAGGGAUCUUUCUUAUUUGAGAAUAUAAAUUGCCUAGAAACGUUCAACUAUGUUACCCAGCUCCAUGCACAUACAUUAACUUGAUGUUGUCAUAUUCGACAUUUCAAUUAUGCAAGCAAUCUUCAGUGAACAUUACGUCUUUAUUGAAUAAUCUAAAUGGAUAGUAAAUCUAGAGUUUGUGAGUUUUAAUCUAAAUCAAAUCUAUUAUGACUCAAUGUAUCUUCCUGUAUUCGUACUAGUAAUGCAGGGGAUUAUUUACUCUUACUCAUAUUAGUGACUGAGAUGUUCACCUCCAUCCAAUUAGAGAAACAGUGACUGGAUUCCUAUAAGGGGACUCUUAACCAUAUUGUGAGACUACCAGUUCACCACUCAGACCAAAAAUCUUUGUAAUUAAAUCCAAAGGUGAAGAUCUAUGCUUAUUAUCUAUUUAACGGCUAAUAUAUAAUUAUUUAUUUAUUUAAAUAUCAAGAGCUAUGCUUGUAAAUAAGUUCAAAUGUGAUGAGCGCAGCCUCACAUCUGUAUAUUACUCAUCAACUCUAACCUUUUUUAACUUUAUAUACUUUUUUUUAAUGUUACUUACGCUUUUUUUUUUUUUGGCUUUUUCGUCUCUGAAAAAAAAAAAGGUAGGGGUUUAGACUUGAAAAUAUCUUAAAAAUCAAACAAUAAUUUACCCAAUUUUUUGAAGCGAACUGCCAAACAUGUUCUAUUAGACAGUGAUAAAGUAGUUAUAUACAUUAAAAACGAUAUUUUUUACAGAACGAGAUUAUCAUUCAACAUUUUAAAAUAUGAAAACAUGUGGAAGAUGUUGUAAAUUGAUUGAAUGAAAAUAUCCCAAUGAAGUUUAGAAAAUUUGGUACUUGUUAUCUUAUCGAAAGUUUUCUAAAUUAUAUGACUGUUUAAACUUAGCCCCUCCUGGUACUGCCACUGCUUCUACGUGAAAGUCAUAUAAGUUUGUGUUAGCUGCCUAUAGAUUGAAUAACAAUUUUACUCAGGAAUUGUAGUCCAUUAUAGCAAUUUGAUUGAAAGUGCGGCUGCACUAAUUUUCUGGAUGAACUUCCCUACAUGUUUGUUCUCAUAUGACCCAGAAUACUACUAUAACAAUUGUGUUGGAAAUUAUUCAACUGGGUUACUACUCUACAUCCCCACCAAAAUUUAAACAGUCGACAUUGUGGAAAGAAACUCAUUUCGCCACUAGGCUUUUAGUGAGGCUAAUUUCUCUGAAUUUGGACAGAGUAGAUUUCUAAGCUAAUGCUUGGCAGAUCUCUGGGCGAUACUACAAAUUGCAUGUACAAUGAGUCUUAAUAAAUAUAAACGAUUCUCUGAUAUGAUUCAAAACAUCACUACAUGCAUAAGUUAAUAAGAAACAAUAUCAUAAGAUUAUUUAUGUAUCACAAUUUGUAGUUGUACCCUCUGUAAUGAAAUUAAAGGUGCAAUCAGCAAGUGAAAUGAAGCGAGAAAUGUCCACGCAUGAGGCAGUUUUUCUAGAAGAUUGAUACCUCUUUAACGAGCAAAGCAUACCAAUCCAAAGCUAGCCAAACCACAACUGCUGGUCCAGGGCUUAAAUGGAGUACUUCUACGCAUUAAAUAGUAACUAAAACACAAACUAUAUAAAUAUAUACACACACCUACCAGAAAAUUCAAAAAAUAGAGAAAGGAGUACAACUAUUCCAGUUUGUAGACAAUAUUGCAAUCAUGGCAUCAGUUGUAGCAAAUCCUUGAAAUCUACUAAACAAAACAAUGCUCUGCCUCAUGAAUCAAUGUUGAAUUACAGUUGAAAUUAAAAGUCUAGAAGGUGUUGUUUCCCUCUUCGAUUUUGCCUACACAAGUAAAGGGAAAUAAGAAUCAUAAAUGAAAAUCAGCAUUUACAGUCAAAAGAGUUUUUUCAAAUUGGUUGAAAAAGAAAAGUGAGCCACAUGCAUUGCUUUUGUUUUUCAAAGUUGGCACCAAAAUUGCAAGUUGUAGAAUAUAUGACUUUUGACAAUCCUGCACCAAAUGAAGAAAAAUGAAAAAGGUUAGCAAAAUUUGUCAAAUUGACAGAUAGGAGAAUUGACAAAUUGCAAAGCGGAUGGUGCAAUAGUGCAACGUUUUUUGCUAUAAAUAGAGAUGCAUUCUUCAUUUGUAAAUCAUCCAAAAAAUGUUAAGCUUAUAAGUUUCUAAGCUUUUAAUAGAAGUGUGUCUGGAGAAUUUAUCUUUCUUGCAGAGUGUGAGAGUACUGGGUAUAUUUAGGUUUCUGGGAAAUGAGAUUCGUUACUCAAAUAUUUAUACUAUAUUAAUUGUUAAAUAAACAAUUAUUCUUUCUUGCCUCCGUGGAUGUAGGUUAAAUAAUUGACAAAUAUUUGUACUAUAUUAAUUGUUAAUUACCGAACCACGUUAAAUAAUUGUGUCAUUUUAUAAUUAUUUGGUGCACUUGAUUCUGCAUUCCGCGCACAACAUACAGUUCUAAUUAUUAGAUAGAUGUAGAAUGUUCUUUCUUUGUUUCUCUGCUGCAAUGUGCAAUCCCACUCUGUUUGGCUACUCAAAUCGAGUCUAUGUUGAGACAUAAUUUUGACAUUAGAAGCAACCGCAACUAGUUUGGCAUUUGUACGACCCUUUGAAGGUUUUCAAAUUAGGCAACUAAAGUAUGAGUCAUCAGAUAUGAUUAAAACUCACCCAAUUCAAUCCAUCAGAUUCCGUAAGGAUAUAAUUGGAUGUCAUAAGGCCACCCCAUAUCCUCAAAAGUCCGUAGCCGUUGUCUCAACUCUGUCUGAGGCCAAUGUAAGUCCAAUUUGCACAAGCUCUUUAUGCACCAUAGCUCCUCUGGAAGUUUUCUCAAGUAAGCACAUGGGUUGACAGUUAAGCUUUCAAGUUUUGGCAUUGCUCCAGCCCCCAUCGUCCACUCAUCUAGUUAUUACGGACUAUUGAAUUUUGAGCCUCUCUAAUUUAUUUCUACUGCAUAGCGUUUCAAUAAGAAAAAUAAACAUAGGCUUCUUAUUACAGACCAACUCUGCCAACAUUCGAACUGUCCGUGGUUGGCCCAACCCAUGGCAGUUCCAGCUUAAGGUACUCAUUGCUCUCGGUGGGCCUGGAAUACAGGUCCCACCGCUAGCCCCUUUUUUGGAUUCACCACCAUAUAACUCACAUCCACCUCUGCACUCCAGCCCCAUAUCAGCCCUUCUUCUUUUAGCUUCCUUUAACACUAGCUCUUUCUCCCCAGACCUUUCAACUGCUUGAGUAAGGUCCAGCCCAUUUUCAAAUGAACCACUUCUUUGCCCUUAUCAAUCCGUUGACUGCUAGUGGCCUGAACAACUGGCAAUGCUUGUAAACUCAUUAUAUUUUCCAUAGAAUCCCGCCCAUCACUCCCUAUAUUGUUGGAAAAUUUCGUAUUAUUGGAAAUUCCUGAUUUGGAGGCAUUCAUCUCAUUAACCACGGUACCACUUGAGGAAUCAGUAAAAUUUCCAGAAUUAGCCACACUUGCUUCUGGCAGUUCCGAGCGUAGCCACCUUUCACUGGAGGACAUGGCAUUCCGACGAGUUGGAGCCUUCAUCUCUGGCCCAUAUGACCUUGUAAUAUCAGCAGCAUCGCAAUCAUACAACUUCGGACAAAGUUUUUCUGAAUGCCCAAGGAGUCCACAGAUGAAACAAAAAGUAUUUAACCGUUCAUAUUUGAAUUCAACCCAGAACCAAUCUCCUCCCUCCUUCUUUAGUCGCAAUCUUCGCUUCAGAGGUUUCCUGACAUCAAUGGAUACCCUUAUGCGCAUAUAGUUUCUCCACACUCCCAUGAGAUUAUUAGGAUCUGAAGAUUGAAACUCACCAAUAUAGUUACCAAUAUUUAUCAACACUUUCUCCGAAAGAAACCCAAUGGGUAAAUUGUACACUUGAAUCCAGAACGAAGUGUGGAAUAAAGGAACCCUAUGCGGCUGUUCAUUCUCCCCCAACCUCUUUAAAAUUAGAAUAUGUUGGUCGAAGGUCCAUGGUCCCGAAUCAAUAACACGCUUGAGGUCAACUUCAUGGAAGAAUUGGAACAAGAAAAGAGAAGGUGAUAAAUCUUUGAUGCACACUCCCUUCCCUGGACGCCAUAAUGCCGCCAUAGUAUUCUUCAUUGCCGGAAAGUUUAUCACCUUAUCAGUUAAAAACCGCCCCACCAAGUAGAAUCUAAAAUCAGUCAACCCUGCAUUUCCAGUGGCAAUAUCCUCGCUGUGGAAGACAAGACCAUCCUCAUCUUCCUCCCCAAUAGAAAACUUAUCAUAUGCGACAUUCAUCUCAUGCUCCCCUGAAUCUCUAUUGGUCGUCAUAGUACUCGUAAUAAGCAAGAAGUAUACCUAUCUAGCCGGAAGUACCCUAGAGCAAACUUGUCAGAAGGACAAGACAAACAAAGCUUGCCGGAAGUACCCUAGAACCUAGUUGUUUGCAUUAAAAAUGAUAUUUUUUGUGGUGUUUAUAAUGAGGUUAAUUAUAAUUCAACAAUUUAAAAUAUGAAAACAUAUGGAAGAUGGCCGUAUUUAAAUUGAUUGUAUGAAAGUAUUUCAAUGAAAUUCUAAAAAUUUGGUUCUUGUUAUCUUAUCGAAAGUUUUUUAAAUUAUAUUACUACUUGAACUUAACUCCUGCAUUGACUGCUUCUACUUAAAAGCCAUUCAAGUUUGUGUAAGCUACCUAUAGUUUGAACAACAAUUUACUCAUGAAUUGUUGUUCAUGACAGCAAUUUGAUUGAAAGUGGGGCUGCACUAAUUUUCUAGAUGAUUUUUUUCCUACAUGCUUGUUCUCAUAUGAUCCAAAAUCCUGCUACAUCAGUUGUAUUAGAAAUUACUCAUGUGGGCUACAAUUCUGCAUCCCCACCAAUAUUUAAGCAAUCUACAGAAACAUUUCUUGAGGAAAGAAACUCAUAUCGGCACUAGGCUUUCAACGAGGCUAAUUUUUAUGAAUCUGGAUAGCAUAAGAUAUCUCUCCGAUACACGUACUACAAAGUGUAUGUACGUUGACUCUCAAUAAAUACAAACGAUUCUCUGAUAUGAUUAAAAACAUCAGUGCAUGCAUCAUUUUAAUGAGAAAGAAUAUUCUAAGAACGAAAUUGAACGUGCAAUCAGCAACUAAAAUGAAGCCAGAAACAGAAAUGUACACGCAUGAGGAAGUUUUCUUAGAAGAUUGACAUUUCUUUGACUAGCAAACCAUACAAGUCCAAAGCUAGCCAAAACAUACCUGCAAGUCCGGGGCUUAAAUGGAGUACUUCUAAGCAUAACACAUUAAUCAAAACACGAUACACACACACACACAUACAUACCAGCAAAUUCAAAAUAGAAAAAGGAGUGCAACUGUUCAAGUUUGUAGAAAACAUUGCAACCAUGGCAUAUAUUAUAGCAAAUCCUUGAAAUCUGCUAAAUAAAACAAUGCCCUGUCUCAUGAAUCAAAGCCGAAUUAAAAUUUAAAUUGAAAGUCCGGCUGGUGUUGUUUCCUUCUCCAGUUUUGCCCACAUAAGUGAAGGGAAAUGAGAAUCAUAAACUAAAAUGUUCUUUUACAGUUCUUAUUAGAUAGAUAUAAAGGGAUCUUUCUUUGUUUCUCUGCUGCAAUUUGUGGCUAUCCCACUCUGUUUUGCCACUCAAGCUUAGUCUACGUUGAGACAUAAUUUUGACAUCAGAAGCAACCUCAAUUAGUUUGGCAUUUUUAUGACCUCCUUGUACGUUUUACGAUAAACAUAAAUCUACUGAGAAAGUGGGAAAAAAAAGAAAAUGCAUAUAAAAGUAUGAGUUAUCAGAUAUGAUUAAAACUCACCCAAUUCAAUCCAUCAGAUUCCGUAAGGAUAUAACUGGAUGUCAUACCGCCACUCCAUAUCCUCGAAAGUCCAUAGUCUUUGUCUGAACACUGUCUGAGGCCAAUGUAAAUCCAAUUUGCGCAAGCUCUUUAUGCACCACAGCUCUUCUAGAAGCUUUCUCAAGUAAGCACAUGGGUUGACAGUUAAGCUUUCAAGUUUUGGCAUUGCUCCAGCCCCCAUCGUCCACUCAUCUAGCCAAUACAUUGAUUUCAGGUGCAAAACCUUAAGCUCCGGAAAGCCACCAGAGCCAACACAGGACAGCUUUCUUCCUAAAUACGAGUUCUGCUUCAGUUUAAGUACUUGAAGGCAUGGAAGCUUUUCUAGCGUUGGCAUGGGAUCCUCCUUUAGCUCAGUAUUUGAUAAGCUCAGAUGGGUCAGACUUGGAGGAAACUGGUAUUCAGACAGGACCAUUCGUGAGGGCUUCCUUUCAUUCACCAGUUUCAAGCAUUCAAGUUUGUGGAGUUCGCAUAGGCUUUUGGAAACCCCAGAAUGAUAGCAACUCAAAUCUCCACAUAUCCGAAGAGUUUGAACAUUAGGUAGUCUGCCCAAAAUAUCUGGAGUACAACUAUUAGGGUUUAAGGCCGAUAUGAAAAUGAGAUUUUUCAGAGAGCUAGAACCAAAGUUUAGAUGCAUGAGUUUUUCCAUCUUCCAAAUAUCCUUUGGUGUUUGAUCUACGUAGCUAGAUGGCAUUUCUAGUGUCUGAAGGUUUAAAAGGGUGCAUAGCAGGGAAGGAAGACAUUUGAGUGAUGGGAUAUUCAAUUUCAAAUACUUCAAAUGGAAUAAAUUCUCUAAUCCGGGUGGAUAUUGGUCGAGAACUGCAAAACCCAUGUUCAAUACCCGAAGGUGUUUGAACUUUUUCCAAAAAUUCUCGCAAUCUGUCAGAGCAAGAUGUUCGCUUUUCCAAAAUGAGGUACCGUUUAGCAGUUCCCAGUGAUAUCUCUUCCAAGUUGGAGUACAGUCUAACAAAUCCCAUCUUUUCUGCCACCCAACGUAAAGCAGCAUAUACAUAACUUGGAACGUAACACGCUUUAAUUGUGCCGCCGGCUCUUAUCUUACCCACUUGAAUGAAUCCGCUAUUGCUUAAUUCUUUCAAGUACUCUUCAACCAUUCUCUAACUGUUGUAAUUGCCCGGUAUCAAACCUUCAGCUAUCCACAACUGACAUAAUUGCCUGGUAGAUAUCUCAAUGCUUGGAGGGAAGACACACAAAUAGAUGCAGCAGACUUUCAAGUGAAAAGGCAGCUCCCACACAGAAUGAAUUUGACUCAAAAUUGUCGGAAUCGCUUUCUGUCCAAUAUAAUUUUCUAAUGGCGUAUUUCCAUAGUCUAGGAUGAAAAAUUGCCAGGCUUCAUACUUUAUUCUAAUCAAUGGUCCUCCAACGAGAACUGAAUCAGGCUGGAUCUUUUCUCCGUUUUGCAAUUCGAACCAAAAAAGCGUUAUCAGUACUCUGCUUCCAUUCUGAUUAUCAGGAAGAAAUUCUACAAGAUCACUCCAUAUCUCACUGUCAUCAAGCACAAUAAAGUACUUCUUGUCUGUUAGGUAAUCUCGAAGAAUAGAUUUCUUCAAUUGAUAAUCUUCACCGAUAAUUACACUAACCCGAGAUGGAGGCAUCACAGAGUUGAUUAUGUCAUCCAAUAUCUUGCCAAAAUCGUAGGCUAUAGAAACCCUGACCCAAGC